rnacentral:lncRNA from 1 species
ACACGAUUAGCACAACAAAAAUGUUACACAAUUCCCGACAGAAUCACCACCUUUCAUACCCUAACAUGCCUUGCUAACCAUCCUCGUCCUACGAGAUGUCAUUCCCCAAGGUCGUGUCUUUUUGAGACACCGACUCUUCUCGAAUCCCAUUCGGUAGGCAUGUGUGGAACAAGGGACUGACUACUAUCGCAUGCAUCUCAAUAUGCAACAGAUAUAAUUUCUCACCAUGUACUCAUGUGCAUGAUCAUAUCACCAUAUGAAAUAUCAUCACUUAUGUUAACAUAACGGUAAUGUUUCCUCCAUCACAACAAAUCACACCCAACAAUAAUAUAUCCAAGUCUAGAAUGCUUUCCUUCAAGGUGUAGAGGGAUGAGGUGCACAUCAAAACUUUCUGAAAGUUUUUAUCUUCUCUUCAAAUCCUAUUUUGAAAUUACUAAAAUCAACAGACAAUUCAAACAGCACUAAAAAGUUGUUUGGAAGAUUUGCAAAUAAAUAAUAAAAUAAACUAGAUAAAAUUUUAAAGAGGUGAGAAAAAGAGUCAACUCAUUUGGAGAUUUAUUAUAAGAGAUAUGGCUAGUCAAAGAUUAGUCAAAGCUCUGUUUUUUCAAAUAAAUCAGAAAAGAAAACGAUUCACAGAGAUUACGUUUUUGUGGAAGAGGACACGUACAUGCACGAAUAUGCCUUCACUUAAGGCGGCUCUAGCUCGGUUGUGUCGCUGAUGAGUGGGGCCCGCCAGACAGGUUUGACCCUCGUCAAACCGGUUAUCUCCCUCCUCCAGCGGAGCGGAGGAGAGGCCUCCGGCAAAACUCACCGGCGAUUGGGGCCACUACUCCCGAUUCUGAGAGCACCAAUGUGCUCGGGGUGCCAUGGCGAUCUGCGGAGGUGGGGACUUAGUCGUGGGAGGUCAGGGAGGCUACGGCGGCUACGAGGCCGGCGGACGGCGGCACUGGUCCGCAUGGGACUUUUCACAUGGCUCACCUCGAGAAAAAAUGAGAGGAGGUAUGGGAUCGCGAUGCCAGUGUCGUUCCACCGAGGGGAAGAACGAUUCUAGAAAAGCUCUGUUGGCCUAGGAUUUAACUAGAGGUGCGGCGGACGAACCUCGACUGCAGGUGAGGAAGACGACCUCCCCUGGUCGAUUGGCUGCAAUGGGAGCUUGAGAGGGGUCGGAGAGGGCCUAUUCUGGUUCGGGGCGAGCUCGGAGUUCCUUUAUAUAUGCGGGCGAUGUCGGUUCCCCGCUGCUGCGGAUAACUCCGAUGAAUUGUUGCUAAGAGGCGACGUGGCGGUGCCUGGAGGGGGCCGCGAGCUAGCUUACGAACAAUGGAGUCGUACCAGAGGCUAGCUGGCGCGCUGGGCGACUUGGGUGGCGCUGCCAUGGCAGGGGCCAGCUGUAGCCGGCUGCAAGCCGCCAAGGCAGCUCUGAAGGCGAUGCUGCGGGGCUCUAGGGGGCGGCUGAGCGGCUGCGACGAGAGGGAAGAGACGGGGCGCGACCCUACGGGUGAGAUUGGCCAAAGGGGCGGGUGAAGGUGGACGUGGCGGCUCGGGUGGUGCGGUUGCAAUACGCGCGCUCUGCUUGCGCCCUGAGCACGCACGCCAACUGUUCGACUAAAUGCCAUUACGAGCAAGUGGGCUUAGGUUUUGGUGUAACUUAACAGGGUAGCUAGGGUUGUUAGCAAGCCUCUGUUAGACAUGUGGUUUGCCACAGAAUUAAAUCCACAAUGAAAACUAAAAAUCAUGUCAAUUCUGGCCAGACACAAAAAGGUGCUCGACAGAAUGCCAUGGGCAUCUAGAGAAGCUUUAUGGCCACCAAAAUUUCCAGUCCAAGGCCUUUUUAGAUGCUAAGGGUGAUGGCAAACUUAGUUUUUGAAAAUCCGUAACUUGUUAGCGCAAGUAUUUCCAAACUUUGUUUCUGGACAGAAACUACAGGUCAUUAUUGCAUGAUCUCAAAACAUCCUAAUGGGGCUGCUCUCCUGGACUUAAGGGUUUGGUAGUGCCUAUUAUCAGUAGUAAAAAUCCCAAUGGAGUUGGGGCAAAAUAAAAUAUGGUUGUAGUACAAAAUACAAAACUAGUCCAGAACAGAAAAGGGAGUGGGUUGCUCAAAAUUUUGAAAAGACCAAAGUGGAUUUUUGCAUAAAAGUGAACUACAUGCCUCCCUUGACAUCUCCCAUUUUUUGUAGAAUUUUUGAAAUAGUAGAUCCAGUGGUUGUAGUUCAAAACACCAACUGGACCAGGAUAUAAAAGGGGUUGUUUUGCUAAAUGUUUCCAAAACGCGCAUUGGGUUUUGCAUGAAAGUGAUCCAUGGAUAUCACAUGUCACCUACAAAUUUUCGUAGAAUUUUUAAAUGAAGUUAUCAAAUGGUUGUAGGGCAAAUGAGGUCCUUAAAGGAAUCAAAAAGCCAUUUUGAAUAAAUGAAACUUGGAAAAAUAUUUAUAAGAGGCCUCCAGUGAAUUUUGUCAAAUAAAGAGAAAUGUUUUGAUGCCACCACUCAAGUCUCAUCAUAUUUUUCAAAAACUCCUACUUGGGAGAAGAAAUUUUUAUAAUUCAGAGAAAAGAAGUGGGUCUGAAAUCAACAGAAAACCUAGAAACAAAAAUUAAAAUAAAUGUGGCCAAAUUUUAAUAAAUGAAAUCAUGGUUAAUUUUCGGGGUGUUACACGUGAUGGAAAUUCCCCCACGCCAUUCGAUCAUGUGAACAACACAAUUUGGUUGAUGGAGGCACGAUGACAAUGUCGGCACGGCGAGGUGACCGCAUGAUGCAGUCGAAGUCAAUUACAUGUGCACACAAUACAGUGCAAGCCAAGAGUAAUAAAAAAUAAUAAUAAAAUGAAAAUCCUCUAAUUAAUUAACUUAAAUAAAUUAAGUAAUGAGAAACAAUAUAGCAUGAGGGCCAAAGUCGGCAGAGGCGGUAUGACGACGUCGACUCGCCGAUGUAACGACGCAAUGUGGUCGAGGUCGAUUAUCUGGCGCAUGGUCGGUGUCGACUGCUGCCUCUUGCGCUUGCAUUGCUUUUUCCCUUGAAGAUGAAAGGGUGAUGCAGCACAGGAGCAGUAAGUAUUUCCCUCAGUUUGAGAACCAAGGUAUUAAUCUAGUAGGAGAAUCGCGCCAAGUCCAAAGUACCUGCGCAAACACAAAAGAGCUUGCACCCUACGCUAUAAAGGGGUUGUCAAUCCCUUCAAGAUUGAUUGCAAAGUGAGAUCUGAAGGCGGAAAGUGCAACGAAGUAAAAGUGUAAGGCUGAAAAUAUGGUGUGAAGUAGACCCGGGGGCCAUAGUGUUCACUAGAGGCUUCUAUCAAAAUAGCAAAUAGUACGGUGGGUGAACAAAUUAUUGUCGAGCAAUUGAUAGAACCGCGCAAAGUCAUGAUAAUAUCUAAGGCAAUGAUCAUACCUAUAGGCAUCACGCCCGAGACAAGUAGACCGAUACUUUCUGCAUCUACUACUAUUACUCCACACAUCGAGCGCUAUCCAGCAUGCAUCUAGUGUAUUGAGUUCAUGACGAACAGAGUAACGGCUUAAGCAAGAUGACAUGAUGUAGAGGGAUAAACUCAAACUAAUGAUGUAAACCCCAUGUUUUUACCCUUGAUGGCAACAACACGAUGCGUGCCUUGCUACCCCUUCUGUCACUGGGUGAGGUCACCACACGGUAUGAACCCAAAACCAGGCACUUCUCCCAUUCAAGAAUCAUAUAUCAAGUUGGCCAAACAAAACCCACAACUCGAAGAGAAUUACAAGGAUAUGAAAUCAUGCAUAUAAGAGAUCAGAAGAAACUCAAAUAAGAUUCAUAGAUAAUCUGAUCAUAAAUCCACAAUUCAUUGGAACUCGACAAAAGAAGAUUUCAUCGGAUAGAUCUCCAUGAAGAUCAUGGAGAACUUUGUAUUGAAGAUCCAAGAGAGAGAAAAAACCAUCUAGCUACUAGCUAUGGACCCGAAGGUCUAUGGUGAACUACUCAUGCAUCAUCGGAGAGGUCAUGGUGUUGAUGAAGAAGCCCUCCGUAUCCGAAUCUCCUCUCCGGAAGGGCACCAAAACGUCUUGCGGAGACAGAAGCUUGCGGCGGUGGAAAAGUAUUUUCGUGGAUCUCUCCCGCAGAUUUGGAAUUUUUCUGAAUUUAUUGGCGGAAUAGGUAGGGCAGAUGAGCUACAGGGGGCCCACAAGCCUGCUAGGCGCUGCCCGUGUCGCGCCUAGGGGGCUUGUGGGGUCCCCUGGUGGCCCCUGCCUUGGUUCUCAAGUCUCGUGCGUAUCUUCUGUUCCGGAAAAAAUCUUUUCGGAAGUUUUAUUCUGUUUGGACACCGUUUAAAAUCCUCCUCUGAAAAGGGUUGAUGUCAACUGUUCUUCCCCUUGCAACAACACCAGAAAAAUGCAGCUAGCACUCUCCGGCAAUCGAAACUAGAAGAAUGUUGUUGACGGCCCACAAGCGCAUGGGAUCGUAGCAGUUUUCGAGGGUAGAGUAUUCAACCCAAAUUUGUUGGUACGCCUAUAGGAGGUGAGAGGAUACUCUCAAGUAUUAGCAGCUGAAUAUGUCAGAUUCAACCACACCUGAAAGAUUAGUAUAUGCAAGCAAAGUAGUAACAGCAAAGUAGUAUGAUAACAACGGUGUCAAAAACGAUCUGUUGACGGUAGACUAUUCCUAACGAUUGUAUCAAUGGCGCCAAGUUGCCUCGUUGACGGAAGUUGUCAGUUCUCGUCAACGUCUAGCGAACCAAAAUUGUAGCAGGUAGCAGCAGUGUAACGAGCAAUAGCAGCAGCAAGGAAAAGCAGUAGUGACAGCAGUAACAAGUAGCAACAGUAGCAAGCGACAGUAGUAGCAACAGUAGCAGCAGAGCAAGAGAAGUAACAGCAGUAGCAACAGUAGUAACAGCAGUAGAGCAAGACAAGUAACAGCAGCAGUGGGACAAACUCGUAGGCAAUGGGUCGGUGAUUUGUUUGGAUGAUAUUCAUCAUGCAACAGUUAUAACACGGAGAGAUUUGUGGCUAGCUCCCGUUCGUCAAUGUGAUUUAGGCAUGCAUUUCGUGUGUCGUCAUACGUGCUUAGGGAAAAGAACUUGCAUGACAUCUAUUGUCCAUCCCUCCCGUGGCAGCGGGGUCCAAAAGGAAACUAUGGGAUAUUAAGGUUCUCGUUUUAAUAAAGAACCGGACCAACGCAUUAGCACUUGGUGAACACAUGAACUCCUCAAACUAUGGUCAUCACCGGGAGUGGUUCCGGUUAUUGUCACUCCGGGGUUGCCGGAUCAUAACACAUAGUAGGUAACUACAACUUGCAAGAUCGGAUCUAAAACACACAUAUAUUGGUGACAACAUAAUAAUUUCAGAUCUGAAAUCAUGGCACUUGGGCCCUAGUGACAAGCAUUAAGCAUGACAAAGUAGUAGCAACAUCAAUCUCAGAACAUAGUGGAUACUAGGGAUCAAUCCCCAUCAAAACUAACUCGAUUACAUGAUAGAUCUCAUCCUACUCAUCACCACCCAGCGAGCCUACGAAUAGAUUACUCAUGAACGACGAAGAGCUUCAUGGAAUUGGAGAGGGAAGAAGGUUGAUGAUGACGAUGGCGAUGAUUUCCCCUCUCCGGAGCCCAAGACGGACUCCAUAUCUGCCCUCCAGAUGAAGAACAGGUGGUGGCGGCGGCUCCGUAUCGUAAACGCGACGAAAAAUUCUCUUUUUAUUUUUUCCGGGACGAAAGUGAACUUAUAGACCUGAGGUUGGGGGCGGAAGAGCCGUGUGGGCCCCACAAGCCUACCCACCGCCAGCAGGGGGGUGGUGGCGGAGCCAGGGCUUGUGGCCCACUGGCCCACCCCCUCACGUGGAACUUGGCGCAGAUAUUUUUUUUAUUUUCCAAAACUGCUCCCCGUAGAUUUUCAGGACGUUUGGAGAACUUUGAUUUCUGCACAAAAAUAACACCUAGGCAAUUCUGCUGAAAACAUCGUCAGUCCAGGUUAGUUCCAUUCAAAUCAUGCAAAUUAGAGUCCAAAACAAGGGCAAAAGAGUUUGGAAAAGUAGAUACGAUGGAGAUGUAUCAACUCCCCCAAGCUUAAAACCUUGCUUGUCCUCAAGCAACUUAGUUGACAAACUGAGAGAGAAAGAAAAACUUUGGCAAACUCUGUUUGAUCUUGUUGUUGCAACUAUGUCUAACUCAUAACCAAAAUUUCAGCAAGAUCACAAGUUAACCACAUAAGCAAAUGACACAAAGGUCUCACGGUAAACUAAUAUCAAUGGCAUAAUCAGCUAACGUGCAAAUAAUAAUGAGUUUAAAAUACCAACACUUUAAUCAAAACAAGCAUGAAGCAAUACGAAUAGGUGGUAUCUCGCUAGCUCUUUCUGAGACCGCAAAACAUAAAUACAGAGCACUUUCAAAGAUCAAGGGCUGACUAAACAUUGUAAUUCAUAGCAAUGAAGAUCCAGUCAUAGUCAUACUCAAUGUCAAUCAAAAGCAAAGCAUAAAAAUGACAGAGGUGCUCUCUAAUUGGUGCUUAUAUAAGAGGAGGAUGACUCAACAGGAAAAUAAACAGACAGGCCCUUUGCAGAGGGAAGCAUUGAUUUGCAGAGGUGCCAGAGCUCAAGCUUUGAAAACAGAGAUAAUAAUUUUGGGUGGCAUGCUUUCAUUGUCAACGCAAUGACCAAGAGUUCUCAAUAUCUCCCAUGCUACUCAUGCUAUAGGCGGUUCCCAAACAGAAAAGUAAAGUUUUAACUCCCCCACCACCAAUCAGUCACCCUCCACAGCUAGCCGAAUCCUCGGGUAACGUCACUACUAACAUCAAUCCGGGGGGAGUCUUGUUUUACAGUUAUGUUUUCGAGUUAAGUGUGGAAUUGGGCAUUCCAAUUACCGGCCCCUUUCUCGUGAAUGACAGUGAAUAAACAAAUGUCGAGGAUAACACUCCUAGCAUGGAAGAUAUCAAUAGCCCCUAGUACCACAUGAGCGGUUCGGGCAUGCAAAACAGAUUAUUUCUUGAAGGUUUAGAGAAUGUCACAUGCAAAUUUACUUGGAAUGAUAGGUAGAUACCGCAAAUAGGUAGGUAUGGUGGACUCUCAUGGAAAAACUUUUGGGUUUAUGGAAGUGGAUGCAUAAGCAGUAUUCCGCUUAGUACAAGUGAAGGCUAGCAAAAGACUGGGAAGCGACCAACCAGAGAGCGACAACAGUCAUCAAGAUGCAAUGAGUUUGACUAACAUCAAAUGCAAGCAUGAACAGGAUAUAAAUCACCAUGAACUCGAACAUCAUAGAGGCUAUGUUGAUUUUGUUUCAACUACAUGCAUGAACAUGCGCCAAGUCAAGCCACUUGAAACAUUCAAAGGAUAAUACCAUCCUAUCAUACUACAUCAUAGUCAUCUCAAAAUCUAUGUUGGCAUUCAAGACAAACCAUUAUAAGCUCUCGUCUAAAUAAGCAUGUCAUCAGAAACAAUGAUCUCUAAGUUGUCAGUGCAAACAUGGUUCUCUCACAACAAAGCUAAAUCUGGGUCGACAAGUUAGUCAUAUUUACAAAAACAAAAUAGAUAGAGUUCAUACCAGCUUUUCAGUCUCAGUCACUUGAUCAUAUAUCAUCAUUGUUGCCUUUCAUUUGCACGGCGGAACAAUGUGAACAAUAAUAAUCACAUUGGACUAAGCUGAAUCUGCAGGAAAACACAAAGGAGAAGACAAAGAAAUAUGGCUCUUUGAAAGCUAAACACGUAAGCAUGUAAGAACCAAUAAACAUUGUAACCAAUAUCUUCUACCUUGACACACAGAGAAAGAAAACUAUUUACACGGGAAAACUCCCAACAAGCAAAAGAAGAAACAAAAAUCUUUUUGGGUUUUCUCAAAAGACACAAAACAAGAAAACGAAAAUAAACUAGCAUGGAUAAUACAGUGGCAAAGUGUGAACACCGGCUAACAAAGUGAAAGCAUAAGCAUGAAUGUAAAGUCAGUGAGAACACGUACUCCCCCAAGCUUAGGCUUUUGGCCUAGCUUGGUCUACUCCUAGGGAUGGUCCUGGCGAAACCCAAAGUCAUAAUGGGUGUUAUACAGGAGUGCUGCAGCCACUGCCUGAAUAGCUACCUCGCGAAGUCGAGCAGCCGUCGCCUCCCUCUCAUACUUCUCUCCCUCUCCUAUGGUUAUGUAGUAUCUUCGUUUUACCUAAAAGUCAAAGAAAGCGGGAGAAGGAAAGGUAAUAUGGAAAACACGCUACCGGUUAAAUAUCAAGCGGUAUAGGAGGGAUCCAUGAUCUCUCUCAAGGAACUGGUAGCGUGUUAGAGCGACACGAUCAAUGUAGGCUGUACGGAGAGGAGGGUCUUCUGGACGGAUGGAUACUCCAAGAAAAUUUGCUAAGCGUGUAGCAUAAAAUCCACCAAAGAAAUCCCCCUCACUGGUAUUUUUAUUCAGCCUCCUUACUAUUAUAGCUCCCAUAUUGAAGCUCAUGUCACCUGUUACUGUGCUCUUAAGGAUACUAAGGUCGGAAGCGCAUAGGUGACAAUGUGCACCCUUGCCGUUAAUGCACCUACCUAUGAAGAGGGCAAGGUAGUGCAAGGCAGGGAAAUGGAUGCUUCCUGUGGUGGCUUGCGUGAUAUCUCUGGUUUCUCCAACAGUUAUACUUGACACAAAGUCUCUGACCGAAGACUUAGAAGGAUCGUUAAUACUGCCCCCCAUCGGGUAUCUUGCAAAUUCUAUUGAAAUCCUCCAAAUCCACGGUAUAGGAUUUAUCGUACAGAUCAAACAGUAUGGAUGAGUCACGGCCAACUGAAAAUUUAAAUCUACGCACGAAAGAGGUAGUGAGCAUAGCAUACUAUUCACAUUUAUCUGAGAGGAAUUCUUCUAACCCGGCAUUGCGGACAAGUGUAUCAAACUCAUCCUUGAAACCUGCUGCGAUCAUGAACUCAUCGGAAGGCCAUUCACAUGGUUGAACCGGUGCGUCCCUUAGUUGAAAAGGUUUGGGCUCCCGAAAAGAAAGACGAGGACCCUUCUUAAUUGAGGAACCACCAGGAAACUUUCCUCGUGACCAUAAUUUCCUUUUGCUGAAAUUUUUGUAGUUCAAGAGAAAAGUGAAUGAAGACCCACCACACCUUGUAGCAACUACUCCUACUAGUGCCUAGAGACCGUAUCACGCUCUAAAACUACUUGGGACCAGCUAAAAUCAACCUUUCAAGCUCAAGAACAGGGUCACCAAGGUAGCAAGAGUACGCGAAGGAUAAAGCGCUAGAGGAAAAACUAAUUGGACCAAUGGAGGAGUCACUUGCCAAGGAGUAAUUUUCCCAAAAUGGUUCGGAGAAUGGUGCUUUGAGCAAGGAGAUCGAAAAUCACAACCAAAUGAGCAAGAACACGAGUUUGAGCUGCAAAACAAUUUUUUCUGGAGGUGGAAGAAGAGGGUGGGAGCUGGAAUGAGUGGAGGGGGUGCCUGUGGGCCCCACAAGCUUGCACUACGCCACCAGGGGGGUAGGUGGUGGUAGCAGGGCUUGUGGCCCCCUGGUCUGGCCCCCAGGCUAGCUCUCAGGCCCAGAAUUUUUCAAAAAUUCUAGAAAAAAUCAUACUAAAUUUUUAGGACCAUCGGAGAACUUCUAUUUUCGAGGUAUUUUUCUCGGGGACGCUAAAACAGAAAACAGGAAAAGCUAGACUAAUUCUAUCAUUUUUCUUCUAAGCAAAAGAAAUGAAAGCUUAAAACAGAGGUAUGUGACUCUUUGAUUCAUCCGUUUCAUGGUCAUCGAAAGAAAUCCGUCAGUGGGAUUGAUCAAGUCCUCAUGACAAAGCCUUCUUGAAUCUCAUGAGAGAACGGAGAAUUUUCUAAUAGCCACUAAGUCACCUCAAUGGGGAUAUGUAUCUCCCCAACAAGCAAAUCAUACUUCAUCUUAACACGAGGAAUAGGGCAUUCAAAGCUCCUAAUGAGAAACGAUGAAGUCUUUUCAAUAGCAUUGAUGCAAUCUACUGGAUAUCAUUUCUUCGAAAAGUGCACUGUGUGCUCAUUACCGUUGACAUGGAAAGUGCUAUUGCCUUUGUUGCAAUCUAUAACAGCCCCUGCAGUGUUUAAAAAGGGUCUUCCGAAGAUGACAGCCAUAGCAUCGUCCUUGGGAAUAUCCAAGAUAACAAAGUCUGUUAAGAUAGUGGUAUUAGCAACCACAACAGGCACACCCUCGCAAAUGCCGAUAGGAAAAGCAGUUGAUUUGUCGGCCAUUUGCAGAGAAAUUUCAGUGGGUGUCAACUUAUCCAACUCAAGUCUACGAUAAAGAGAGAGCAGCAUAACACUAACACCGGCUCCAAGGUCACAUAAGGCAGUUCUUACGUAGUUUCCUUUAAUGGAGCAAGGUAUAGUGGGCACUCCGGGAUCACCAAGUUUCUUAGGAGUUCCACCCUUGAAAGUGUAAUUGGCAAGCAUGGUGGAGAUCUCAAGAUCUGGUAUCUUCCGUUUAUUAGUCACGAUAUCUUUCAUGUACUUGGCAUACGGAGACAUCUUGAGCAUAUCAGUUAACCGCACCUGCAGAAAGAUGGGUCUUAUCAUCUCAACGAAGUGCUCAAAAUCCUCAUCAUCCUUUUUCUUGGAUGGCUUAGGAGGAAAGGGCAUAGGUCUGUGAACCCAUGGCUCUCUUUCUUUACCAUGCUUCCUAGCAGUGAAGUCAUUCUUAUCGUAUUUCUUAGGUUGUGGGUUAUCAGGAUUAACCGUAGGUUCAAUCUCCACAUCCUCAUCAUUGCUAGGUUGAGCAUUAUUAUGAACAUCACUGUCCAUAUUGUCACGAGGUUCAUGUUCAUCACCAGAUUGUGUUUCUGCAUCAGACGCAGAAAUAUCAUUAGGUUCUUCAGGUGUGACAGUAUUUGGUGAACUGGCGUGCAGGUUUCUAUCAUCCUUCUUCUUCUCCUUAGGAUGACUGGGUGUAUCAGCAUUGAUUCCUUGAGAAUCUUGAUCAAUUCUCUUAGGAUGACCUUCAGGAUACAAAGGUUCCAGAGUCAUUUUGCCUCCUCUAGUAAUGACUCUGACAGAGUUUUCAUUUAAUUCAUUGAGCAAGUCAUUCUGAGCUUUAAGUACUUGUUCUACCUGAGUAAUAAUCAUAGAGGCAUGUUUACUCAGAAGCUUUAGAUCAUUGACAUUUCUGUCUACACAAGCACUUAAAUGGCUAAGCAUACGAGUACUUUGUUCCAAAUGUCUGCUAACAUAAUCAUUGAAACUCUGUUGUUUGGCAACAAAGUUGUCAAAUUCAUCAAAGCAUAGGCUAGCAGGUUUAUCAAAAGGAAUAUCACUCUCAUCAAACCUACGCAGAGAAUUCACUUCUACUACUUGUAUUGGGUUAUCGAGGCAAUGGAUCUCUUCGAUAGGCGGUAGAUUUUUUACAUCUUCAGAUCUAAUGCCUUUCUCUUGCAUAGUUUUCUUGGCUUCUUGCAUAUCUUCGGGACUGAGGAAUAGAAUACCUCUUUUCUUCGGAGUUGGCUUAGGAGGUGGUUCGGGAAUAGUCCAAGCAUUAUCGUUGAUCAAGAUGUUAUUCAGUAGAGUCUCAGCUUGUUCUACAGUUCGUUCCCUAAAAACACAACAGGCACAACUAUCUAGGUGGUCUCUAGAGGCAUCGGUAAGUCCGUUAUAGAGGAUAUCAAGUAUCUCAUUCUUCUUAAGAGGGUGAUCAGGCAAAGCAUUCUGUAGCUGGACGAGCCUCCCCCAAGCUUGUGGAAGACUCUCUUCUUGGAGUUGAGCAAAGUUGUAUAUUUCCUGCAAGGCAGCUUGCUUCUUAUGUGCAGGGAAAUAUUUCUCAUAGAAGUAAUAGACCAUCUCCUAGGGACUACUCACCAUCCAGGAGCAAGAGAGGUGAACCAGGCUUUAGCAUCAUCCUUUAGAGAGAAAGGAAAUAGCUUAAGGAUAUAGUAGUGGUGGAUCUUCUCCUCAUUAGUGAAAAGGGUGGCUAUAUCGUGUAGUUUGGCAAGAUGGGCUACGAACGUCUCAGACUCACAACCGUGAAAAGGAUCAGAUUCGACUAGAGUUAUUAUGUUAGGAUCGACAGAGAAUUCAUAAUCCUUAUCGGUGAUAAAGAUAGGUGAAGUGGCAAACUUCAGGUCGUAUUUCAUCCUAGCUUCCCGAGAUUUUUCCUUCCACUUGAGAAGUAAUUUCUCAGCGUCAUAGGCAUCCUUACAUGCAAGAAAAUCCUCAGCUAUCUCUCCCUCCAUAACGUAACCCUCAGGUAUAUCAGGCAAUUCAUAUCUAGGAGAGCUAGAUCUAGCAGGAGCAAAAGCAGGUUCUAUCUCAAUAGUAUCGGUAGUAUCAGAAACAUCACGAGCAUUGGCAGUAACUCUAGCAAUAUGAGCAUCAAGGAACACUCCUAGAGGAACAUCAGGCAAAGCAGUAUCUCUAGCAUCAUCAAGCAUAGCAUCAUCAGGCAAAAUAGCAUCUCUAGCAUCAUCAGGCAAAGAAGUAUCAAGCAUAGCAUCUCCAGCAGUAUCAAGCAUAGCAUCAGGCAUAGUAUCAAGCAUAGUAUCAUCAGGCAUAGUAUCAAGCACAUCAUCUCUAGCAGUAUCAAGCAUAGCAUCUCUAGUAGUAGCAUCAUAAGCAUCAUCAAGCACAGGCGACAUAUCAAGAUUUCUAGCAGGAGGUGAUGUCGCAAACUUACUCAUAACUAAAGGUGAAUCAAGUGCAGAGCUAGAUGGCAAUUCCUUACCUCCCCUCAUAGUUGAGGGCAAGACUUUGGUCUUCGGAUCCUUCAGGUUCUUCAUAGUGAUCAGCAGAUAUAAAUCCCAAGUGACUUAGAGAAAAUAGCAAUACCUCCCUGGCAACGGCGCCAGAAAAAUUCUUGAUGUCAAUUGUUCUUCCCCUUGCAACGGCACCAGAUGAAUGCUGCUAAAACUCUCCGGCAAUCGAAACUAGAAGAAUGUUGUUGACGACCCACAAGCGCAUGGGAUCGUAGCAGUUUUUGAGGGUAGAGUAUUCAACCCAAAUUUGUUGGUACGCCUAUAGGAGGUGAGAGGAUACUCUCAAGUAUUAGCAGCUGAAUAUGUCAGAUUCAACCACACCUGAAAGAUUAGUAUCUGCAAGCAAAGUAGUAACAACAAAGUAGUAUGAUAACAACGGUGUCAGAAACGAUCUGUUGACGGCAGACUAUUCCUAACGAUUGUAUCAAUGGCGCCAAGUUGCCUCGUUGACGGAAGUUGUCAGUUCCCGUCAACGUCCAGCGAACCAAAAUUGUAGCAGGUAGCAGCAGUGUAACGAGCAAUAGCAGCGGCAAGGAAAAGCAGUAGUGACAGCAGUAGCAAGUAGCAACAGUAGCAAGCGACAGUAGUAGCAGCAUUAGCAGCAGAGCAAGACAAGUAACAACACUAGCAACAGUUGUAACAGCAGCAGAGCAAGACAAGUAACAGCAGCAGUGGGACAAACUCGUAGGCAAUGGGUCGGUGAUUUGUCUGGAUGAUAUUCAUCAUGCAACAGUUAUAACACGGAGAGAUAUGUGGCUAGCUCCCGUUCGUCAAUGUGAUGUAGGCAUGCAUUUCGUGUGUCAUCAUACGUGCUUAGGGAAAAGAACUUUCAUGACAUCUAUUGUCCAUCCCUCCCGUGGCAGCGGGGUCCAAAACGAAACUACGGGAUAUUAAGGUUCUCCUUUUAAUAAAGAACUGGACCAACGCAUUAGCACUUGGUGAACACAUGAACUCCUCAAACUAUGGUCAUCACCGGGAGUGGUUCCGGUUAUUGUCACUCCGGGGUUGCCGGAUCAUAACACAUAGUAGGUAACUACACCUUGCAAGAUCGGAUCUAAAACACACAUAUAUUGGUGACAACAUAAUAAUUUCAGAUCUUAAAUCAUGGCACUCGGGCCCUAGUGUCAAGCAUUAAGCAUAGCAAAGUAGUAGCAACAUCAAUCUCAGAACAUAGUGGAUACUAGGGAUCAAUCCCCAUCAAAACUAACUCGAUCGAUUACAUGAUAGAUCUCAUCCUACUCAUCACCACCCAGCGAGCCUACGAAUAGAUUACUCAUGAAUGACGAAGAGCUUCAUGGAAUUGGAGAGGGAAGAAGGUUGAUGAUGACGAUGGCGACGAUUUCCCCUCUCCGGAGCCCAAGACGGACUCCAUAUCUGCCCUCCAGAUGAAGAACAGGUGGUGGCGGUGGCUCCGUAUCGUAAACGCGACGAAAAAUUCUCUUUUUAUUUUUUCUGGGACGAAAGUGAACUUAUAGACCUAAGGUUGGGGGCGACAGAGCCGUGUGGGCCCCACAAGCCUACCCACCGCCACCAAGGGGGUGGUAGCGGAGCCAGGGAUUGUGGCCCACUAGACCACCCCCUCAGGUGGAACUUGGCGCAUAUAUUUUUCUUAUUUUCCUAAACUGCUCCUCGUAGAUUUUCAGGACGUUUGAAGAACUUUGAUUUCUGCACAAAAAUAACACCAAGGCAAUUCUGCUGAAAACAGCGUCAGUCCAGGUUAGUUCAAUUCAAAUCAUGCAAAUUAGAGUCCAAAACAAGGGCAAAAUAGUUUCGAAAAGUAGAUACGAUGGAGACGUAUCAAGGGUCAAAAACAUGGAAAAAACAGGAACUGACACUUGGCACUGAGUUAAUAAGUUAGUCCCAAAAAAGAUAUAAAAGGCAUACAAAACAUACAAAGUUUGAUAAGAUAAUAGCAUGGAACCAUCAAAAAUUAUAGAUACGUUGGAGACGUAUCAAGCAUCCCCAAGCUUAACUCAUGCUCGUCCUCGAGUACGGAAGUCGUAAAGACUGAAUUUUUGAUGUGGAAUGCUACCUAGCAUAGUUGUCCUUUGUAACUUCUUUCAUAUGACAUGAAUGUUCAGAUCCGUAAGAUUCAAAACAAUAGUUUGCUAUUGAUAUGAAAACAAUAAUACUUCAAGCAAACUACCAAGGUAAUCAUGAACUUUUGAAAUAACAAGGCCAAAGAAAGUUAUCCCUACAAAAUCAUAUAGUCUGGCUAUGCUCCAUCAUCCCCACACAACUAAUUUAAAUCAUGCACAACCCCGGUAUUGGCCAAGUAAUUGUUUUCGCACUCUUACUUUCUCAAACCUUUUUCAACUAUCACGCAAUACAUGAGCAUGAGCCAUGGAUAUAGCACUAUAGGUGGAAUAAAGUGUGGUGGUGUUUGUGAGACAAAAAGGAGGAGAUGGUCACAUUGACUCGGCGUAUCAAAGGGCUAUGGAGAUGCCCAUUAAUAUAUAUCAAUGUGAAUGAGUAGGGAUUGCCAUACAAAGGAUGCACUAGAGCUAUAAGUAUGUGAAAGCUCAAAAGGAGAACUAGUGGGUGUGCAUCCAACUUGCUUGCUCACGAACACCUAGGGCAAUUUUGAGGAAGCCCAUCAUUGGAAUAUACAAGCCAAGUUAUAUAGUAAAGAUUCCCACUAGUAUAUGGUGGUGACAAAACGAGAGGCUCUCAAUCAUGGAGAACAUGGUACUAUUAUGAAGCACAAGUGUGGAAAAAGAUAGUAGCAUUGUCUCUUCCCUUUUUUCUCUCUUUUUUAUUUGGCUCUUUGGCCUCUUUUUCUCUCUUUUUUUAUUGCGGGCAAAUUGGCCACUUUUUUUAUUUCCUCACAUGGGACAAUGCUCUAAUAAUGAUGAUCAUCACACUUUUAUUUACUCACAGAUCAAAGCUCAGAACGAUGAUGACUCUAUAGGAAAUGCCUCCGGCAGUGUAUCGGGAUGUGCAACGAUCUAGCUUGGCGUAUGACGUUAAAACAUCUCGCUAGCUAUCUUAAGAUCAUGCAAUGGCAAUAUAAGAGUGACGACACAAGUCAUGAGAUGGAACGGUGGGAGUUUCAUGGCAAUAUAUCUCGGAAUGGCUAUGAAAAUGACAUAGUAGGUAGGUAUGGUGGCUGUUUUGAGGAAGGCAUAUGGUGGGUUUGUGCACCGGUGAAAAUUGCGCGGCACUAGAGAGGCUAGAAAUGGUGGAAGGUGAAAGUGCAUAUAUACCAUGGGCUUACAUUAGUCAUGAAGAACUCACAUACUUGUUGGGAAAGUUUUUAUUAGUAAUCGAAACAAAGUGCUAAACACAUACUCCUAGGGGAAGGGUUGGUAGGUGUUAACCAUCGCGCGAUCCCGACCGCAACACAAAGGAUGACAAUCAAUAGAUCAAUUAUGCUCCGACUUCCUAACAUAGCGGUUCACCAUACGUGCAUGUUACGGGAAUCACUAACUUCAACACAAAUAUUUCUAGAUUCACAACACCCUACUAACAUAACUCUUAAUAUUACCAAAUCCAUGUCUCAAAACUAAUUGAGAGGAAUCAAACUUUUCUUUCUACUCAAUACACAUGAAGAUGGAAGUUUUUGUGUGCUCUUUGAGUACCUACCACCUUUGGGACUACUUUCAUAGCACAAACCAACUACCAAGUCACGCACCGUCGUGCUCUAAAAGAUCUAAGUGAAGCACAUAGAGCAAAAUUAUCUAGCUCAAAAGAUAUAAGUGAAGCAUGAUGAGCAUUCUAGUAAAUUCACGAUGAGUGCAUGUCUCUCUCAAAAGGUGUGCAGAAAGGAUGAUUGUGACACAACAAAAAGAAAAUACUCCUACGGUACAAGACGCUCCAAGCAAAACACAUAUCAUGUGGUGAAUAAAAAUAUAGCUCCAAGUAAUGUUACCGAUGGAUUGAAGACGAAAGAGGGGAUGCCUUCCCGGGGCAUUCCCAAGCUUAGGCUUUUUGGUGUCCCUGAAUUUUGCUUGGGAUGCCUUGGGCAUCCCCAAGCUUGAUCUCUUUCCACUCUUUAUCCAUUUGUCCAUGAAAACAUCACCCAAAACUUGAAAACUUCACAACAAAAAACUUAAACAGAAACUCGUGAUAUCAUUAGCACAAGAAAACAAACUACCACCUCUUUAGGUAUUGUAGCAAUCUUGAUAUCUAUUUAUAUUGGUGUUAGAUUACUGUAUUCUCACUUUUCCAUGGCUAGUACCCCCCGAUACUAUCCAUAGUUUCAUCAAAUCAAGCAACCAACUUAACACAAACAUAAUCUGUCAAAAACAGGCCAGUCUGUAGCAAUCUGUAUACUUCGUAUACUUUUGGUACCUCAAAAAUUAUGACAAAUUGCGACUGCCUGGUAAAAAGGCAUAUCAACCAGCAGCAAAAAGAAUCAACUCAAAAUCUCUUUAUGAAUAAAAUUGAAAAAUAAUCUCGUGAGCGAAAAGUUUCUGUAUUUUUCCAGCAGGAUGAAACAACCAUCACCAAGACUAGUCAUAAAGGUUUUGCUUGGCUCAAACACAAAAAGAAACACAAAAGGCACAAUCAUAACAGAAUUAUGAUAGUGUCGACGCAACAAAACAGAAAUAAAAAUAUAAAUUCAUUGGGUUGCCUCCCAACAUACGCUAUUGUUUAAUGCCCUUAGCUAGGCAUAAGGCGAUAGAAUCACGUAUCGUCGUCUUUGGUGCUCAAACCAUAAGUAGCAUGAUCACUCAUCAUCUUAAGGUCUUCAUCUUUCUUAAUAGAUGAUUCACCACUAUUUUUAGGAACAAAAACAGACUUGGUGGCCUUAUUGUGGGCAAAAUUUGGAGUAUUCUGCACAACGGCAAAAGCGGAACCCAAGUUGGUUAUAACAUCCUCUAGUUUGCCAAUCCUAGCGGAAUCAUGACCUAGUUUUCCGUUAACUGUGGGUUCCUUCUACUUUAAAUUUUUCAAAACCAUUCCCACCUUGGAUCCGUACUGAGUGAUUUGAUUGUGGAUCUUUUUAUCCAAAUUCUCAAUGAGUUCGAUCGUAGCAACUUUAUUUUCAAUGACGUCUAGCCUAUGCAUCACAUGUUCCAGAGUUAAGGUAGUUCCUUAACCAUGAGUGGGGGUGAGCCUACCAAAUUUAUUACAGCUCCGUAAGAAUCAACGGUAUGGCUACCCAAGAAAUUUCCGCCUACGAUGGUGUCAAUAAUAUACCUAUUCCAAGGAGAAAUACCCACAUAAAAACUACGAAGCAGGACAGUAGUAGAUUGCUUACGAGCAGAUCUACUCUGAGCAUUGCAAAUCCUAUACCAAGUGUCCUUUAAGUUUUCUUCCUCAUUUUGUUUGAAACCGAGAACUUCGUUCUCGGGAGUAUUGUUCGUAGCGGUGGGUCUAGCCAUGAGGACAAGUAGACUAUCCCACACAAACGAACAUAAAGCAAGCGAGAGAAAAGGGCGAACGAAAAGGGCAAACGAAAAAAGGCAAAUAUUUUUGUAAAUUUUUGUUUUUCAGAAGUGGGGGAGAGGAAAACGAGAGGCAAAAAAAAGUAAAUGCAAGAGAUGAGUUUGCGACACUUACUUGGAUGAGUUCUUGACUUGAUCCUCCCCGACAACGGCGCCAUAAAUCCUUCUCCUGCCUCUUGAGCUUGCGUUGGUUUUUCCCUUCAAGAGGAAAGGGUGAUGCAACACAGGAGCAGUAAGUAUUUCCCUCAGUUUGAGAACCAAGGUAUCAAUCGAGUAGGAGAAUCGCGCCAAGUCCAGAGUACCUGCGCAAACACAAAAGAUGUUGCACCCAACGCUAUAAAGGGGUUGUCAAUCCCUUCAAGAUUGAUUGCAAAGUGAGAUCUGAAGGCGGAAAGUGCAAUGAAGUAAAAGUGUAAGGCUGGAAAUAUGGUGUGAAGUAGACCCGGGGGCCAUAGUGUUCACUAGAGGCUUUUCUCAAAAUAGAAAAUAGUACGGUGGUUGAACAAAUUACUAUCGAGCAAUUGAUAGAACCGCGCAAAUCAUGACGAUAUCUAAGGCAAGGAUCAUACAUAUCGGCAUCACGUCCGAGACAAGUAGACCGAUACUUUCGGCAUCUACUACUAUUACUCCACACAUCGACCGCUAUCCAGCAUGCAUCUAAUGUAUUGAGUUCAUGACGAGCAGAGUAACGCCUUAAGCAAGAUGACAUGAUGUAGAGGGAUAAACUCAAACCAAUGAUGUGAACCCCAUCUUUUUAUCCUUGAUGGCAAAAACAUGAUGCGUGCCUUGCUACCCCUUCUGUCACUGGGUGAGGUCACCACACGGUAUGAACCCAAAACCAAGCACUUCUCCCAUUGCAAGAAUCAUAUAUCAAGUUGGCCAAACAAAACCCACAACUCGAAGAGAAUUACAAGGAUAGGAAAUCAUGCAUAUAAUAGAUCAGAAGAAACUCAAAUAAGAUUCAUAGAUAAUCUGAUCAUAAAUCCACAGUUCAUCGGAUCUCGACAAACACACCGCAAAAGAAGAUUACAUCGGAUAGAUCUCCAUGAAGAUCACUGAGAACUUUGUAUUGAAGAUCCAAGAGAGAUAAAAAGCCAUCUAGCUACUAGAUAUGGACCUGAAGGUCUAUGGUGAACUACUCACGCAUCAUCGGAGAGGUCAUGGUGUUGAUGAAGAAGCCCUCCGUAUCCAAAUCUCCCCUCUGGUAGGGCACCAAACGUGCCCCAGAUGGGAUCUUGUAGAGACAGAAGCUUGCGGCGGCGGAAAAGUAUUUUCAUGGAUCUCUGCCGCAGUUAUGGAUUUUUUCUGAAUUUAUAGGCGGAAGAGGUAGGGCAGGCGAGCCACAGGGGGCCACAAGCCUGCUAGGCGCGGGCCCCCCUAGCCGCACCUAGGGGGCUUGUGGGGUCCCCUGGUGGCCCCUGCCUUCAUUCUCAAGUCUCGUGCGUAUCUUCUGUUCUGGAAAAAAUCUUUUCGAAAGUUUUAUUCCGUUUGGACACCGUUUAAAAUAUUCCUCUGAAAAUGGUAAAAAACACGGAAAAAACAGGAACUGGCACUUGGCACUGAGUUAAUAAGUUAGUCCCAAAAAAGAUAUAAAAGGCAUACAAAACAUCCAAAGUUUGACAAGAUAAUAGCAUGGAACCAUCAAAAAUUAUAGAUAUGGUGGAGACGUAUCAUCGACACAGGUCGGAAAUCCACAAGAGGCUAGCCAGACCAACGUCAUACAUGAAUAUUGAUAAAAUAUCUCUACAAAAAUAAUGAAGUACAAAACCAAUAGAAAAUAUUAUGUGCACAACAAUAAUUUUAUGUUCUGAGAGAAUAGUCAGGAAAAACAAAACCUAAUAUUCACCCGACGUAAUGACCCUUGAUUUGACUUUCAUGGCAUUAAUCUCCGUUGCCGCGUAGUGCAACCGUCUAUAGUUAGCUGAUGCCUACAUGCGUCGAGCUUGCAGUGGCCUUUAGGGGGAGCUCGAUGAUCACCGGCGCCUAAGUACAGGUAGCGUACACGGCCAAGGUCGAGCCCCUAUCUUCGAACCUGAGCUCGAAGCCGAAUCCAACGUAACGGUCGACCCCAGGUUUCCGGAUGUAGUCAUCGGAUCCGAGCUCAAAAAAAAAUCCAGGAUAGGGGUCGAUCCGGAAAUGGGGUCGAGGAGGAGGCCCGAAGUUAAAGCUUCGGAACGUCCGGGCUCAUCGGGUGAUGUCGUGAACCUAACAAGGAACAGAUCGCCCUGAGCGUUGGCGACGUACUCUAGGUUGUCGAACUUCAACUUCUGUCCUGGGGCAAGGCUAUCGAUCUGUUCAAGAUGAUCGACUGCAUCAGCGUGAUGCGAGGAGUUGGUCGGCUGGUGAAGACGAAGUCCCGAGAGUAGUUGAUGAAGAGAUGGUGAAUCCCCCGGUCUAGCCGAUGUGAUGAAGAAGUUGGUAAGUUGACGGUAGAGCCCCCAUGCCAGCCUACGUAUCAAAGCAGGUCGGCGUGAUGGAUGCCAGCUUGAAGAAGCGACGACACGGAAAUGCCGUUGCAGGUCAGAAUUUGUGACACGGCCAAUGCCGGCUUUCUAAAGUGACCGCGCAGUGAUGGUGGUGCGCCCAAUCCGUUUAAUCCACAGGGUGACGAUGUUCUCUUCAUAAUUAGUUGUCCUUCACGAUGCCAAACACUUGGUCGGCUCGCCCAGGUGAUAAUCCGAGGUGGUUGCCGUCGGCUCGAUGGAGCGACGGUGCACUCGAUGUUAGCGGAGGUCGGUAGCCAUGGACCAACGUGGUCGGGACGGUUUGACAUCAGCGCGACGGUGAGGAUUGCCUCGGAAAAUACUUCAAAUUUGUGGGCAUGUAUUUGAAAACGACACACAAUACCCUGGAAAAAAAUCUCCACAAAUGAUGUCCCAUAUCCCAUUCAUGAAGAAAGAUGAAUUUGGGUCAGAUUAGUUUUCGCGCAGAAAGCAGAUCCGAAAAUUGAAGUACUCAUAGGACGUUUAUUGGAGUUUGAACGGUUGUAUAAAGCUGAACUUUUGAGGGGUGAUCGAUAUUAGAAUUCUGCAUCUGAUGAACGGUGGGAUCUUGCAAACGAACUCUGAACUAGCCACUUGACUCAUUGCCCUAAAGUCGUCUAGAUUCUCAUCUAGAUUUGACAUGACUCGAGUAGAUCGGAGUUUGGAGGAGAUUCCUCCAUCGGAACAUGAUGAAAUUUAUAGGAUGACCCUCCAAAUUCCUCACAAUUCCACUGAAGCAAUCGUCAAAGCGACCCUCCAGAAAGUAUGGAUGACGAACACGAGUCGCUAUCCAGAAAAACUACAUGGUUGCCAGAGGACGAUGUUACCAUCGAGCCUUGUCAAAUCUGGUGGUGACACGCGUCGUGCGCUCGCUCGCUGGUCUGCAGAUGGGCCCCACCACUACAAGAGGCACAAAUAGGCAUGCAGAGACGACCAGCCGAGCCGACAGGAUACCGGUGCGGAGUUCGGUGUUGAUCCUGCCCAGUCGGCUGGCUCAGGAUCCAGCGACAAUUCGUCCAGGCCCAAGCCAUCAUCACUCCAUGAUCGGCCUCUCAAGGAUCAGUAAUGUGGCUCAGGAUCUUCUGGUCCCUCCUCUACAUCACCAGCUCCACCCGAGGCCACAGAAAAUCCUGAUGUCUCAUUGGGGAGAUCUGCUUUGGAAUCAGUUGGUGGAGCCGACGGAUCUUCUGUUCCAAGCAACCCUGCUACAACUUUUGUUCUACGGCAUACAUGUCUACAAAAGGGGGUAACGAAGCCUUUUAAUUACAGACAAAUAACAAAGUUUGGUUUGGCAUGUUCGACGGGUGAACCUAGUACUCUUGACGAGGCACUCAGUGAUACACGGUGGGAGAAGGCUAUGGAAGAGGUACACAUGGCACUUCAUAAAAACAAAACAUGGCAUCUAGUUCCCCAGAGAGAGGUAAAAAAAUUGUUUGAUUGUAAGUGGGUUUUCAGAGUCAAAAGAAGAUCUGAUGGAAUCAUAGAUCGAUACAAGGCCAGAGUUGUUGCAGAAGGCUUCAAACAGUGUAUGGCAUAGACUAUGAGGACAGAUUUAGUCAUAUUGUAAAAUCUGCAAGUAUUCGUCUUGUACUGUCUAUUGUUGUUUCCAGGGGAUGGAGUCUCACACAUCUAGAUGUAUAGAACGUGUUUCUUCAUGGUGUUCUAGAAGAGGAAGUAUACAUGAAACAACCUCCUGGGUUUGAAAACAAGAAUAAACCAUGUCAUGUGUGCAAGCUUGAUAAAUCCUUGUACGGACUAAAACAAGCUCACAGGGCAUGGUACUCCAGACUCAGUCAAAAAUUACAAGCACUUGGUUUUGCUCCUUCCAAAUCGGAUACGUCCUUGUUUAUCUAAAAUAAGUCAAAUACCUAUAUAUUUGUUCUUAUCUAUGUUGACGAUAUUAUUGUCACAAGUUCAUCUAAUGAGGCAAUAACAUCAUAGUUGAAAGAUCUAAGUGGUGAUUUUUCACUAGAGGAUUUGGGAGACUUGCAUUUCUUCCUAGGGGUUGAAGUCAAGAAACAUGGUGAUAGUCUUCAUCUCUCCGAGGAAAAAUAUGUCACUGAUUUGGUGAGAAGAGUGGGUUUGUAGGGAUGUAAGUCCUCUCCAACUCCUCUCUCUAGUACGGAAAAAUUGUUGGCUACUGAUGGUGAACCUUUGUGCCAAAAGGAUAGCACCAGAUAUAUAAGUUUGUUGGGAGCGCUUCAGUAUUUAACUCUGGCAAGAACUGUUAUUUAUUUUGUUGUAAAUAAAGUAUGUCAUUUUCUUCAUGCACCCACCAACACUCAUUGGACUUCUACCAAAUGCAUAGUAAGAUAUGUGAAGCAUACUCUAAAUCUUGGUCUCACUUUCAACAAAUAUUCAUCCACUUUUGUUAGUGCUUUUUCUGAUUCUGAGUCGGCGGGAUGUCUAGAUGACAAACACUCUACUGGUGGCUUUGUAGUGUUUUUGGUCCAAACUUGAUAUCAUGGUUUGCCAAGAAACAAGCCAUUGUAUCAAGAUCAAGCCCAGAAUCUUAGUACAAGGCAUUAGAAAAUGCCACAAUAGAAAUCAUUGGGGUGCAGUCCAUGCUAAAAGAACUUGGUGUGAAGAAUACAUAACUUCCAUGCUUGUGGUGUGAUAAUAUUGGUGCUACCUACUUAUCUGCUAACCCUGUUUUUUAUGGCAGGACAAAACACAUUGGAAUUGAUUUCCAUUUUUUCAGAGAAAGAAUUGCUAAAAGGUAAUUGGACAUUCGUUUUGUGCAUUCACAAGAUCAGGUUGCAGAAAGCAAUACCAAAAAGAAAUCUUGAAGAAUUCAAACGUAAUCUCAACUUGACAAAUUUGUGAUUAAGGGAGGGUAUUAAACAUGUCAAUGAACGCAUGUGUUACAUUUCACACAUGAUGUCGCUGCCUUUGAUGAUCAAACCUUGGAUAUCAAGCAGUUGGAUAGGUUAGAGUUAGUUUAAACUUAUGUUAUCUCUUGUAAACCGAAUCUAUCUCUAUCUCUAGCUAUUCCUUGUACUCCAAGCAUGUGAUACUAAUUGUAUGCUACCCAGGGGGUUGCGACCCUGUGCAAUACAACACGAAGCUGUCGCCUAGAGCUAGGGUAUGACGUCCUCACACACCCCUCUCCUACAGGUCAUGAGUCGAUUAAAAGUGGAUGUGGAUUAGUAUUCAGACUUCUCUUUUUUUGCAUGUGCUACUUGUGUCUUGCAGUGUUAUCGAAAAAGGAUUUGACCCUGCUUUGUAGAUAAAGCAAACCACCAAGCCACCAGUACAAGAAUAAGUCCAAAUCCGAACACACACACCUAAGGUAGUGUUGGGAAACGUUGCAUGGGGAACAAAAAAAAUCCUACGCACACGAAGACCUAUCACUACUGAAAAUCAGAAUUUGCCGUCUGCCAUGGUGGACGGCAAAGGGGGGAACCACUGACGGCAAAGGCUUUGCCGUCGGUCAGCAGACGGCAAAGUAGACGGCAAAAAAAAUCCGGUGAAGAGGUUCUUUGCCGUGUGCUUUCUUAAAGCGGAUGGCAAAGAAUCUUUUCCAUGAGGGGGCAGACGGAAAAAUAAAUGGGACGGCACAUACACCAACGGCCCCGUUAAGUGUUAACGGUAGGCCUCCUCUCUUUGCCGUCUGCCAUCCCCCCUUUGCCAUGUGGGGGCAGACGGCAAAGGGGGGAACCAGCCCCCUCUCUAUCCCCUCUUUUCCGUCUGCCAUCCCCCCUUUUCCAUGUGGGGGCAGACGGCAGAGGGGGGAACCAACCCCCCUCUCUCCCCCUUUGUCGUCUGCCUUCACCCCUUUGCCAUGUGGGGGUAGACGGCAAAGGGGGGAACCGGCCCCUUUUUAAUUUAUUUCUUAUUAUAUCCAACAUUUUUCACAAUAAUCAGGAGAUAUAUAUAUAUAUAUAUAUAUAUAUAUUACAUAAAUAAAUUUCUUUCCGGACUCAUAACCAUAUUAAAAUAACUUUCAUCCAUAGUACAUACAUAUUAUGCAAGUUGCAUCCGUACCAAACCAUAUAUUACACCAGUUUCAUCCACAUGCAUACAAAGUUUCAUAUAUAUCCAUAUAUAUACUACAAUAGUUUCAAUACAAGCUUAUGUGAAGCCAUGGUACAAGAAAUCAUCUUCAAGCAUUCCAUUAAUAUAAUCCGAGCUUCUCGUGAAGUGAAUGUAAUCUACAAAAUGACAAAUAAGAAAGUUAGAAGAAUAAUACUAGAUGAAGAAGUAUAUAUAGGUUAUUUCGGAGAGAAAUUAUCUAAGUAUAGGCCAUUUAAUAGCUAAAUUAGGUGGAAUAGGUCAUCUUGGAGCUACAUAGCCUUAGUAUGUCAUUUAGGAGAGAACUUAGCUAAGUAUAGGUCAUUCUAGAGCUAACUUGGAUAAAAAUAUGUCAUUUUGUAGCGAACUAUGAUUAUUAAUCCAUUUUGACCUAGUUAUGUCAUUUUGGAGCUAAAUUAGUCAUUUUAAUGAGCUAACCAAGGUUCUUAUGAUGUUUUUACGUAACUAUGCUAAUUAGCUAAGUAUGUCUUUGUUGGGGAAAAUAACCUACGUAGAAUAAGAAAGAGAAGAAGCAAGAAGAGAAGAAGAAGGACAAGAAAAAUAAGAAGAAGGAGGAGGAAGAGGAGAAGGAGAAGAAGAAGAAAAGAAGAAGGACAAGAAGAAGGAGAAGGAGGAGAAGAACGAGAAGGAGGAGCUCCUUCUCCUUCUUCUACUCCUUCUUCUCCUUAUUCUUAUCCUCCUCCUUCUCUUGUUCUUCUUCUCUUCUUCUUGUUCUUCCUUCCUUUCANNNNNNNNNNNNNNNNNNNNNNNNNNNNNNNNNNNNNNNNNNNNNNNNNNNNNNNNNNNNNNNNNNNNNNNNNNNNNNNNNNNNNNNNNNNNNNNNNNNNNNNNNNNNNNNNNNNNNNNNNNNNNNNNNNNNNNNNNNNNNNNNNNNNNNNNNNNUUUUCCUCUUUCUUCUCCUCUUGUCCCCUUCUUCGGGCUAAAUUAGCUAAGAAUGCCUUUUUGGAGCUAAUUAUGUCAUUUCGAGGAUAAUUAGCUAAGUAUAGGUCAUGUUUUAUUAAAUAGACCAUUUUGGAGCUNNNNNNNNNNNNNNNNNNNNNNNNNNNNNNNNNNNNNNNNNNNNNNNNNNNNNNNNNNNNNNNNNNNNNNNNNNNNNNNNNNNNNNNNNNNNNNNNNNNNNNNNNNNNNNNNNNNNNNNNNNNNNNNNNNNNNNNNNNNNNNNNNNNNNNNNNNNNNNNNNNNNNNNNNNNNNNNNNNNNNNNNNNNNNNNNNNNNNNNNNNNNNNNNNNNNNNNNNNNNNNNNNNNGUAAAAUAGGUCAUUCAGGAGCAGACUAUGCUUAUUAAGCCAUUUUGGAUCUAGCUAGGCUAAUUAUAGGCCAUUUAAUACCUAAGUUAGGGGAAUAGGUCAUCUUGCAGCUACGUAAGCCUUAUUAUGUCAUUUAGGAGAGAACUUAGCUAACUAUAGGUCAUUUGUUAUUAAAUAGGUUAUUUUGGAGCUAACUAAGCUCAUUAUGUCAUUUAGAUGGAAGUCUAGCUAAUUUUUAUUAAAACACUAGAAAUAACAUACCAUUAUCGUCAUCACGGCGGUGAAGCACGGUGGCUUUGGCUUGUUUCACCUGGAGAAGGCUGCCCUGGAGAAGGCUCCACUGUAGAAGGGUCGUGCGAUGCGUUUCGGGAGAUAUUCUGCACCAAACAUCGUUUGCAAUGUGUCGUUAGCAUGAGGACACUCUUAAGAUCACUGCACUGAAAUGAAACUCACCGUCCCCGCCACGUUAAUGACUGGCAUCGGCGGAGGGACUUGGCCGCUCUUCUCGCACAUAGACUGUACAUUUGGCUUCGACAAGUCAAACUUUUUAUUUAUUAAUGAAACGGACAUUCAAAUGCAAGAUUUGCAAUAACAUGAAGAAGAAACUUACCACGAAGAGCUCGUAUAUGGCCCUGUUAGACGCAUCAUUUUGUGCCCUCUCCGCCUCCACCAAUGCAGUCGUCCUCUCCUCCAGCUCCCUAAUCUCCUUAUCCUUCUCCGCCAUAGCCGCCUGCAUUGCCUCUCUCUCUCUUUCUAAAUAGCAGCCUGCAACACAACUCAUUGUUAGCAAUGUAAUCAUAUUGAUUCCAACGCACAACAUAACGCGGAAAGAUAGUUGAGUCCAUUAAACUAACCUCGAUGGCGAGCUCGACUGGCCGUGGACGAUGUGUUAUCUCCGGACAGGAGCUUGUUUGGCGUGCCUUUAUCUGCCGGAGAGUGCUAGGACAACGUAUAAGGCCGUCUCCAAUGGCGAUCGAGCCAUGGGGCCUCCCGUUGCCAGCUAUCAUCACCAGCUCUGGAUUAAUAGGCCCCUCGCUCGGGUUAAAAUCCUCCCAUUUCCUCGCCUUCCCGUGAUCUCUGUACUUCACGAGCUUGUGGUGGGAGGAGAUGUUGGUGAAGUUUUCUGGGUGCUCGAGGUCAGAGUCAGAGAAUGCCUUGACCUUCUUGUACGAGGCAGUAUGGGCCAUCGCAUACAGGUCGUACAUCUGUGGCACCUCCAUCUUAUUGUGACGCGCCUAAAAGAGAGAGAGAGGAAAAUUGUAUUAGUAAAGGGCUCAAGAUAGCAUUAAGAAUGAGUUGCAUGAGGCAUGAAGCAAACCACAUACCGAGUCCUCGCCAAAUUGGAUUAAGUUGACGCUCCCUUGAUGGUGUGGCACACUAACCAUUUUGCCACGCCCCUCCUUGGCAUUGUUGUGGCUGGCCUCCCACGUUUCGGAGCACUAGUGAUCCACCAAGGCCUCCCAACAAUCCAUCUUAUCCACACACUAUCUCGGGGGCACCUAAGUUAAUAAAGAGAAAUUUGAGCGCGUAAGAACCAAAUCAAGGAAACUAACUACAAAGCCUUAAUAAUAUGUAAUUACCUUCAUGUAAUGCUCCUUCUCCAUCUUAGCAUCACGACACUUCGCUUUGUCAAUCCUAAUACGCCGCGUGGCAUAGUAGUCUCGAACAGCCUGCACCCGAGCCUCGUGCCAAAAGUUUUGAAGUAGGCGGCGACAUUCGGUUUCGAUAACCUUUCCCGCGUCCUCCUCGUAUCCCUCCUCACACCUGUAGUAGGUCUGCAAACGAGACAACAUUGAUUAGUACAAUAAAUAGCUAUGGUUGAUUUAUAAUUGUGUGAAGGAGAAAUUACCCAGAACUGUCGGAUCACCAUGUCGGCCCUCGUGUGGCACAAAACACCAUCGAUCUCCACCUCCGACGGGACCGGGGCACCCAAGUAGUGCUCCCAGGUCAUUCCUACCUCUCGCUCCCGACCGGGCAACGUAACAAACCCUGGGAAGUAUUUAAGGCAAAGCACACCAAGGACGCUGUUGGGCUUGCGGACACCCUUGGCAACAAUCCAACCCCUACAGUAUGACAAAUUAAAGCCAAAACAUUAGAUAUUUGAGAAAACGCGAAGGCAAAAGGUUAAAUAAUAGUAAAUUAACUUACUUGUCCCCAUUUGGCCUAAUCGACCACCUCUGCUCGGGGGUCGCCGGCACGAGCGGGAGCCCCGAACUACCAUGCUGGUAGACAACAGCCCCCUCACCCAGCUCCUCGUUGCUACCAGCAUGGCCAGUUGGCUCAGCCCAGGUAUCCCACUGGGUCUCUUGGGACGUACCCUCAUCCCUGCUUUGCUCCGAAGUCGCCUGGAACGAAGCCUCUAGGACACGAGUCUCGUGGGUCGAAGGCUCGUCGACCUGAGGCUCGUCGACCCAAGGCUCGUGAACCGGAGACCAUGUAGCCUCCACCUCAGAUGAAUCCACCCUAGAAGCCAUGUGCUCAGGUGAAUCAGCUUGGGGUGGUGGCGGAGACCGUGUAGCCUCCACCUCAGAAGGCGUGGCAGCCACCGCCCUACCUCUCCCGCGGCCACAUGUACCUUUAGUACAACAUAAAUACCAACAUGAGUAAUAAAAUGUAUAUAAAUACCAAUAUACAUACAACAUGAGUACAACAUAAAUACCAACAUGAAUACAACGUGUACCUUUAGUACCUCUCGGCUUCGCGGGAGGUCGACCUCCUCUCACGGGGGCGCUCCUUGCAGAGUAGAGAGCAACGCUCUCCGAAGAGGCGAGGCAGGAAUGGAAGUACCCAUCCCAUCACCCACCGACGAAGAAGGAGCCGCGGAGUGUUUUCGACCCUUUCCCACCAUCUUUCAACACCUGUCAUGACAAAGAGUAAAUGAAAUGAGUACAACAUAAAUACCAACAUGAGUAAUAAAAUUUAUAUAAUUUAAGUGUAUCAUCGUCAUAAAUACUAACAUGACUAACAAAAAUUGAAUACCUAACAUGAACUCAAAAUUUAUAUAUAGUAUAAUAGUUGAAUACCUAACAUGAACUAAUAACAAUCGUGCUCGUCUAUAUAUGCUUCAGGGUCAAUAAAUGCAUCAUGAUCAUCACUAUAAUCAAUAAAUGCAUCAUCAUCAUCACUAUCACGAAGAACAUGUGGAAGGCCACCAUUAUGUAAUCAGUCAAGAAGUGACAGGUCAUCCACAGCAGUAACCUCUUCUUCUUCCAGUUCUUCCUGUUCGGGCUCAGGGGUUAAGACGGAUUCACUGUCGCUGUCUACUUCAAUGUUCUGGGGUGAAGUAGAGUGGUUCUUGAAACGUUUCUUGGACAUACGUGUUUCUUGGAAGAAUUCUCCUUCAUAUGUGUCUGGGUUAAUGUGAGGUUCGUAAUCCUGUUCAUUGAGGGUAGGUGGUCUAAAAUGUGGUGGCACUUCAUAAACGACAUCCCAAAGUUUGAGAUUUGGAUCCGUUUGGCAGGCCCACGGUAGAUAGAAAACUUGUGUCGCCUGUUGAGCCGUAAUAUACACAUCAGGAACAUCUAAGUGGGUGUUUUGGUUGAUUUCGACUAGUCCUAUAUGUUCAUGAGUCCUUCUAGUCUCCCUCGGCUCAAACCAAUAACAUUUGAAGACUACGACGGUCGGUGGGUUUUCACCAUAUAGAAUAGAAGUUCAUAAAUUGCUUCAACUCUUCCAUAAUACUCGGUGUCUCCUUCGCUGAUAGCAGAGAUAGAACAAUUUGUAGUCUUUAGGUCGGGCAUAGAUAGCUCUUUGCCAAAGGUACGAAAGUGAUACCCGUUGAUGUUGUAUUUGUCAAAUAAACGAACCUUAUAGUCAAAACCAUUAGCGACUUAUCUCAACUCGGCGUCCAUAGACUCUGCAUCAGCCUACAAGUUUAAUACGAAAGAAUGGAUGCAUUAGCCGCAAAUUAGACCAAGAAAUCAAAUGGGCCCUUAAUGGUAAUUAAUUACCCUUUGUUUGAACCAAGAGAUGAAACCGGGAUAGUCGCCUCCAUGCUUUGCGAGAAGCUCAUACUCUUUGACGGAAUCCUUUUCGAUGACCGCUCCAUCUGAGAAUUCGGCGACGUAUCGACUAUAUCAAAUAUCCGGGAAUAAGAGUAGUUCAAAGCAAUUAGAAGUUGCGGAACAAUAAAUUACCGAGAACUUACUCGAUGUACGGCCGCACUUCUGUUAGGUUGGUGAAGAUAUACAAUGAAAUGGUCCGUCAUUCUUCGACAUCCAACGAUUUCCCUUUCGAAGCACGGGAUGGUGCGAGCUUACCUUUGAAUAGGCUGAGGUUGGAUCAAACUUUUUUUGGAUCGCCAUCAUUGUACCGAGGCUUCGGGUUAUGCAAAUGAUGAUUUUUGGCUUCGUAGUGUGUUGUCACGAAGUUUGCCGCCUCCUCACUAAUGAAUGCCUCGGCCAUCGAUGCUUCAAUUCUACGUUUAUUUUUACACUUAGCUCGAAGCGUCUUCUGCAUCCUCUCAGUUGAGUAGCACCAUCGAUUUUGAACGGGCCCCCCCAUUCUUGCCUCGGUCGGAAGAUGCAAAAUCAAAUGUUGCAUUGGAUUAAAGAAGCCCGAUGGAAAGAUCUUUUCUAAUUUGCAGAUCAACUCCGGCACCAACUCUUCCAUUUCAUCUAGCACGCCAGGCGAUAGUUCUUUCGCACAAAGAGAAUGGAAGAAAUAGCUCAGCUCUGCCAGUACUAGCCAUUCAUCCUCAGGGAUAAAGCCACGCAACAUCACCGGCAUUACCCGCUCAGUCCAUAUGUGCCAAUCAUGACUCUUGAGACCAAAUAUUUUCAAUUUCUCAAGACUCGCUCCCCUCUUUAGAUUCGCAGCAUACCCAUCGGGGAACAUCAACCGCAUUUUCACCCACAAUAGCAUUUCCCUCAUAGCUGGCCUUUCAAGAUUGAACCAUGCCUUUGGCUUCGCUAUGCUUUGCUUUCCUUUCCGUUGUCGCAAGCUUUGCAACGGUCUAUCACAUAGAGCCUCCAGGUAGAUUCUAGCCUUAGGAUUAUCUUUUGACUUCCCCUCUAUGCCGAACAAUGUACCAAAAAUGGCCUCCGCAAUAUUCUUUUCAGUGUGCAUCACGUUGAUGUUGUGUGGGCAAAGAAGGUCUUUGAAGUAAGGCAGAUCACAUAAGCAUGACUUGUGAGUCCAGGCGUGUUCUAUAGUAUACCCUUUGAAGUAUCCUGGACGCAAAGGAUCAGGCUCGAGAGCGUUUAACUGAACAAGGGUCUGUUGGCCUGUCAACGCAGCUGGUGCAGUAUUUUUGACAACUCUACCUUUGAUGAAAUCCUUCUUGUCUUUUCUGAACUUAUGGUCAGGAUCUAGGAAUUGUCUAUGCAUGUCGAAGCAAGAAUACUUGUGACCAUCCUGCAGCCAACGGAACUGAAGAGCUGCCUUGCAUGUGGUGCACGGGAACCUUCCUUGCACACACCAGCCAGCGAAUAGUGCAAAUGCCGGAUAAUCAUGCGUCUUGUACAUGUACCACACAUGCAUUUUGAAAAAAAAAUUGGUAGCCGCGUCGUAGGUCUUGAUCCCAUUAUCCCAGGCUUCUUGCAACUCAUCCUUAAGCGGCUGCAUGUACACAUUCAUAUUCUUCCCCGGAUAGUUGGGCCCUAGAAUUAUCAACGUCAGGAAAAUGUUCUUUCUUUUCAUAAUCUCUCCGGGUGGCAAAUUUAGUGGAAUGACAAAUACAGGCCAACAACUGUAUUGUGAUGCCGUCAUACCAUACACAUUGAACCGAUCCGUGCUGAUGGCAACUCUAGGUUGCCUUGGAGCUUCCGAUUUAUCCUUAUGUAAUGCAUCGAAGAGCCUCCACGCAAAACCAUCGGAAGUGUGUACCAGCAUCUUGUUCCCAUUCGCAUCUAGUUCAGUUCUUUUGCCCAAUUUAUGCCAUGUCAUCUGUCUGGCCGUCUCUUCGACCAUGAAAAGACGUUGAAGUCUUGGUACGAUUGGCAGAUACCGACGAACACUAAUGGGGAUUUGGUCUGAUUCUUCUCACCCAUACCGUUGUCUACCACAAUAUACCUGGAAGAAUUGCAAAUGGGGCAAUAGUUCAAGGCUGCAUACUCAAGCCUAAAUAAGGCACAUCCAUUCUCACAGGCAUGUAUCUUCUCAUAGGGCAUCUUAAGUACACGGAGGAUUUUCUCUGACCGGUACAGGUUUGCAAGAAGUACAUGGCCUUUGGGUAGAAAGCGUCCAAAUAUCGUCAUCAUCGCGUCGUAGCAUUCUCUGCCUAGGUUGAAUUGAGCCUUCAGAGUCAUUACUUGCGCGAUGGAAUCCAGCUGACAAAGCUCAGUCUGCUCGUGGAGAGGAUGUUUUGAAGACUACAACAUUUCAUAGAAGGCCUUUGCAGAUUCCUCCAUCUCAUCAUCCGAAUCCCGAGCAUCAUCAAAGUCUUGGACCAUGUCUUCAAUCCUGGUACCAUGCUCGUCGGUGCGACGUCGAAUCACCUCAGCUCUGGCACGUUGGUCAGACUCACCAUGAAAAGUCCACACCGUAUAAUUAGGCGUAAAACCCCACUUCUGCAGGUGUUUACACAUUUCAAACUAUGUCUGCUUUUUCCAGUUGUCGCAGUUGGGAUAGGGGCACCAUGUUUUUUGCUGGCCAUUUGCAAAUGCGGCUCUCACAAACCCCCUGGUUUUUGUUAACCAUUCAUGGGUCAUGUCUUUCUGACUAGGGUGACCAGUGUACAUCCAAGCAUGAUCACUCAUGUUGCCUAGCUACCUAUGGGGGCACAAGAAAUAAAUAUAUAAUUCAUCAUCUAUAUUCAUACGCUAAUCAAGUUUGUUAGUUUUAUUACGUCCAUGCAACCUACACGCUAAUAGGUAAAGAUAGGUCCUAAUCCCACCCGAGUAUGUGUAGAUUGGGUUCGUUUUCCCAUGCUCUGCUCCAGAUGCGACGCGGAAUUUCGGCAGCACCUCCCCGCUAUUCUCCUGAUACACGUAUCGACAAUAAGCAGAGAGGAUGUGUACCCUGAGAACAACAGGGAGGCACUGACGAAAUUCCCCAUCGUAUCCGGAGCACAGCAUACGGGAAAACAAACCCAAUCUACACAUACUCGGGCUGUCCAUGGAUAAUGUUGGACAAUUCGAAAGGAUGGCGAUUAUAAAUAUGCAAAGANNNNNNNNNNNNNNNNNNNNNNNNNNNNNNNNNNNNNNNNNNNNNNNNNNNNNNNNNNNNNNNNNNNNNNNNNNNNNNNNNNNNNNNNNNNNNNNNNNNNNNNNNNNNNNNNNNNNNNNNNNNNNNNNNNNNNNNNNNNNNNNNNNNNNNNNNNNNNNNNNNNNNNNNNNNNNNNNNNNNNNNNNNNNNNNNNNNNNNNACUGGUCACGCAUACUCAUGAUUGAAGAAACCUAUAGCUAGUAAGUUUCAUCGGCACGAAGACCGGGACAGAGCAAAUUAAGGGGGUAGGAGAAGAAGUCAUUUGUGCUCACCAACAAACGCAAGGGCGGAGCUCGUCCAACGCACGUGGAGGUCGUCGAACAACUGCACAUUGAGAUUCACACGAUCAACACAAAUACGAUGUUUUUGUAAUUAACAUAAUCGGAAAAUAUGUGACCUAACUCAUAAUUUACAAAACUAUGACCUCAUGGGCCUCUGGAAGGCCGAAAAGCACCUUCUCGUUCAACAGAAGGCAGAAGAGGUGUCGGGGGUUGGGGCUUAGUGGCGUCGGGAGUCAGUGCCGUCGAGGGUCGGUGGUGUCGGGUGUCGCUGGCAUCGGGGGUCGGGGGUUAGUGGUGUUGGUUGUGGGGGGUCANNNNNNNNNNNNNNNNNNNNNNNNNNNNNNNNNNNNNNNNNNNNNNNNNNNNNNNNNNNNNNNNNNNNNNNNNNNNNNNNNNNNNNNNNNNNNNNNNNNNNNNNNNNNNNNNNNNNNNNNNNNNNNNNNNNNNNNNNNNNNNNNNNNNNNNNNNNNNNNNNNNNNNNNNNNNNNNNNNNNNNNNNNNNNNNNNNNNNNNNNNNNNNNNNNNNNNNNNNNNNNNNNNNNNNNNNNNNNNNNNNNNNNNNNNNNNNNNNNNNNNNNNNNNNNNNNNNNNNNNNNNNNNNNNNNNNNNNNNNNNNNNNNNNNNNNNNNNNNNNNNNNNNNNNNNNNNNNNNNNNNNNNNNNNNNNNNNNNNNNNNNNNNNNNNNNNNNNNNNNNNNNNNNNNNNNNNNNNNNNNNNNNNNNNNNNNNNNNNNNNNNNNNNNNNNNNNNNNNNNNNNNNNNNNNNNNNNNNNNNNNNNNNNNNNNNNNNNNNNNNNNNNNNNNNNNNNNNNNNNNNNNNNNNNNNNNNNNNNNNNNNNNNNNNNNNNNNNNNNNNNNNNNNNNNNNNNNNNNNNNNNNNNNNNNNNNNNNNNNNNNNNNNNNNNNNNNNNNNNNNNNNNNNNNNNNNNNNNNNNNNNNNNNNNNNNNNNNNNNNNNNNNNNNNNNNNNNNNNNNNNNNNNNNNNNNNNNNNNNNNNNNNNNNNNNNNNNNNNNNNNNNNNNNNNNNNNNNNNNNNNNNNNNNNNNNNNNNNNNNNNNNNNNNNNNNNNNNNNNNNNNNNNNNNNNNNNNNNNNNNNNNNNNNNNNNNNNNNNNNNNNNNNNNNNNNNNNNNNNNNNNNNNNNNNNNNNNNNNNNNNNNNNNNNNNNNNNNNNNNNNNNNNNNNNNNNNNNNNNNNNNNNNNNNNNNNNNNNNNNNNNNNNNNNNNNNNNNNNNNNNNNNNNNNNNNNNNNNNNNNNNNNNNNNNNNNNNNNNNNNNNNNNNNNNNNNNNNNNNNNNNNNNNNNNNNNNNNNNNNNNNNNNNNNNNNNNNNNNNNNNNNNNNNNNNNNNNNNNNNNNNNNNNUCGUUCGCCCUUUUCUUUCACUUGCUUUCUGUUCGCUUGUGUGCCAUGUGCCUUCAAUAUGCUUGCAUCUUCGCUUGCUGAAAAUCUAGUGAUAUGGAUCCUCAUCCACUUGCUAAUCUCUUUAAGAGAUCCAAUUAUGUUGAUCCAAUUGCUAGUGAGUUGAGUGCACUUGACUAUCUUUAUGCAGUUUUGCUUGAGAUGCGUGAAUCUGAAAAUUGUGAGGAAGAAAUUUAUGAAGUGAUUCACGAGGGCUCCUUGGAUGAAAACCAUGAUUGCAAUGGUUUCACUAUAAAUUCUAUUAGUGAAAAUCAUGCUAAAAAUAUGCAAAACCCUAAGCUUGGGGAUGNNNNNNNNNNNNNNNNNNNNNNNNNNNNNNNNNNNNNNNNNNNNNNNNNNNNNNNNNNNNNNNNNNNNNNNNNNNNNNNNNNNNNNNNNNNNNNNNNNNNNNNNNNNNNNNNNNNNNNNNNNNNNNNNNNNNNNNNNNNNNNNNNNNNNNNNNNNNNNNNNNNNNNNNNNNNNNNNNNNNNNNNNNNNNNNNNNNNNNNNNNNNNNNNNNNNNNNNNNNNNNNNNNNNNNNNNNNNNNNNNNNNNNNNNNNNNNNNNNNNNNNNNNNNNNNNNNNNNNNNNNNNNNNNNNNNNNNNNNNNNNNNNNNNNNNNNNNNNNNNNNNNNNNNNNNNNNNGUCAACUUUGCAUGCAUGUGGAUCAUGAAAAGAAUUUCCUAUGUGAUAGUUACAUUGUUGAAUUCAAAUAUGAUCCCACAUGUAAGUUCUAUGAGAGAGGAAAAUAUUGUGGUAGAAACUUUCAUGUUACCAAAUUACCUCUCGUUAUGUUGAGAUUGCUAUUGUCUCUUUCUUCUUCCUUGCAUUUGGAAACUAUUGGUUGUCUUGCCAAUUUGUUCUCUAUAAAAUGCCUAUGCAUAGGAAGUAUUUUAGACUUAGAUGUGAUUUUCACAUGCUCUAGGAUGCUCUCUUGUGCUUCAAUUCUUGUCUUUUGUGUGAGCAUCAUUGAAUUAUUGCGUAGCUAAGGGCGUUAAACAAUAGCGCUUGUUGGGAGGCAACCCNNNNNNNNNNNNNNNNNNNNNNNNNNNNNNNNNNNNNNNNNNNNNNNNNNNNNNNNNNNNNNNNNNNNNNNNNNNNNNNNNNNNNNNNNNNNNNNNNNNNUUGAAUGGGAGAAGUGCCUGGUUUUGGGUUCAUACCGUGUGGUGACCUCACCCAGUGACAGAAGGGGUAGCAAGGCACGCAUCGUGUUGUUGCCAUCAAGGGUAAAAACAUGGGGUUUACAUCAUUAGUUUGAGUUUAUCCCUCUACAUCAUGUCAUCUUGCUUAAGCCGUUACUCUGUUCGUCAUGAACUCAAUACACUAGAUGCAUGCUGGAUAGCGCUCGAUGUGUGGAGUAAUAGUAGUAGAUGCAGAAAGUAUCGGUCUACUUGUCUCGGGCGUGAUGCCUAUAGGUAUGAUCAUUGCCUUAGAUAUUAUCAUGACUUUGCGCGGUUCUAUCAAUUGCUCGACAAUAAUUUGUUCACCCACCGUACUAUUUGCUAUUUUGAUAGAAGCCUCUAGUGAACACUAUGGCCCCCGGGUCUACUUCACACCAUAUUUCCAGCCUUACACUUUUACUUCAUUGCACUUUCCGCCUUCAGAUCUCACUUUGCAAUCAAUCUUGAAGGGAUUGACAACCCCUUUAUAGCGUUGGGUGCAACAUCUUUUGUGUUUGCGCAGGUACUCUGGACUUGGCGCGAUUCUCCUACUCGAUUGAUACCUUGGUUCUCAAACUGAGGGAAAUACUUACUGCUCCUGUGUUGCAUCACCCUUUCCUCUUGAAGGGAAAAACCAACGCAAGCUCAAGAGGCAGGAGAAGGAUUUAUGGCGCCGUUGUCGGGGAGGAUCAAGUCAAGAACUCAUCCAAGUAAGUGUCGCAAACUCAUCUCUUGCAUUUACUUUUUUUUGCCUCUCGUUUUCCUCUCCCCCACUUCUGAAAAACAAAAAUUUACAAAAAUAUUUGCCUUUUUUCGUUUGCCCUUUUCGUUCGCCCUUUUCUCUCGCUUGCUUUAUGUUCGUUUGUGUGGGAUAGUCUACUUGUCCUCAUGGCUAGACCCACCGCUACGAACAAUACUCCCGAGAACGAAGUUCUCGGUUUCAAACAAAAUGAGGAAGAAAACUUAAAGGACACUUGGUAUAGGAUUUGCAAUGCUCAGAGUAGAUCUGCUCGUAAGCAAUCUACUACUGUCCUGCUUCGUAGUUUUUAUGUGGGUAUUUCUCCUUGGAAUAGGUAUAUUAUUGACACCAUCGUAGGCGGAAAUUUCUUGGGUAGCCAUACCGUUGAUUCUUACGGAGCUGUAAUAAAUUUGGUAGGCUCACCCCCACUCAUGGUUAAGGAACUACCUUAACUCUGGAACAUGUGAUGCAUAGGCUAGACGUCAUUGAAAAUAAAGUUGCUACGAUCGAACUCAUUGAGAAUUUGGAUAAAAAGAUCCACAAUCAAAUCACUCAGUACGGAUCCAAGGUGGGAAUGGUUUUGAAAAAUUUAAAGUAGAAGGAACCCACAGUUAACGGAAAACUAGGUCAUGAUUCCGCUAGGAUUGGCAAACUAGAGGAUGUUAUAACCAACUUGGGUUCCGCUUUUGCCGUUGUGCAGAAUACUCCAAAUUUUGCCCACAAUAAGGCCACCAAGUCUGUUUUUGUUCCUAAAAAUAGUGGUGAAUCAUCUAUUAAGAAAGAUGAAGACCUUAAGAUGAUGAGUGAUCAUGCUACUUAUGGUUUGAGCACCAAAGACGACGAUACGUGAUUCUAUCGCCUUAUGCCUAGCUAAGGGCAUUAAACAAUAGCGUAUGUUGGGAGGCAACCCAAUGAAUUUAUAUUUUUAUUUCUGUUUUGUUGCGUCGACACUAUCAUAAUUCUGUUAUGAUUGUGCCUUUUGUGUUUCUUUUUGUGUUUGAGCCAAGCAAAACCUUUAUGACUAGUCUUGGUGAUGGUUGUUUCAUCCUGCUGGAAAAAUACAGAAACUUUUCGCUCACGAGAUUAUUUUUCAAUUUUAUUCAUAAAGAGAUUUUGAGUUGAUUCUUUUUGCUGCUGGUUGAUAUGCCUUUUUACCAGGCAGUCGCAAUUUGUCAUAAUUUUUGAGGUACCAAAAGUAUACGAAGUAUACAGAUUGCUACAGACUGGCCUGUUUUUGACAGAUUAUGUUUGUGUUAAGUUGGUUGCUUGAUUUGAUGAAACUAUGGAUAGUAUCGGGGGGUACUAGCCAUGGAAAAGUGAGAAUACAGUAAUCUAACACCAAUAUAAAUAGAUAUCAAGAUUGCUACAAUACCUAAAGAGGUGGUAGUUUGUUUUCUUGUGCUAAUGAUAUCACGAGUUUCUGUUUAAGUUUUUUGUUGUGAAGUUUUCAAGUUUUGGGUGAUGUUUUCAUGGACAAAUGGAUAAAGAGUGGAAAGAGAUCAAGCUUGGGGAUGCCCAAGGCAUCCCAAGCAAAAUUCAGGGACACCAAAAAGCCUAAGCUUGGGAAUGCCCCGGGAAGGCAUCCCCUCUUUCGUCUUCAAUCCAUCGGUAACAUUACUUGGAGCUAUAUUUUUAUUCACCACAUGAUAUGUGUUUUGCUUGGAGCGUCUUGUACCGUAGGAGUAUUUUCUUUUUGUUGUGUCACAAUCAUCCUUUCUGCACACCUUUUGAGAGAGACAUGCACUCAUCGUGAAUUUACUAGAAUGCUCAUCAUGCUUCACUUAUAUCUUUUGAGCUAGAUAAUUUUGCUCUAUGUGCUUCACUUAGAUCUUUUAGAGCACGACGGUGCGUGACUUGGUAGUUGGUUUGUGCUAUGAAAGUAGUCCCAAAGGUGGUAGGUACUCAAAGAGCACACAAAAACUUCCAUCUUCAUGUGUAUUGAGUAGAAAGAAAAGUUUGAUUCCUCUCAAUUAGUUUUGAGACAUGGAUUUGGUAAUAUUAAGAGUUAUGUUAGUAGGGUGUUGUGAAUCUAGAAAUAUUUGUGUUGAAGUUAGUGAUUCCCGUAACAUGCACGUAUGGUGAACCGCUAUGUUAGGAAGUCGGAGCAUAAUUGAUCUAUUGAUUGUCAUCCUUUGUGUUGCGGUCGGGAUCGCGCGAUGGUUAACACCUACCAACCCUUCCCCUAGGAGUAUGUGUUUAGCACUUUGUUUCGAUUACUAAUAAAAACUUUCCCAACAAGUAUGUGAGUUCUUCAUGACUAAUGUAAGCCCAUGGUAUAUAUGCACUUUCACCUUCCACCAUUUCUAGCCUCUCUAGUGCCGCGCAAUUUUCACCGGUGCACAAACCCACCAUAUGCCUUCCUCAAAACAGCCACCAUACCUACCUACUAUGUCAUUUUCAUAGCCAUUCCGAGAUAUAUUGCCAUGAAACUCCCACCGUUCCAUCUCAUGACUUGUGUCGUCACUCUUAUAUUGCCAUUGCAUGAUCUUAAGAUAGCUAGCGAGAUGUUUUAACGUCAUACGCCAAGCUAGAUCGUUGCACAUCCCGAUACACUGCCGGAGGCAUUUCCUAUAGAGUCAUCAUCGUUCUGAGCUUUGAUCUGUGAGUAAAUAAAAGUGUGAUGAUCAUCAUUAUUAGAGCAUUGUCCCAUGUGAGGAAAUAAAAAAAGUGGCCAAUUUGCCCGCAAUAAAAAAAGAGAGAAAAAGAGGCCAAAGAGCCAAAUAAAAAAGAGAGAAAAAAGGGAAGAGACAAUGCUACUAUCUUUUUCCACACUUGUGCUUCAUAAUAGUACCAUGUUCUCCAUGAUUGAGAGCCUCUCGUUUUGUCACCACCAUAUACUAGUGGGAAUCUUUACUAUAUAACUUGGCUUGUAUAUUCCAAUGAUGGGCUUCCUCAAAAUUGCCCUAGGUGUUCGUGAGCAAGCAAGUUGGAUGCACACCCACUAGUUCUCCUUUUGAGCUUUCACAUACUUAUAGCUCUAGUGCAUCCUUUGUAUGGCAAUCCCUACUCAUUCACAUUGAUAUAUAUUAAUGGGCAUCUCCAUAGCCCUUUGAUACGCCGAGUCAAUGUGACCAUCUCCUCCUUUUUGUCUCACAAACACCACCACACUUUAUUCCACCUAUAGUGCUAUAUCCAUGGCUCAUGCUCAUGUAUUGCGUGAUAGUUGAAAAAGGUUUGAGAAAGUAAGAGUGCGAAAACAAUUACUUGGCCAAUACCGGGGUUGUGCAUGAUUUAAAUUAGUUGUGUGGGGAUGAUGGAGCAUAGCCAGACUAUAUGAUUUUGUAGGGAUAACUUUCUUUGGCCUUGUUAUUUCAAAAGUUCAUGAUUACCUUGGUAGUUUGCUUGAAGUAUUAUUGUUUUCAUAUCAAUAGCAAACUAUUGUUUUGAAUCUUACGGAUCUGAACAUUCAUGUCAUAUGAAAGAAGUUACAAAGGACAACUAUGCUAGGUAGCAUUCCACAUCAAAAAUUCAGUCUUUACGACUUCCGUACUCGAGGACGAGCAUGAGUUAAGCUUGGGGAUGCUUGAUACGUCUCCAACGUAUCUAUAAUUUUUGAUGGUUCCAUGCUAUUAUCUUAUCAAACUUUGUAUGUUUUGUAUGCCUUUUAUAUCUUUUUUGGGACUAACUUAUUAACUCNNNNNNNNNNNNNNNNNNNNNNNNNNNNNNNNNNNNNNNNNNNNNNNNNNNNNNNNNNNNNNNNNNNNNNNNNNNNNNNNNNNNNNNNNNNNNNNNNNNNGAGCUAACUAAGCUAAUUAUGUCAUUUUGUAGGAUAAUUAGCCAAUUUUGUCAUUCUUGGAUGAGUCUAAGCUACGUAGAAGAAGAGAAACAGAAGAAGAAGUAAAAUAAGAAGGGGGACGAGGAGGAGAAGGAGAAGGAAGAGGAGAAGAAGAAGAAAAGAAGAAGGAGAUGGAGAAGGAGGAAGAAGAAGGAGAAGGAGGAGCUCCUUCUCCUUCUUAUCCUCCUUCUUCUCCUUCUUCUUAUCCUCCUCCUUCUCUUCUUCUUCUUCUCUUCUUCUUCUUCUUCUUCCUUCCUUUCAUUUUUCCUCUUUCUUCUCCUCUGUCCCCUUCUUCGGGCUUGCAUUCGCUAAGAAUGCCUUUUUGGAGCUAAUUAUGUCAUUUCGAGGAUAAUUACCUAAGUAUAUGUCAUGUUUUAUUAAAUAGAUCAUUUUGGAGCUAACUAAGCUAAUUAUGUCAUUUAGGUGGAAGCCUAGCUAACUAUAGGUCGUUUCGGAGCUAACUUGGNNNNNNNNNNNNNNNNNNNNNNNNNNNNNNNNNNNNNNNNNNNNNNNNNNNNNNNNNNNNNNNNNNNNNNNNNNNNNNNNNNNNNNNNNNNNNNNNNNNNAAUGCAUAUUUAUAGAUGUCGGCCUUUCGAACAGGAGACGCAUACUGGUCACGCAUACUCAUGAUUGAAGAAACCUAUAGCUAGUAAGUUUCAUCGGCACGAAGACCGGGACAGAGCAAAUUAAGGGGGUAGGAGAAGAAGUCAUUUGUGCUCACCAACAAACGCAAGGGCGGAGCUCGUCCAACGCACGUGGAGGUCGUCGAACAACUGCACAUUGAGAUUCACACGAUCAACACAAAUACGAUGUUUUUGUAAUUAACAUAAUCGGAAAAUAUGUGACCUAACUCAUAAUUUACAAAACUAUGACCUCAUGGGCCUCUGGAAGGCCGAAAAGCACCUUCUCGUUCAACAGAAGGCAGAAGAGGUGUCGGGGGUUGGGGCUUAGUGGCGUCGGGAGUCAGUGCCGUCGAGGGUCGGUGGUGUCGGGUGUCGCUGGCAUCGGGGGUCGGGGGUUAGUGGUGUUGGUUGUGGGGGGUCAGUGCCGUCGGGGGUCGAGGGUCAGUGANNNNNNNNNNNNNNNNNNNNNNNNNNNNNNNNNNNNNNNNNNNNNNNNNNNNNNNNNNNNNNNNNNNNNNNNNNNNNNNNNNNNNNNNNNNNNNNNNNNNACCAACGCAAGGCUCCAAGGCUGCGGGGGAAUCCUUUGCAUAUUUGCCAAGGAAGGCCCUAUAGGCGUAGCCCAUAGCAGAAGGAUUCCUGGCGCCGUUGCCAGGGAAGGUCUUUUGUUGCCGUAGCAGAAGUAUUUCUGGCGCCGUUGCCGGGGAGGAGAGAUCAAGUCAAGAUCUAUCCAAGUAACUAUCACAAACUCAUCUCUUGCAUUUACCUUUUUUGCCACUUGCCUCUUGUUUUCCUCUCCCCCACUUCACAUUUUGCCUUUUUCGUUUGCCUUUUUUCGCUUGGCUUUUUCGUUCGCCCUUUUCUUUCACUUGCUUUCUGUUCGCUUGUGUGCCAUGUGCCUUCAAUAUGCUUGCAUCUUCGCUUGCUGAAAAUCUAGUGAUAUGGAUCCUCAUCCACUUGCUAAUCUCUUUAAGAGAUCCAAUUAUGUUGAUCCAAUUGCUAGUGAGUUGAGUGCACUUGACUAUCUUUAUGCAGUUUUGCUUGAGAUGCGUGAAUCUGAAAAUUGUGAGGAAGAAAUUUAUGAAGUGAUUCACGAGGGCUCCUUGGAUGAAAACCAUGAUUGCAAUGGUUUCACUAUAAAUUCUAUUAGUGAAAAUCAUGCUAAAAAUAUGCAAAACCCUAAGCUUGGGGAUGCUAGUUUUGCUAUGUCCACUACUUGUUGCAAUGAUCAUGAGUGGGGCGAUAAUUUUUCUUAUGAUCUUGAAGAUUUGUUUAAGCCUCAUGAUGAAUAUGAUAUUUGCAAUAUUAUUGAAAGUGGGUUUGGAGAAGUCAUGACUUUAGUUGAUGAUAAUCCCACUAUUUUUGAAGAGCGUCAACUUUGCAUGCAUGUGGAUCAUGAAAAGAAUUUCCUAUGUGAUAGUUACAUUGUUGAAUUCAAAUAUGAUCCCACAUGUAAGUUCUAUGAGAGAGGAAAAUAUUGUGGUNNNNNNNNNNNNNNNNNNNNNNNNNNNNNNNNNNNNNNNNNNNNNNNNNNNNNNNNNNNNNNNNNNNNNNNNNNNNNNNNNNNNNNNNNNNNNNNNNNNNCAUAAGCAAGUUAGCUUUGUGCUCAUGUUUUCUUUGCAUUGCAUCUAGGAAAUUUCCAACAAGAACAAAGCAAGUGAUGAAGGAAAAUGCUAAAACCCUAGCCACUUCUUAAAAUAAAGGAAAUUCCAAACUAGUUAAAAUCAAUGAACCCAAAAUGGCCUCAAGAAAAGUUCAAUCUUUCUGAUAAAUCAUGAAAGUAAAUGAGCAAUGAAGAAAACCAUUUUCUUGACACUUUAAGCAUUUUAAAUAAAUGCAAAAGCUACUGGUUUGAAGUUUUAAAUUUGAAAUCAGAAACUUUAAACUUUCAAAAAUAUUGAAAAGUUUGGGAAUGGUUGGAAAUAUUCCAACAAAUAUUCUGGUGUGUUUAAAAUAUCUUUUACAAACUAUUUGGGAGCUGAAAUAAAUAGCAAGUUAAUGAAAUAGCAAAACAGAAACAAAUCAGAAAGAAAAUGAGAAAAACCUUACCUGACACUCACCUGGCCCGGCCCAUCUGCUCCUGUCGUCUUCCUCCUUGCCAGUAGGAGCAGGAGGUGGCCGCCGCGUCACCGCGCGCCUCCACGCAGCUCCCUGGCUGCCUGGCCGCCGCUUCGCGCUGGCAAGCACGGGGAUAACCUCCCCGAGCUCGUAGCUAUCCAUUCCCCUGCUCACUCCUCCCCCUCUCCUCUCAGUUCUCCCGAUCCCCUCUGCCGCCAUUGACAGGAGCUCGAGCUCGAGCUGCCCGUGGCCCUAGCCAUAGGAUCCUCAUUCUGAGUGUGCCGUUAGCUCCGCCUCGACGAACUGGUCCUCCCUGCAGAAGCCGAAGCCUUCCCGAGCCCUGCAACGCCCUCGGCACCGUCGUCUUCAACCUUCGGCCACCGGCGAGCUCUGCUGGAUUCGUCGCCCUCGGUGCUUCCCCGAGCCGUCUAAGCCCUUCUCUGCACUCCUCGUGAGCUUGCGCAUCUUUCCCCUAAGAUCUCCCCGUCGAUCCCCUCCUCUAGGCCUAGUUCCAUCGGAGCCCGACGAGGACCGCCGCUGCAGCUCGUCGCCCCGCCCUCCGGUGAAGGGUUGGUCCGUCUGAGGCCACCAGCAGCCUCACGACGUCAUGUAGAUGCGUUAGGUGCCCAGCCCCGCGCGUUUUGACCCUNNNNNNNNNNUUCAAUCCCCUCUUCUAGGCCUAGUUCCAUCGGAGCCCGGCGAGGACCGCCGCUGCAGCUCGUCGCCGGUAGCCCUCCGGUGAAGGGUUGGUCCGUCUAACGCCACCACCAGCCUCAGGACGUCAUGUAGAUGCGUUAGGUGCCCAGCCCCGCGCGUUUUGACCCUGUAUUCGACGGCUUCGACGAUGGCCGAACUUGGUCGCUGCCAAGCUCGUCGCCGGCGUUGAUUCUGGCCACCCCAGCCCCUGGGGCUUGUCCCAUCGUGCGCGCCGUCGAGUGGGCGUUCUCCCCUUGGUCUCUGCCGUGAGUUUGGCCGUCGGAGGCAAGUUUCCGAUGCCCUCCACCGUAGUGGUGGUCGCCGGAGGCUCCCCGCCGGCGAGGACGACCUCGCCGCCGGUGGAUCUCAGCUGGCCUGAGCCACUGACGUGUGGGGCCAGCCUCUGGGAGUUUAGGAUUAAAGAAAAUAAAUUUAAUCAAUUUGAUAAAUCACUGUCAUGUGGGUCCAGUGAGAUUAAUUAGCUAAUUAAGUUUAAUNNNNNNNNNNUUGACGUGUGGGGCCAACCUCUGGGAGUUUAGGAUUAAAGAAAAUAAAUUUAAUUAAUUUGAUAAGUCACUGUCAUGUGGGUCCAGUGAGAUUAAUUAGCUAAUUAAGUUUAAUUUUAAUCUAAAACUGACCAGAGACACUGACCAGUGGGUCCCACUGGUCAGGUUUGACUUUCAACGGCCAGUUGGGCGUGCUGAUGUCAUGUUGAUAUAGUAAAGGGAUUUUCCAGUAUAAAAAUAAUUCCAGAAAUGUUUAAAACUUCUAAAAUUAAUAUAAAUUAAUCUGUAACUCCAAUGAAAAUAAUUUAUAUAUGAAAAAGUAUCAGAAAAAUUCAAGGAAUCUGAAUAUGUCAUUUUCAAACAUGUUUGAAAAUGUUACAGAACCCAAACAUGUAGAUUAAUGAAUAAGNNNNNNNNNNUGGGUCCCACUCGUCAGGUUUGACUUUCAACGGCCAGUUGGACCUGCUGAUACAGUAAAGGGAUUUUCGAGUAUAAAAAUAAUUCCAGAAAUGUUUAAAACUUCUAAAAUUCAUAGAAAUUAAUCUGUAACUCCAAUGAAAAUAAUUUAUAUAUGAAAAAGUAUCUGAAAAAUUCAUGUUUGAAAAUGUUACAGAACCCAAACAUGUAGAUUAAUGAAUAAGUCAAUUCUUAUAAAUACUUUAUAAAUGGAAUAUGGAAAAUAUUUAAAUUUCACUAUGAUUGACAUGAUCAAAUACUGUCCUAAUUACAAACCAGCAACCUAACGUGUCAUUCCAUGCAUGUUAACAUCAAGUUGAUCUGAGCAUCAGGUCGAAUCAAUUAAAAUGGUAUCCGAGAAUACCUCGUUUGAAGUGAUAUUUGAAUGUGAUUUAAAUCAACUUCAAACCUAAUACAUGUUAGUUAUAAUAGUAUAUCACCUUGCAUUCUCAUGCCAUGCUCAUGCAUCAUCUUGAUUGCAUAUGCUUGAUAUUGAUUGUUUUCAUUCCUUUCGGUAGGCUCCGCUCCCCCGGAUUCCACCGAAUAUCCGUCUAACGGAUAUCGUCACUCCUAUGAGCAACAAGGCAAGCAACCAUUUUGAUCAUCCCGAUAAAUCCCAUGUUCUUGCUCCUGCACUUACUUAUUGCAUUAGGAUCAAAUGCUUCAACUGCUUUUGCCACGUUAGUUGAACCCACUUCCUUUGCAUGACCUAUCCUUGUCACAGUAAAUAGCCGAACCUUGCAACCUAGGAUACCUGGUAGUUGCUUGAGCCAUGAUGUGCCUUAUCCUGCUAUGCAUGCUAUGCUUAGAGUUGUGUAUGGUCUGUCAUCUGGGAGAUGAACAGAAUUGUGAGAAUGUGUUCGGUAAGCAAAGGUUGUGUGUUGAACCUGAUUUGGUAAAGGUACAGGUGAAAGGCUGUGUAGGAGUACAUGGCGGGUUGUUUCAUUGGAACCGUCCUUAGGAACUGAGUUCCGUGUAUGUAAUCCAAGACUAGAUACUACCACAUGCUGGGCCCUGAAAUAUGACCCCGCUCGACUUAUUAAUCGCUUAGUACUCGGUCCAAGAGUUGCAAGUAGUUUCUGGUGUUUAUAGUCAUGCUGGAGGCCGUGCAUGGUGCUGACCUGAGAGGUGGGCUGUGAUGCGGUCGGCAGUGGCACGGUGUACCAAGUGGCACCCGGAUGGUGGGCUUGGGAACCCUGCUUACAUCGUUUGAGGCCAUGGCGGAAACCUCAGCCAGACUUCCGUACGGGUUACUCUCAGAUAGGCAAUAAACCUGGACUAGGUACUAGUGUGGUUAACGGUCGUGGCCGACUCCCUCGCUGGGCUUCCGCUUGAAGGUUGCCGAGGUGCAUGACAUGCACAUGGCGAUAAGUGGCGAGAGCGUGUGUGACGAAGUACACCCCUGCAGGGUUAUGAUCUAUUCGAAUAGCCGCGUCCGCGGAUAUGGACUACUUGGAGACAUAUGUUGUUCAUAGAUAACUUCAAUGGCUACCCAUAAAAUUGUCAAGAUAAGCGUGAGUGUCGUGGACGGUAAUUCCGUAUGGAGACGAAAUGAUUCCACGAUGGUGUAUUGAUUGCGGUGUUAGUGGACUCGUGUGCGAGAAAUCAAGUUGUCAAAAUUAUUUUAAAAAUGCAAGUUGUCUAGCCACGAGUCAAAUGUUGGCUUUCCGCAUGAAACCCCACCAUACCUUGUUGAUACAUUGCAUGAGUAGUUAGUUAUCCUAAAGUCUUGCUGAGUACCUCCGUACUCAUGUUUGUUUAAUAAAAGUUGCAGAGGUUGCUAAUGACCCUAAUGGUGGGUUCUUCAUAGACAUCGACGACGACGAGUAGCUGGUGUCCCAGCUACGAUCUGGCCCUAGGUUGGGUCUGUAGUAUAGUUACGCCAUGUGCCUUCUAGUUGCACCUGUCUGUACUCAAACAAUUUUAAACUCUUCCGCUGGCUUGUAACUGAAUGACUGCUAUUAUGGGUCGUGAGACCCUUACUGUGUAAUAUUAUGUGUGUGGCUCUUUUGAGCCUCUUAAAUAAAGCUUGUAUGUUUAUGGUUAUGUUGUGAUGCCAUCGAUGUAUCUAUACAUAUCAGUAUGCCAUGCGUACGUGUGUCGUACUUGAUAUGUAUGGGGUUCGAUUACCUAGUCGUGAAUUUUAGUAGCACUCCUUACAGGGAAAUGCCCCUUUGUGAUCCAACGAGCCAUGGUAGCUUGCUACUGCUCCGGACACAUUGGUUGACCGGCAUGUGUCCUUCUUAGCUGCUGUGUCUGUCCCCUUUGGGGAAAUGUCACGCCAUGUAAUGGAGUCCUUGUAGCUUGCUACGACUCGUCUACACUAACUGUGACCGACACGUACUUUGUUGGGUCAUGUAUGCUUGUCCUUGUGCGGUACUGCCACUUUGGUUUAUGACUAGACUUGUCGAUCCGGGUUCUUUGACAUUGGAAUGCUAGCGACACUAUUGCAUACGUGAGUCAAAAGACGCAAACGGUCCCGGCUAAGGUAAGGCUGCAGCCGUGGAGUUAACCGUGCGUGAGACCGCAAAGGGAUGCGAUGUGUUACACGCUGGAUUCCUAUGGCUUAGGAUCGGGGUUCCGACAUGUGGCCUCCCUGGCGCUCCCCUGUCGUAGCUCUUUGGCCUUCAAAUUCUCUAAAAUCCUAGAAAAAAAUCAGGGCAUCCACGAAAACACUUUUCCGCCGCCGCAAGCUUCUGUUUCCACGAGAUCUCAACUGGAGACCCUUCCCGGUGCCCUGCCGGAGGGGACUUUGGAGUUGGAGGGCUUCUACAUCAACAUCAUCGCCUCUCCAAUGACUCGUGAGUAGUCCACUUCAGACCUACGGGUCCGUAGUUAGUAGCUAGAUGGCUUCUUCACUCUCUUGGAUCUUCAAUACAAAGUUCUCCAUGAUCUUCAUGGAGAUCUAUCCGAUGUAAUCCUCUUUGGCGGUGUGUUUGUCAAGAUCCGAUGAAUUGUGGAUUUGUGAUCAUAUUAUCUAUGAAUUAUAUUUGAGUCUUUGCUGAUUUCUUAUAUGCAUGAUUUNNNNNNNNNNNNNNNNNNNNNNNNNNNNNNNNNNNNNNNNNNNNNNNNNNNNNNNNNNNNNNNNNNNNNNNNNNNNNNNNNNNNNNNNNNNNNNNNNNNNCCUCUGCUUCCCUCUGCAAAGGGCCUAUCUUGUACCUUUACUUUUUGUCCCUAAAAGAGUCAUGGUGAUCUUGACCAAAUCCUUGUUUCUCCUUUAUUUUGGCUAAUGUCAUAUGCUAGGGAAAGAUCUAUAUUCAUAUGUCUACUUGGAAGUAAGUAUUCAUGAAUUAUUAUUGUUGACAUUACCCUUGAGGUAAGUAGUUGGGAGGCAAAACUAUAAGCCCCUAUCUUUCUCUUUGUCCAGCUGAAGCUUUGAUCUCAUGAGUACCACGUGAGUUGUAGCAAUUGUAGAGAACGAAAGGAUGAUUGAGUAUGUGGAUUUGCUUUACAAGCUCUUAUUUGACUCUUUCUGAUGUUGUAAUAAAUUGAAAUUGCUUCCAUGACUACAAGCUAUCGGUUGUUACUUCUCGGUAAUGUUCUUGAUCCAUGCUUUACUUUGUGAAGGAGUUAUCACUCUAGCAUGAGAGAUUAUAUGUUGGUAUUGUUGUUCUGAUCAUGAUCAUGAUGCAUGCAUGUUCGUAUUCUGUUUUGUCGACAUCUCUCUCCCUAAACAUGUGGACAUAUUUAUUGAGCUCGGCUUUCGCUUGAGGACAAGCGAGGUCUAAGCUUGGGGGAGUUGAUACGUCCAUUUUGCAUCAUGCUUUUAUGUUGAUAUUUAUCGCUUCUUGGGGUGUUAUUUCACUUCACGAUAUAAUACUUAUGCCUUUUCUCUCUUAUUUUGCAAGGUUUGCAUGAAGAGGGAGAAUGCCGACAACUGGAAUUCUGGCAUGAAAUUGGAGCAAGUUUGAGAUACUGGGCCGAAGAAGCGCCGUAAAAAUCAACGAGGAUUUUUUUUCUGGAUUUAUAAAAAAUACUGGACCGAAGAAGCGCCAGAGGGGAGCCAGCAGGUGGCCACAAGCCUGCUAGGCGCGGCCACCCCCUGGCUGCGCCUACGGGGCUUGUGGGCAGCCUGCUGGCUCACUAGCCCCCCUCUUCUGCUAUAUGAAGGGUUUCAUCUGGAAAAAAUGAAGGAGGAGUUUUUUCAUGGAUUCGCCGCCGCCACGAGGCGGAACUUGAGCAGAACCAAUCUAGAGCUCCGGCAGGAUGAUCCUGCUGAGGAAACUUCCCUCCCGAAGGGGGAAAUCAUCGCCAUCGUCAUCACCAACACUCCUCUCAUCGGAGNNNNNNNNNNNNNNNNNNNNNNNNNNNNNNNNNNNNNNNNNNNNNNNNNNNNNNNNNNNNNNNNNNNNNNNNNNNNNNNNNNNNNNNNNNNNNNNNNNNNNNNNNNNNNNNNNNNNNNNNUCAUCACUUGUAACCAAUCUCCGUCUCGCGACUCCGAUUGGUACUCGUAAGGUUUCUAGUAGUGUUGAUUACUCUUUGUAGUUGAUGCUAGUUGGAUUACUUGNNNNNNNNNNNNNNNNNNNNNNNNNNNNNNNNNNNNNNNNNNNNNNNNNNNNNNNNNNNNNNNNNNNNNNNNNNNNNNNNNNNNNNNNNNNNNNNNNNNNUUCUCAAAAUAGAAAAUAGUACGGUGGUUGAACAAAUUACUAUCGAGCAAUUGAUAGAACCGCGCAAAUCAUGACGAUAUCUAAGGCAAGGAUCAUACAUAUCGGCAUCACGUCCGAGACAAGUAGACCGAUACUUUCGGCAUCUACUACUAUUACUCCACACAUCGACCGCUAUCCAGCAUGCAUCUAAUGUAUUGAGUUCAUGACGAGCAGAGUAACGCCUUAAGCAAGAUGACAUGAUGUAGAGGGAUAAACUCAAACCAAUGAUGUGAACCCCAUCUUUUUAUCCUUGAUGGCAAAAACAUGAUGCGUGCCUUGCUACCCCUUCUGUCACUGGGUGAGGUCACCACACGGUAUGAACCCAAAACCAGGCACUUCUCCCAUUCAAGAAUCAUAUAUCAAGUUGGCCAAACAAAACCCACAACUCGAAGAGAAUUACAAGGAUAGGAAAUCAUGCAUAUAAUAGAUCAGAAGAAACUCAAAUAAGAUUCAUAGAUAAUCUGAUCAUAAAUCCACAAUUCAUUGGAACUCGACAAAAGAAGAUUUCAUCGGAUAGAUCUCCAUGAAGAUCAUGGAGAACUUUGUAUUGAAGAUCCAAGAGAGAGAAAAAACCAUCUAGCUACUAGCUAUGGACCCGAAGGUCUAUGGUGAACUACUCAUGCAUCAUCGGAGAGGUCAUGGUGUUGAUGAAGAAGCCCUCCGUAUCCGAAUCUCCUCUCCGGAAGGGCACCAAAACGUCUUGCGGAGACAGAAGCUUGCGGCGGUGGAAAAGUAUUUUCGUGGAUCUCUCCCGCAGAUUUGGAAUUUUUCUGAAUUUAUUGGCGGAAUAGGUAGGGCAGAUGAGCUACAGGGGGCCCACAAGCCUGCUAGGCGCUGCCCGUGUCGCGCCUAGGGGGCUUGUGGGGUCCCCUGGUGGCCCCUGCCUUGGUUCUCAAGUCUCGUGCGUAUCUUCUGUUCCGGAAAAAAUCUUUUCGGAAGUUUUAUUCUGUUUGGACACCGUUUAAAAUCCUCCUCUGAAAAGGGUUGAUGUCAACUGUUCUUCCCCUUGCAACAACACCAGAAAAAUGCAGCUAGCACUCUCCGGCAAUCGAAACUAGAAGAAUGUUGUUGACGGCCCACAAGCGCAUGGGAUCGUAGCAGUUUUCGAGGGUAGAGUAUUCAACCCAAAUUUGUUGGUACGCCUAUAGGAGGUGNNNNNNNNNNCUGCAAGCAAAGUAGUAACAACAAAGUAGUAUGAUAACAACGGUGUCAGAAACGAUCUGUUGACGGCAGACUAUUCCUAACGAUUGUAUCAAUGGCGCCAAGUUGCCUCGUUGACNNNNNNNNNNAGAGGAUACUCUCAAGUAUUAGCAGCUGAAUAUGUCAGAUUCAACCACACCUGAAAGAUUAGUAUAUGCAAGCAAAGUAGUAACAGCAAAGUAGUAUGAUAACAACGGUGUCAAAAACGAUCUGUUGACGGUAGACUAUUCCUAACGAUUGUAUCAAUGGCGCCAAGUUGCCUCGUUGACGGAAGUUGUCAGUUCUCGUCAACGUCUAGCGAACCAAAAUUGUAGCAGGUAGCAGCAGUGUAACGAGCAAUAGCAGCGGCAAGGAAAAGCAGUAGUGACAGCAGUAGCAAGUAGCAACAGUAGCAAGCGACAGUAGUAGCAGCAUUAGCAGCAGAGCAAGACAAGUAACAACACUAGCAACAGUUGUAACAGCAGCAGAGCAAGACAAGUAACAGCAGCAGUGGGACAAACUCGUAGGCAAUGGNNNNNNNNNNAGCAAGGAAAAGCAGUAGUGACAGCAGUAACAAGUAGCAACAGUAGCAAGCGACAGUAGUAGCAACAGUAGCAGCAGAGCAAGAGAAGUAACAGCAGUAGCAACAGUAGUAACAGCAGUAGAGCAAGACAAGUAACAGCAGCAGUGGGACAAACUCGUAGGCAAUGGGUCGGUGAUUUGUUUGGAUGAUAUUCAUCAUGCAACAGUUAUAACACGGAGAGAUUUGUGGCUAGCUCCCGUUCGUCAAUGUGAUUUAGGCAUGCAUUUCGUGUGUCGUCAUACGUGCUUAGGGAAAAGAACUUGCAUGACAUCUAUUGUCCAUCCCUCCCGUGGCAGCGGGGUCCAAAAGGAAACUAUGGGAUAUUAAGGUUCUCGUUUUAAUAAAGAACCGGACCAACGCAUUAGCACUUGGUGAACACAUGAACUCCUCAAACUAUGNNNNNNNNNNCUGGAUGAUAUUCAUCAUGCAACAGUUAUAACACGGAGAGAUAUGUGGCUAGCUCCCGUUCGUCAAUGUGAUGUAGGCAUGCAUUUCGUGUGUCAUCAUACGUGCUUAGGGAAAAGAACUUUCAUGACAUCUAUUGUCCAUCCCUCCCGUGGCAGCGGGGUCCAAAACGAAACUACGGGAUAUUAAGGUUCUCCUUUUAAUAAAGAACUGGACCAACGCAUUAGCACUUGGUGAACACAUGAACUCCUCAAACUAUGGUCAUCACCGGGAGUGGUUCCGGUUAUUGUCACUCCGGGGUUGCCGGAUCAUAACACAUAGUAGGUAACUACAACUUGCAAGAUCGGAUCUAAAACACACAUAUAUUGGUGACAACAUAAUAAUUUCAGAUCUGAAAUCAUGGCACUUGGGCCCUAGUGACAAGCAUUAAGCAUGACAAAGUAGUAGCAACAUCAAUCUCAGAACAUAGUGGAUACUAGGGAUCNNNNNNNNNNNNNNNNNNNNNNNNNNNNNNNNNNNNNNNNNNNNNNNNNNNNNNNNNNNNNNNNNNNNNNNNNNNNNNNNNNNNNNNNNNNNNNNNNNNNGUUCAUGCUUAACGCAAACACCAAAUAACAAUUAUUUAGGUUUUACCACCAAUCCCGAUGAUAGAGGGAGUGUGUGAUGUUUGAUCACAUCAACCUUGGAAACACUUCCAACACGUAUCGUCACCUCGCCUUUAGCUAGUCUCCGUUUAUACCGUAGCUUUCAUCUCGAGUUACUAAUCACUUAGCAACCGAACCGGUAUCCAAUACCCUCGUGCUACUAGAAGUAUCAGUAAAGUACACAUCAAUAUCAUGUACAUCAAAUAUACUUCUGUCGACUUUGCCAGCCUUCUUAUCUCCCAAGUAUCUAGGGUAGCUCUGCCUCAGUGACCGUUCCCCUCAUAACAGAAGCACUUAGUCUCGGGUUUGGGUUCAAUCUUCGGUUUCUUCAUUGGAGCAGCAACUAGUUUGCCGUUUCAUGAAGUAUCCCUUCUAGCCCUUGCCAUUCUUGAAACUAGUGGUUUUACUAACCAUCAACAAUUGAUGCUCCUUCUUGAUUUCUACUUUUGCAGUGUCAAACAUUGUGAAUCAUUCAAGGAUCAUCAUAUAUAUCCUUGAUAUGUUUAUAGUUCAUCACGAAGCUCUAGCAGCUUGGUGGCAGUGACUUUUGGAGAACCAUCACUAUCUCAUCUAGAAGAUUAACUCCCACUUGAUUCAAGCGAUUGUUGUACUCAGACAAUCUGAGAACAUGCUCAACGAUUUGAGUUUUUCUCCUCUACUUUGUAGACAAAGAAUCUUGUCGGAGGUCUCAGACCUCUCAACAAGGGCACGAGCAAGAAAUCUCAAUUUCAUCUCCUAGAACAUCUCUUAUGUUCCCCGACGUUUCAAAACGUCUUCUGCGCCUUGCUUCUAAGCCAUUAAGUAUCACGCACUGAACUAUCACGUAGUCAUCAGAACGUGUAUGUCAGAUGUUCGCAACAUCCACAGACGACACUCGAGGUGCAUGAUGACCCACAAAUAUAGGGGAUCAAUCGUAGUCCUUUCGAUAAGUGAGAGUGUCGAACCCAACGAGGAGCAGAAGUAUCUGACAAGCUGUUUUCAGCAAGGUAAAAUCUGCAAGCACUGAAAUUGUCGGUAAAAGGUGAUUGUGUGGUGAGAUGAUUCGUAGCAAGCAACAAGUAACAAAAGUAGCAACGGUGCAGCAAAGUGGCCCAAUACGUUUUGUAGAAAGGGACAAGCCUGGACAAAGUCUUAUAGGAGGAAAAAUACUACCGAGGACACACGGGAAUUUCUGUCAUGCUAGUUUUCAUCAUGUUCAUGUGAUUCGCGUUCGUUACUUUGAUAGUUUUAUAUGUGGGUGGACCGGCGCUUGGGUACUGCCCUUACAUGGAAAAGCAUCCCACUUAUGAUUAACUCCUCUCGCAAGCAUCCGCAACUAUGAAAGAAGAAUUAAGACAAAGUCUAACCAUAGCAUUAAACUAGUGGAUCCAAAUCAGCCCCUUACGAAGCAACCCAUAAACUAGGGUUUAAGCUUCUGUCACUCUAGAAACCCAUCAUCUACUUACUACUUCCCAAUGCCUUCCUCUAGGCCCAAAUAAUGGUGAAGUGUUAUGUAGUCGACGUUCACAUAACACCACUAGAGGAAAAACAACAUACAACACAUCAAAUUACCGAACGAAUACCAAAUUCACAUGACUACUAUUAGCAUGACUUAUCCCAUGUCCUCAGGAACAAAAGUAACUACUCACAAAGCAUAAUCAUAUUCAUGACCAGAGAGGUAAUGAGUAGUAUCAAGAAUCUGAACAUAAACUCUUCCACCAAGUAAUCCAACUAGCAUCAACUACAAAGAGUAAUCAACACUACUAGCAACCUUACAAGUACCAAUCGGAUUCGCAAGACGGAGAUUGGUUACAAGUGAUGACUAGGGUUUGGAGAUGAGAUGGUGCUGAUGAAGAUGUUGAUGGUGACGAGUCCCCUCCGAUGAGAGGAGUGUUGGUGAUGACGAUGGCGAUGAUUUCCCCCUCCGGGAGGGAAGUUUCCCCGGUAGAAUCGUCCUGCCGGAGCUCUAGAUUGGUUCUGCUCAAGUCCUGCCUCGUGGCGGCGGCGAAUCCACGAAAAAGCUCCUUCUUGAUUUUUUUUUCCGGACGAAACCCUUCAUAUAGCAGAAGAGGGGGGUUGCCCACAGGCCCCCUAGGCGCGGCCAGGGGGUGGCCGCGCCUAGCAGGCUUGUGGCCACCUGCUGGCGCCGCUCUGGCGCUUCUUCGGCCCAGUAUUUUUUAUAAAUGCGGAAAAAAAUCCUCAAUGAUUUUUACGGCGUUUGGAGUUGAGAAAAAUAGGUAUCUCAAACUUGCUCCAAUUUCAGGCUAGAAUUCGAGCUACCGGCAUUCUUCCUUUUCAUGUAAACCUUGCAAAAUAAGAGAGAAAAGGCAUAAGUAUUGUACCGUGAAGUGAAAUAACAGCCCAAGAAGCAAUAAAUAUCAACAUAAAAGCAUGAUGCAAAAUGGACGUAUCAGUGCAGCACGCCGAGUGGUGUAUUAAGGACAUAAGCCUUCUGCGUAGCAAUGAGGACAAUCCUCAAUUUUACGGACUGAGUCUGCAAAGUUGCUACUAUCAACUUACAACUAAAUUUUCUCUAGGAACAUAUAAAAACAGUAGAGCUAUAGCGCAAGCUACAUCAUAAUUCGCAAAGGCCAUUAUAAUAUGUUCAUGAUAAUUAGUUCAAUUAAUCAUAUUACUUAAGAACUCCCACUCAAAAAGUACAUCUCUCUAGUCAUUUGAGUGGUACAUGAUCCAAAUCAACUAACUCAAGUCCGAUCAUCACGUGAGUUGAGAAUAGUUUUAGUGGUAAGCAUUGCUAUGCUAAUCAUAUCAACCAUAUGAUUCAUGCUCGACCUUUCGGUCUCAUGUGUUCCGAGGCCAUGUCUGCACAUGCUAGGCUCGUCAAGUUUAACCCGAUUGUUCCGCGUGUGCAACUGUUUUGCACCCGUUGUAUGUGAACGUUGAGUCUAUCACACCCGAUCAUCACGUGGUGUCUCGAAACGACGAAUUGUAGCAAUGGUGCACAGUCGGGGAGAACACAAUUUCGUCUUGAAAUUUUAGUGAGAGAUCACCUCAUAAUGCUACCAUCGUUCUAAGCAAAAUAAGGUGCAUAAAAGGAUUAACAUCACAUGCAAUUCAUAAGUGACAUGAUAUGGCCAUCAUCUUGUGCUUCUUGAUCUCCAUCACUCAAGCACCGGCAUGAUCUUCUUGUCACCGGCGCCACACCAUGAUCUCCAUCAAUGUGUCGCCGUCGAAGUUGCCGUGCUAUCUAUGCUAUUACUACUAAAGCUACGUCCUAGCAAUAUAGUAAACGCAUCUGCAAACACAAACGUUAGUUUAAAGACAACCCUAUGGCUCCUGUCGGUUGUCGUACCAUCGACGUGCAAUUCGAUAUUAACUAUUACAACAUGAUCAUCUCAUACAUUCAAUAUAUCACAUCACGUCAUUGGCCAUAUCAUAUCACAAGCAUAACCUGCAAAAACAAGUUAGACGUCCUCUAAUUUGUUGUUGCAUGUUUUACGUGGCUGCUAUGGGUAUCAAGUAUGAUCGCAUCUUACUUACGCAAAAACCACAACGGAGAUGUGCAAAUUGCUAUUUAACCUCUCCAAGGACCGCCUUGGUCAAAACCAAUUCAACUAAAGUUGAAGAAACCGACACCCGCCAGUCAUCUUUAUGCAACGCGGUCCAGGCCGAUUCGAUCCAACAAUACCGCCGAAUCGAGAAAAUACUAAGGAGGGAAGCAAAUCGAACAUCACCGCCCACAAAACCCUUUGUGUUCUACUCGAGAUAACAUCUACGGAUGAACCUAGCUCAUGAUGCCACUGUUGGGAAACGUUGCAUGGGAAACAAAAAAAAUCCUAUGCACACGAAGACCUAUCAUGGUGAUGUCCAUCUACGAGAGGAGAUUUGGAUCUACGUACCCUUGUAGAUCGCACAGCAGGAAGCGUUAAGAAACGCGGUUGAUGUAGUGGAACAUCAUCACGUCCCUCGAUCAGCCCCACGAGCCGUCCCGCGAUCCGUCCCACGAUCCGAUCCGAUCUAGUGUCGAACGGACAGCACCUCCGCGUUCAGCACACAUACAGCUCGAUGAUGAUCUCGGCCUUUUUGAUCCAGCAAGCAAGACGGAGAAGUAGAUGAGUUCUCCGGUAGCGUGACGGUGUGUCGGUGAUGGUGACGAUCUACUCCUGUAGGGCUCCGCCCGAGCUCCGCAGAAAUCAUAUCUAGAGGUAAAACUAUGUGGUCUAGGGUUGAGUUGCACGUGGCAAAAGUCGUCUCAAAUCAGUCCUAGACCACCACUAUAUAUAGGAGGGAGGGGGAGGAGGCUUGCCUUGAGGACCAAGUCCCCAAGGGUGCACCGGCCAGGAAGGAGAGGAGCAAUCCUACUCCAACUAGGAUUGGAAAGUGGAGUCCUUCUCUUCCUUCCCACCUCCCCUUUUUUCUUUCACUUUGGUGUUUUCUCUUCUUGGCGCCAAGGACUUAUUGGGCUGUCCCACUAGCCCACUAAGGGCUGGUGGCGCCAUCCUAUAGCCUUGGGCUCACUCCCGGGUGGGUGGGCCCCUCCUGGUGAACUCCCGGAACCCAUUCAUCACUCACGGUACAAUGUCGGUAAUGCCCGAAAACCUUCCGGUAACCAAAUGAAACCAUCCUAUACUAAAACAUCGCCGAACCUUAAGUGUGCAGACCCUACGGGUUUGAGAACUGUGUAGACAUGCCCCGAGGCACUCCUCGGUCAAUAUCCAAUAGCGGGACCUAGAUGCCCAUAUUAGAUCCUACAUAUUCUCCGAAGAUCUUAUUGGUUGAACCUCGGUGUCAAGGAUUCAUAUAAUCCCGUAUGUCAUUCCGUUUGUCCUUCGGUAUGUUAGUUGCCCGAGAUUCGAUCGUAUCCGCUUACCUAUAUCAAUCUCGUUACCGGCAAGUCUCUUUACUCGUUCCGUAAUACAAGAUCCCGUUACUUACACUUAGUCACAUUGCUUGCAAGGCUUGUGUGUGAUGUUGUAUNNNNNNNNNNCCGACGACGGCGACGCCGGGAGGUGGGCAGGCGAGAGAGAGAGAGGGCAGGACGAGAGAGAGAGAGAGAGCGGGCAGGUGGCGGGCGCGAGAGCCGUUAGGGGAGGGGGGCUAUGCGCCGUUAGAGAGGGAGCCCCCUUUGCCGUUUGGAAAGGCUGGGUGGCACACGGCAAAGGGGUGAGUGGGGUGGGGUGGGCUCCGGGUGCUAGGGUGGCACACACCCUUUGCCGUCUGCCACCCCUUUGUCGUCUGCUUGUGGUUCCUUUGCCGUCCGUUGGCCGACGGCAAAGGGAAGGCCGACGACAAACAAAACUUUUGCCUUAGGUGUUUUGUUUGCCUUCUGCUUUGUGCCAGCUGACGACAAAGAAGCUCUUUGCCAUGUGUCAGCAGAAGGCAAAGGCAAGGCUGACGGCAAAUUUCUAAAUUCCAGUAGUGUAUCAUGGUGAUAUCCAUCUACAAGAGGAGAUUUGGAUCUACGUACCCUCGUAGAUCGCACAAUAGGAAGCGUUAAGAAACGCAUUUGAUGCAGUGGAACGUCUUCACGUCCCUCGAUCAGCCCCACGAACCGUCCCACGAACCGUGUCGCGAUCCAUCCCACGAUCUGCUCUGAUCUAGUGCCGAACGGACGGCACCUCCGCGUUCAGCACACGUACAGCUCGACGAUGAUCUCGGCCUUCUUGAUCCAGCAAGCAAGAUAGAGAAGUAGAUGAGUUCUCCGGUAGCGUGACGGCGCGUCAGUGCUGGUGACGAUCUACUCGUGCAGGGCUCCGCCCGAGCUCCGCAGAAAUCCGAUCUAAAGGUAAAACUAUUUGGUCUAGGGUUUAUUGCACGUGGCAAAAGUUGUCCAAAUCAGCCCUAGACCACCACUAUAUAUAGGAGGGAGGGGGAGGAGGCUUUCCUUGAGGACCAAGUCCCCAAGGGUGCGCCAACCAGGAAGGAGAGGAGCAAUCCUACUCCAACUAGGAUUGGAAAGUGGAGUCCUUCUCUUCCUUCCCACCUCCCCUUUUUUUCUCUUUGGUUUUUUCCCUUCUUGGCGCCAAGGACAUAUUGGGUUGUCCCACCAGCCCACUAAGGGCUGAUGGUGCCACACUAUAGCCUUGGGCUCACUCCUGGGUGGGUGGGCCCCUCCCAGUGAACUCCCGAAACCCAUUUGUCACUCCCGGUACAAUACAUGUAAUGCCCAAAAACCUUCCGGUAACCAAAUGAAACCAUCCUAUAUAUCAAUCUUCGUUUCUGGACCAUUUCCGAAACCCUCGUGAUGUCCGUGAUCUCAUCCGGGACUCCAAAAAACAUUUGGUAACAACACAUAUAACUCAACUAUACUAAAACAUCGCCGAACCUUAAGUGUGCAGACCCUGCUGGUUCGAGAACUAUGUAGACAUGCCCCGAGGCACUCCUCAGUCAAUAUCCAAUAGCGGCACCUGGAUGCCCAUAUUGAAUCCUACAUAUUGUCCGAAGAUCUUAUCGGUUGAACCUCGGUGUCAAGGAUUCAUAUAAUCUCGUAUGUCAUUCUCUUUGUCCUUCGGUAUGUGAUACGUCUCAAACGUAUCUACAAUUUUUGAUGGUUUCAUGUUGUUAUCUUGUCAACUUUGGAUGUUUUACAUACCUUUUAUAUAUUUUUUGGGACUAAAUUAUUAAUUCAGUGCCAAGUGCCAAUUCCUGUUUUUCUGUGUUUUUUACUCUUUUCAGAUCUGAUUUUGGAACAAAGUCCAAAUGGAAUAAAAUCCCCCAAAUAAAUUUUUCCAGAACAGAAGAAGAUCGGGGGACUUGAGGGCCAAGGCACGAGGCCCACACGGAGCCCACAAGCCAUGUUGCCGCGGCCAGGGGGGCCCGCGGCAACCAGGCUUGUGGCCUCCCUGGCGCUCCCCUGCGCUAGCUCUUUGGCCUAUAAAUUCCCUAAAAUCCCAGAAAAAAUCAGGGCAUCCACGAAAACACUUUUCUGCCGCCGCAAGCUUCCGUUUCCGCGAGAUCUCAUCUGGAGACCCUUCCCGGUGCCCUACCGGAGGGGACUUUGGAGUUGGAGGGCUUCUACAUCAACAUCAUCACCUCUCCAAUGACUCGUGAGUAGUCCACUUCAGACCUACGGGUCCGUANNNNNNNNNNUCUCUCUUGGAUCUUCAAUACAAAGUUCUGCAUGAUAUUCAGGGAGAUCUAUCCGAUGUAAUCCUCUUUGGGAGUGUGUUUGUCGAGAUCCGAUGAAUUGUGGAUUUGUGAUCAGAUUAUCUAUGAAUUAUAUUUGAGUCUUUGCUGAUUUCUUAUAUGCAUGAUUUGAUAUCCUUGUAAGUCUCUCCGAGUCUUGGGUUUUGUUUGGCCAACUAGAUCUAUGANNNNNNNNNNUAUAUCCUUGUAAGUCUCUCCGAGUCUUGGGUUUUUUUUGGCCAACUAGAUCUAUGAUUCUUGCAAUGGGAGAAGUACUUGGUUUUGGGUUCAUACCGUGUGGUGACCUUUCCCAGUGACAGAAGGGAAAGCAAGGCACGCAUCACAUUGUUGCCAUCAAGGGUAUUUCAUCAUAGGUUUGAGAUUGUCCAUCUACAUCAUGUUAUCUUGCUUAAGGCGUUACUCUGUUCUUAUGAACUUAAUAAACUAGAUGCAUGCUGGAUAGCGGUCGACAUGUGGAGUAAUAGUAGUAGAUGCAGAAAGUAUCGGUCUACUUGUUUUGGACGUGAUGCCUAUAGAUAUGAUCAUUUCCAUAGAUAACGUCAUGACUUUGUGCGGUUCUAUCAAUUGCUCGACAGUAAUUCGUUAACCCACCAUCUACUUGCUUUCAUGAGAGAAGCCACUAGUGAACACUACNNNNNNNNNNCUCUUGCAAUGGGAGAAGUGCUUGGUUUUAGGUUCAUACCGUGCGGUGACCUUUCCCAGUGAUAGAAGGGGCAGCAAGGCACGCAUCAUGUUGUUGCCAUCAAGGGUAACAAGAUGGCUUUCAUCAUAGAUUUGAGAUUGUCCAUCUACAUCAUGUCAUCUUGCUUAAGGCGUUACUCUGUUCUUAUGAACUUAAUACACUACAUGCAUGCUGGAUAGCGGUCGACGUGUGGAGUAAUAGUAGUAGAUGCAGAAAGUAUCGAUCUACUUGUUUUGGAUGUGAUGCCUAUAUAUAUGAUCAUUGUCAUAGAUAACGUCAUGACUUUGUGCGGUUCUAUCAAUUGCUCGACUGUAAUUCGUUCACCCACCAUCUGCUUGCUUUCAUGAGAGAAGCCACUAGUGAACACUACGGCCCCCGGGUCNNNNNNNNNNGCUUUCAGUUCUCACUUUGCAAACAAUCUAUAAGGGAUUGACAACCCCUUCAUAGCGUUGGGUGCAAGCUAUUUGUGUUUGUGCAGGUACUUGUGACUUCACGCGAUCCUCCUACUGGAUUGAUACCUUGGUUCUCAAACUGAGGGAAAUACUUACCNNNNNNNNNNGCCAUAGAUAACGUCAUGACUUUGCGCGGUUCUAUCAAUUGCUCGACAGUAAUUCAUUCACCCACCAUCUACUUGCUUUCAUGAGAGAAGCCACUAGUGAACACUACGGCCCCCGGGUCUAUUCACAACUAUCGUCUCCACUUUCACUUUUACUUUCCUUUGUUUACUUUUUUGCUUUCAGUUCUCACUUUGCAAACAAUCUAUAAGGUAUUGACAAUCCCUUCAUAGCAUUGGGUGCAAGCUCUUUGUGUUUGUGCAGAUACUUGUGACUUGACGCGAUCCUCCUAAUGGAUUGAUACCUUGGUUCUCAAACUGAGGGAAAUACUUACCGCCGCUGUGCUACAUCACCCUUUCCGCUUCAAGGGAACACCAACGCAAGGCUCCAAGGCCGCGGGGAAUCCUUUGCAUAUUUUCCAAGGAAGUCCCUAUAGGCGUAGCCCGUAGUAGAAGGAUUCCUGGCGCCAUUGCAAGGGAAGGUCUUUUGUUGCCGUAGCAGUAUGUUACUUGCCCGAGAUUCGAUCGUCGGUAUCUGCAUACCUAUUUCAAUCUUGUUACCGGCAAGUCUCUUUACUCGUUCCGUAAUACAAGAUCCCGUGACUUACACNNNNNNNNNNCCAGAAGGAUUCCUGGCGCCGUUGCCAGGGAAGGUCUUUUUUUGCCGUAGCAGUAUGUUACUUGCUCGAGAUUUUAUCGUCGGUAUCCGCAUACCUAUUUCAAUCCCGGUCUUGGCAAGUCUCUUUACUCGUUCCGUAAUACAAGAUCCCGUGACUUACACUUAGUCACAUUGCUUGCAAGGCUUGUGUGUGAUGUUGUAUUACCGAGUGGGCCCCGAGAUACCUCUCUGUCACACGGAGUGACAAAUCCCAGUCUUGAUCCAUACUAACUCAAUGGACACCUUCGGAGAUACCUGCAGAGCACCUUUAUAGUCACCCAGUUACGUUGCGACGUUUGAUGCACACAAGGUAUUCCUCCGGCGCCAGUGAGUUAUAUGAUCUCAUGGUCAUAGGAAUAAAUACUUGACACGCAGAAAGCAAUAGCAAUAAAAUGGUACAUAGUUUGGGUAUUGUCCAUCACAUGAUUCUCCUAAUGAUGUGAUCCUGUUAUCAAGUGAAAACACUUGUCUAUGGUUAGGAAACAUUGACCAUCUUUGAUCAACGAGCUAGUCAACUAGAGGCUUACNNNNNNNNNNCUUGUCCAUCACAUGAUUCUCAUAAUGAUGUGAUCCUGUUAUCAAGUGAAAACACUUGUCUAUGGUUACGAAACAUUGACCAUCUUUGAUCAACGAGCUAGUCAACUAGAGGCUUACUAGGGACAGUGUUUUGUCUAUGUAUCCACACAUGUAUUUGUGUUUCCAACCAAUACAAUUAUAGCAUGGAUAAUGAACGAUUAUCACGAACAAAGAAAUAUAAUAAUAACUAUUUAAUUAUUGCCUCUAGGGCAUAUUUCCAAUAGUCUCCCACUUGCACUAGAGUCAAUAAUCUAGUUCACAUCACCAUGUGAUUUCAACGAAUCCAACACCCAUAAAGUUCUGGGCUCUGAUCACGUCUUGCUCGUGAGAGAGGUUUUAGUCAACGGUUCUGAAACUUUCAGAUCCGUGUGUGCUUUACAAAUCUUUAUGUAAUCUUUAUAGAUGCUGCUACUAGUGCUAUUCGGAAAUACUCCCAAUAUCUACUCUACUAUACAAAUCCGUUUUACUACUCAUAGUUAUUCGAAUUAGUGUCAAAGCUUGCAUCAACGUAACCCUUUACGACGAACUCUUUAACCACCUCCAUAAUCGAGAAAAAUUCCUUAGUCCAUUAGUUACUAAGGAUAACUUUGACCGUUGUUCAGUGAUUCAAUCCUGUAUCACUCUAUGUACCUCUUUAAGAGACUUGUGGCAAGGCACACAUCAGGUGCAGUACAGAGCAUGACAUACUUUAGAGUCUAUGUCUAAGGCAUAGGAGACGACAUUCGUCCUUUCUCUUUCUUCUGCCGUGGUCGGGCUUUUGAGUCUUACUCAAAUUCACACCUUACAACACAGCCAAGAACUCUUUCUUUGCUGAUCUAUUUUGAACUCCUUCAAAAAGUUGUCAAGGCAUGCAUUUCAUUUGACAGUUUUGUCUAGCAUUUUGAUCUAUCUCCAUAGAUCUUUGAUGCUCAACGUUCAAGCAGCUCUAUCCAGGUCUUCCUUUGAAAACCCCCUUUCAAACAACCUUUGUGCUUCACAGAAAUUCUACAUCACUUCCGAUCAACAAUAUGUCAACCACAUAUACUUAUCAGAAAUUCUAUAGUGCUCCCACUCACUUCUUUGGAAAUACAAGUUUGUCACAAACCUUGUACAAACGCGAAAAGAUUUGAUCAUCUCAUCAAAGUGUAUAUUCCAACUCCGAGAUGCUUGCACNNNNNNNNNNCUCACAAACCUUGUACAAACCCGAAAAUCUUUGAUCAUCUCAUCAAAGUGUAUAUUCCAACUCCGAGAUGCUUGCACCAGUCCAUUGAAGGAUCGCUGGAGCUUGCAUACUUGUUAGUAUCCUUAGGAUCGAAAAAACCUUUUGGUUGUAUCACAUACAACCUUUCCUCAAGGAAACCGUCGAGGAAACAAUGUCUUGACAUCCUAUGUGCAAUAUUUCGUAAAUAAUGCAGCAAUUACUAACAUAAUUCAAACACACUUUUAGCAUCACUACGAGUGAGAAAGUCUCAUCAUAGUCAACUCUUUGAACUUGUCGGAAACAUCCUUGCGACAAGUCGAGCUUUUCUUAAUGGUGAAUAGUCACCAUCAUCGUCUGUCUUCCUUUUAAAGAUCCAUCUAUACUUAAUAGUCCUAUGACCAUCAAGUAGUUCUUCCAAAGUCUACACUUUGUUUUCAUACAUAGAUCCUCUCUCGGAUUUCAUGGUCUCCAGCCAUUUGUCGUAAUCCGGGCCCACCAUCGCUUCUCCAUAGCUCGUAGGUUCAUUGUUGUUUAACAACAUGACCUCCAAGACAGGGUUACCAUACCACUCUGUAGUAGUACACGACCUUUGUCGACCUAUGAGGUUUGUAGUAACUUGAUCCGAAGCUCAAUGAUCACCAUCAUCAUUUUCCACUUCAAUUGGUGUAGGCGCCACAGGAACAUCUUCCCGCGCCCUGCUACACAUUGGUUGAAGUGACGGUUCACUAACCUCUUCAAGUUCCACCACCCUCCCACUCAAUUCUUUCGAGAGAAACCUUUCCUCAAGAAAGGAGCCGUUUCUGGAAACUAAUACUUUGCUUCUGGAUCUGAGAUAGGAGAUGCAUCCAAUUGUUUUGGAUAUCCUAUGAAGAUGCAUUUAUCCGCUUUGGGUUCGAGCUUAUCAGACUGAAACGUUUUCACAUAACCGUCGCAGCCCCAAACUUUCAAGAAACGACAACUUAGGUUUCUCCAAACCAUAGUCUAUAGCGUGUCAUAUCAAUGGAAAUAGGCGGUGCCCUAUUUAAAGUGAAUGCGGUUGUCUCUAAUGCAUAACCCAUAAACGAUAGUGGCAAUUCGACAAGAAACAUCAUAGUAUGCACCAUAUCAAAUAGGGUGAGGCUAUGACUUUUACACACAUCAUCACACUAUGGUGUUCUAGGUGGCGUGAAUUGUGAAACAANNNNNNNNNNUACAAGAAACAUCAUAGUAUGCACCAUAUCAAAUGGGGUGAGGCUAUGAGUUUUAGACACAUCAUCACACUAUGGUGUUCUAGGUGGCGUGAAUUGUGAAACAACUUCCACAUUGUCUUAACUGUGUACCAAAAACUUGCAACUCAGAUAUUCAUCUCUAUGAUCAUAUCGUAGACAGUUUAUCCUCUUGUCACGACGAUCUUCACUCUGAGAUAGCUUUGAACUUUUCAAUAUUUAAGACUUGUGAUUCAUCAAGUAAAUACUCUUGUAUCUACUCAAAUCGUCAGUGAAGUAAGAACAUAACGGUAUCCACUUCGUGCCUCAGUACUCAUUGGACUGCACACAUCAAAAAUGUAUUACUCCCAACAAGUUACUAUCUUGUUUCAUGUGGCAUGAUUUGCAUGUAUCAAGUGAUUCAAAAUCAAGUGAGUCCAAAUGAUCCAUCUCUCUGGAGCUUCUUCAUGCCUUUAUACCAACAGGUAUGGUUUGCAUGUCUCAAAUGUUUCAAAAAUGAGUGAGUACAAAGAUCCAUCAGCAUGUAGCUUCUUCAUGCAUUUUACACCAACAUGACUCAAGUGGCAGUGCCACAACUAAGUGGUACUAUCAUUAUUACUUUGUAUCUUUUGGCAACAAUACUAUGAACAUGUGUAACACUACGAUCGAGAUUCAAUAAACCAUUGUGGGUAAUUAUUCAAGCAAAUAGAAUAACUAUUAUCCUCUUUAAAUGAAUAAUCGUAUUGCAAUAAACCGGAUCCAAUCAUAUUCAUGCUUAACGCAAACACCAAAUAAAAAUUAUUUAGGUUUUACCACCAAUCCCGAUGAUAGAGGGAGGGUGUGAUGUUUGAUCACAUCAACCUUGGAAACACUUCCAACACGUAUCNNNNNNNNNNCCUAGUCUCCGUUUAUACCGUAGCUUUCAUUUCGAGUUACUAAUCACUUAGCAACCGAACAGGUAUCCAAUACCCUCGUGCUACUAGAAGUACCAUUAAAGUACACAUCAAUAUCAUGUACAUCAAAUAUACUUUUGUCGACUUUGCCAUCCUUCUUAUCUCCCAAGUAUCUAGGGUAGCUCUGCCUCAGUGACCGUUCAACAUAUCUUUUAGCACUGCUUUCCAUCCCCAAUCAAGUGCUCAAGUAGAAAGAGUGAAUCAAAUCCUAGAAGAUAUGCUCCGAGCUUGUGUUAUAUCGUUCGGUAUGAAUUGGGAGAAGUGCCUUCCAUUCGCCAAAUUCGCUUAUAACAAUAGUUAUCAAUCAAGCUUGGGCAAAGCUCCUUUUGAAGUUCUCUAUGGACGAAGAUGCCGAACACCUCUUAAUUGGUCAGAAACCGGGGAGAGGCAACUCUUUGGCCCGGACAUGAUCCAGGAUGCAGAAGAGCAGGUUCGCAUUAUUCGUGAAAAGUUGAAAACAGCCCAGUCUCGUCAAAAGAGCCAAUAUGAUCGUCAUCAUAAGGCUGUGACCUUUGAAGUUGACGAGAAAGCUUACCUUCGGGUUACACCUUUGAAGGGUACCCAUCAAUUCGGUAUCAAGGGCAAAUUGGCUCCUCGUUACAUUGGUCCUUUUCGCAUUCUUGCCAAACGAGGAGAAGUUGCCUACCAGUUGGAACUUCCUCCGCAUCUUUCUAAGGUUCAUGAUGUCUUCCACGUCUCGCAACUCAGGCGUUGCUUUUCGAAUCCUAUCCGUGAAGUGGACCACGAAACGCUUGAUCUCCAGAUAACCUUUCAUACCGAGAAUACCCCGUGCGUAUUCUUGAUCAAGCUGCGCGUACCACUCGACGUCGAAACCUCAAGUUUCUUAAAGUUCAAUUAUCAAAUCAUUCUGAAAAGGAGGCAACGUGGGAAAGAGAGGAUCGUCUCCGACUUGAGUAUCCUGCGUUAUUCCCGACGACUUCUAAAUCUCGGGACGAGAUUCUUUUGAGUGGGGGUGAGUUGUCACAUCCCUGACAUCAUAAGCAAGUUAGCUUUGUGCUCAUGUUUUNNNNNNNNNNNNNNNNNNNNNNNNNNNNNNNNNNNNNNNNNNNNNNNNNNNNNNNNNNNNNNNNNNNNNNNNNNNNNNNNNNNNNNNNNNNNNNNNNNNNGGCCUAUAAUUAGCCUAGCUAGAUCCAAAAUGGCUUAAUAAGCAUAGUAUGCUCCGGAAUGACCUAUUUUACACAAGUUAGCUCCGAAACGACCUAUAGUUAGCUAGGCUUCCACAAAAAUGACAUAAUUAGUUUAGUAAGCUCCAAAAUGGUCUAUUUAAUAAAACAUGACCUAUACUUAGCUAAUUAUCCUCGAAAUGACAUAAUUAGCUCCAAAAAGGCAUUCUUAGCUAAUUUAGCCCGAAGAAGGGGACAAGAGGAGAAGAAAGAGGAAAAUGAAAGGAAGGAAGACGAAGAAGAAGAGAAGAAGAAGAAGGAGAAAGAGGAAGAAGAAGGAGAAGGAGAAGAAGGAGUAGAAGAAGCAGAAGGAGCUCCUCCUUCUCCUUCUUCUUCCUCCUUCUCCUUCUCCUUCUUCUUUUCUUCUUCUUCUCCUCUUCCUUCUCCUUCUCCUCCUCCUCCUUCUUCUAAUACUUCUUCUUCUCUUCUUGCUUCUUCUCUUUCUCUUCUUCUACGUAGCUUAGACUCAUCCAAAAAAGACUAAAUUGGCUAAUUAUCCUACAAAAUGACAUAAUUAGCUUAGUUAGCUCCAAAAUGACCUAUUUAAUAAAAAAAUGACCUAUAUUUAGCUAAUUCUCUCCUAAAUGACAUAAUAAGACUUACGUAGCUGCAAGAUGACCUAUUCCCCCUAACUUAGGUAUUAAAUGGCCUAUAAUUGGCCUAGCCAGAUCCAAAAUGGCUUAAUAAGCAUAGUUUGCUCCGGAAUGACCUAGUUUACCCAAGUUAGCUCCGAAACGACCUAUAGUUAGCUAGGCUUCCACCUAAAUGACAUAAUUAUCUUAGUUAGCUCCAAAAUCAUCUAUUUAAUAAAACAUGACCUAUACUUAGGUAAUUAUCCUCGAAUUGACAUAAUUAGAUCCAAAAAGGCAUUCUUAGCUAAUUUAGCCCGAAGAAGGGGACAAGAGGAGAAGAUAGAGGAAAAAUGAAUGGAAGGAAGAAGAAGAAGAAGAGAAGAAGAAGAAGAGAAGGAGGAGGAUAAGAAGAAGAAGAAGAAGGAGGAGAAGAAGCAGAAGGAGCUCCUCCUUCUCCUUCUUCUUCCUCCUUCUUCCUCCUUCUCCUUCUCCUUCUUCUUUUCUUCUUCUUCUCCUCNNNNNNNNNNGAAGAAGAAGAAUAGAAGGAGGAGGAUAAGAAGAAGGAGAAGAAGGAGUAGAAGAAGGAGACGGAGCUCCUCCUUCUCCUCCUCCUCCUCCUCCUCCUUCUUCUUUUACUUCUUCUUCUCUUUCUCUUCUUCUACGUAGCUUAGACUCAUCCAAGAAAGACUAAAUUGGCUAAUUAUCCUACAAAAUGACAUAAUUAGCUUAGUUAGCUCCAAAAUGACAUAAUAAGGCUUCCGUAGCUGCAAUAUGACCUAUUCCCCCUAACUUAGGUAUUAAAUGGCCUAUAAUUAGCCUNNNNNNNNNNNNNNNNNNNNNNNNNNNNNNNNNNNNNNNNNNNNNNNNNNNNNNNNNNNNNNNNNNNAACAUAAUAAGGCUUAUGUAGCUGCAAGAUGACCUAUUCCCCCUAACUUAGGUAUUAAAUGCCCUAUAAUUAGCCUAGCUAGAUCCAAAAUGGCUUAAUAAGCAUAGUUUNNNNNNNNNNNNNNNNNNNNNNNNNNNNNNNNNNNNNNNNNNNNNNNNNNNNNNNNNNNNNNNNNNNNNNNNNNNNNNNNNNNNNNNNNNNNNNNNNNNNUGUAAAUAGUUAAGCCUAGGGAAUUGUUUUCUCUUAAGUGGCGCUCUCGUGGCCUUACUCCCGCACAAUGUGGACCAGUUCCCCUCUCUCCCCGCGCUAGCCCACUCCCGCGUCCCUCCUUCCUCCUCUGACGCCGUCUACAGUCCCGCGUGCUCUCUUUCCUUCUACUUGCAGAGAGAGAGUUGCCGCCGAGAGGGCACAACCGUCGAGGACCCCCCUUUAUAAGGGUGGGCGUCCGUGCCCUCGUCCUAGGGUUCCCCUCUCCCCCAUCCGCCGCCGCUACUUGAUACGUCUCAAACGUAUCUAUAAUUUUUGAUGGUUUCAUGCUGUUAUCUUGUCAUCCUUGGAUGUUUUAUGUACCUUUUAUAUCUUUUUUGGGACUAACUUAUUAAUUCAGUGCCAAGUGCUAGUUCCUGUUUUUUCUGUGUUUUUGGCUCUUUUCAGAUCUGAUUUUGGAACGGAGUCCGAACGGAAUAAAAUCCCUAAAAUAAAUUUUUCCCAAACGGAAGAAGAUCAGGGGGCUUAAGGGCCAAGCCAGGAGGGCUACAGGGGGGCCACAAGCCCCCAUCCGCCACCAGGGGGGCGGCGGAUGGCAGGCUUGUGGCCUCCCUGGCGCCCCCCUGACCUAGAUCCUUCGCCUAUAUAUUCCCUAAAAUACAGAAAAAAAAUCAAGGGAUCCACGAAAAUACUUUUCCGCCGCCGCAAGCUUCCGUUUCCGCGAGAUCUCAUCUGGAGACCCUUUCCGGUGCCCUAUCGGAGGGGACUUUGGAGUUGGAGGGCUUCUACAUCAACAUCAUCGCCCCUCCAAUGACUCGCGAGUAGUUCACUUCAGACCUACGGGUCCGUAGUUAGCAGCUAGAUGGCUUCUUCUCUCUCUUGGAUCUUUAAUACAAAGUUCUCCAUGAUCUUCAUGGAGAUCUAUCCGAUGUAAUCCUCUUUGGCGGUGUGUUUGUCGAGAUCCGAUGAAUUGUGGAUUUGUGAUCAGAUUAUCUAUGAUAUAUAUUUGAGUCUUUGCUGAUUUCUUAUAUGCAUGAUUUGAUAUCCUUGUAAGUCUCUCCGAGUCUUGGGUUUUGUUUGGCCAACUAGAUCUAUGAUUCUUGCAAUGGGAGAAGUGCUUGGUUUUGUGUUCUUACCGUGUGGUGACCUUUCCCAGUAACAGUAGGGGCAGCAAGUCACACAUCGUGUAGUUUCCAUCAAGGGUAACAAGAUGGGCUUUGCCGUAGAUAUGAGAUUGUCCAUCUACAUCAUGUCAUCUUGCUUAAGGCGUUACUCUGUUCUUUCGGACUUAAUACACUAGAUGCAUGCUGGAUAGCGGUUGACGUGUGGAGUAAUAGUAGUAGAUGCAGAAAGUAUCGGCCUACUUGUUUUGGACGUGAUGCCUAUAGAUAUAAUCAUUGCCAUAGAUGACGUCACGACUUUGCGCGGUUCUAUCAAUUGCUCGACAGUAAUUUGUUCACCCACCGUCUACUUGCUUUCAUGAGAGAAGCCACUAGUAAACACUACGGCCCCCGGGUCUAUUCACACCUAUCGUUUCCACUUUCGCUUUUACUUUGCUUUGUUACUUUGUUGCUUUCAGUUCUCACUUGGCGAACAAUCUAUAAGGGACUGACAACCCCUUCAUAGCGUUGGGAGCAAGCUUUUUGUGUUUGUGCAGGCACUUGUGAUACUCCUUCACUGGAUCGAUACCUUGGUUCUCAAACUGAGGGAAAUACUUACCACCGCUACGCUACAUCACCCUUUCCGCUUUGAGGGAACACCAACGCAAGGCUCCAAGGCCACGGGGGAAAUCCUUUGCAUAUUUGCCUAGGAAGUCCCUUAAGGCGUAGCCGUAGCAAAAUGAUUCCUGGUGCCGUUGCUGAGGAGUAUCAAGACAAGAACAGUCUCCCGUCAGCACGUGUUUCUGGCGCCGUUAGAAGGUCUUUUGUUGCAGUAGCAGAAGUAUUUCUGGCGCCGUUGCCGGGGAAGGAGAGAUCUAUCCAAGUAGGUCUCACAAACUCAUCUUUUGCAUUUACUUUUUUGCGAGUUGCCUCUCAUUUUCCUCUCCCCCACUUCACAUUUGUUGUUUUCAUUUGCCUUUCUCCUUUGUCGUUUUCUUUUGCCUUUUGCCUUUUGCCGUUUUCCUUUGCCGGUUUUCUUGCUUGCUUGUGUGCUUGUUUGUUUGUUGAAGUCAUCAUGGCUGAAAACACCAAACUUUGCGACUUCUCGAAUACCAAUAAUAAUGAUUUUAUUAGUACUCCGAUUGCUCCCACCACUAGUGCGGAAUCGUAUGAAAUCAACGCUGCUUUGCUGAAUCUUGUUAUGAAAGAGCAAUUCUCGGGCCUUCCUAGUUAAGAUGCCGCAUCCCAUCUCAAUACCUUCAUUGAGAUUUGUGAUAUGCAAAAGAAAAGAGAUGUGGAUAAUGACGUGAUUAAGUUGAAACUUUUUCCUUUCUCGUUGCGAGAUCGCGCAAAAACUUGGUUUUCUUCUUUGCCUAAAAAUAGUAUCGAUUCUUGGGAUAAGUGCAAAGAUGCUUACAUAUCCAAGUAUUUUCCGCCGGCUAAUAUCAUCUCCUUACGUAACGAUAUCAUGAAUUUCGAGCAACUUGAUCAUGAACACGUUGCACAAUCUUGGGAGAGGAUGAAGCUUAUGAUUAGAAAUUGUCCCGCUCAUGGCUUGAGUUUGUGGAUGAUUAUACAAAUCUUUUACGCUGGCUUGAAUUUCGCUUCUCGCAAUAUCUUGGACUCCGCCUCAGGUGGAACGUUCAUGGAAAUCACGUUAGGAGACGCUACAAAACUCCUAGACAAUAUCAUGACCAACUACUCUCAGUGGCACACUGAAAGGUCACAUGCUAGCAAAAAGGUACACGCUAUAGAAGAGAUUAACUCGCUUAGCGCUAAGAUGGACGAGUUGAUGAAUUUGGUUGCUAGUAGAAACACUACUGUAGAUCCUAAUGACAUGCCACUAUCUUCUUUGAUUGAGAGUAGCAACGCUAGUUUGGACGUGAAUUUUGUUGGUAGGAACAAUUUUGGCAACAACAAUGCUUUUAGAGGAAACUAUGUUCCUAGGCCUUUUCCUAGUAACUCCUCUAACAACUAUGGCAAUUCCUACAACAACACUUAUGGAAAACAAAACAAAUUACCCUCUGAUUUAGAGAGUAAUAUCAAAGAGUUCAUCAACUCUCAAAAGAUUUUCAAUGCGUCCAUAGAGGAAAAACUACUCAAAAUAGACGAUUUGGCUAAGAGCGUUGAUAGGAUGUCUUGUGAUAUUGAUGCUUUGAAAGUUAGAUGUGCUCCUCCCAAGGUCAACUUGGAUGAAACUUUGAAAGCUAUGCGUGUCUCCAUGAAUGAGAGCAAAGAAAGAACAUCCCAAAUUCGCGCUAGGCAUGAAUGGUUUAAAAGGGUGCGUUCUAGUGAUGCAAAUCCCAAAGAUCUUAAAGUGCUUGGUGUGUCUCCUCUUGAAUCUUUAUUUUCGUGUGUCAAAUCUAUUUAUGGAGGGUCUGGAUAUGAAUCCACUUUGGUUGAAAAACGCCCCAAUGAUUCGGAGUCCACCCAUCUUAAUGAUAAAGGUGUGGAGAGUGGAGUAGAAGAAAUCAAAAUUUUGGGUAGUAAUGAAACUCCCACUUUGGAUUUCAAGGAAUUCAAUUAUGAUAAUUGCUCCUUGUUUGAAUGCAUUUCUUGAUGCAAUCCAUUGCAAACUCUCCCCAUGCUUAUAGCCAAAGCAAAGUCUUUACCGCGCAUAUCAUAGAUGCUAUGAUGAAAUCUCUUGAAGAGAAGCUCGAAUUAGAAGUCUCUAUACCUAGAAAACUUCAUGAUGAGUGGGAACCUACAAUCAAAAUCAAGAUCAAAAACUAUGAGUGCAAUGCCUUGUGUGAUUUGGGUGCUAGUGUUUCCGCGAUUCCAAAGUCUUUAUGUGAUAUUCUUGGUUUUCAUGAGAUUGAAGAGUGUUCUCUUAAUUUGCAUCUUGCGAUUCUAUUGUCAAGAAACCCAUGGGAAGGAUCGAUGAUGUUCUUAUUGUUGCAAAUAAGAACUAUGUACCCGUGGAUUUCAUUGUACUUGACAUAGAUUGCAAUCCUUCAUGUCCCAUUAUUCUUGGUAGACCUUUCCUAAGGACUAUUGGUGCUAUCAUCGAUAUGAAGGAAGGGAAUAUUAGAUUUCAAUUUCCUUUAAAGAAGCGCAUGGAGCACUUUCCUAGAAAGAAAAUAAGAUUGCCUUAUGAAUCUAUGAUGAGGGCUACUUAUGGUUUGAGCACCAAAGAUGACUGUACGUGAUUCCAUCACCUUUUGCCUAGCUAAGGACGUUAAACAAAAGCGCUUGUUGGGAGGCAACCCAACAAAUCUAUCCUUUUUAUUUCUGUUUUGUGUUUUCCACACUUUCAUAAUUCUGUUAUGAUUGUGUUUUUUGUGUUUCUUUUUGCGUUUGUGCCAAGCAAAACCGUUAUGAUUAGUCUUGGGGUUGAUCGUUUGGUCAUGAUGGAAAAGACAGAAACUUUCUUCUCACGAAAAGAAUUUUCAUUUUUUUUCUGUAAGAGAUUUUGAGUUGAUUCUUUUUUAUGAUGAUUUCUACACAAAUUAUUCAGACUUUCGUAAUUUUUCAGAAUUUUGAAGUACCGGAAGUAUACAAAAUAUACAGAUUGCUACAGACUGGUCUGCUCUUAACAGAUUCUGUUUUUGUUGUGUUGGUUGCUUAUUUUGAUGAAACUAUGGAUAGUAUCGGGGGGUACUAGCCAUGGAAAAGUGAGAAUACAGUAAUCUAACACCAAUAUAAAUAGAUAUCAAGAUUGCUACAAUACCUAAAGAGGUGGUAGUUUGUUUUCUUGUGCUAAUGAUAUCACGAGUUUCUGUUUAAGUUUUUUGUUGUGAAGUUUUCAAGUUUUGGGUGAUGUUUUCAUGGACAAAUGGAUAAAGAGUGGAAAGAGAUCAAGCUUGGGGAUGCCCAAGGCAUCCCAAGCAAAAUUCAGGGACACCAAAAAGCCUAAGCUUGGGAAUGCCCCGGGAAGGCAUCCCCUCUUUCGUCUUCAAUCCAUCGGUAACAUUACUUGGAGCUAUAUUUUUAUUCACCACAUGAUAUGUGUUUUGCUUGGAGCGUCUUGUACCGUAGGAGUAUUUUCUUUUUGUUGUGUCACAAUCAUCCUUUCUGCACACCUUUUGAGAGAGACAUGCACUCAUCGUGAAUUUACUAGAAUGCUCAUCAUGCUUCACUUAUAUCUUUUGAGCUAGAUAAUUUUGCUCUAUGUGCUUCACUUAGAUCUUUUAGAGCACGACGGUGCGUGACUUGGUAGUUGGUUUGUGCUAUGAAAGUAGUCCCAAAGGUGGUAGGUACUCAAAGAGCACACAAAAACUUCCAUCUUCAUGUGUAUUGAGUAGAAAGAAAAGUUUGAUUCCUCUCAAUUAGUUUUGAGACAUGGAUUUGGUAAUAUUAAGAGUUAUGUUAGUAGGGUGUUGUGAAUCUAGAAAUAUUUGUGUUGAAGUUAGUGAUUCCCGUAACAUGCACGUAUGGUGAACCGCUAUGUUAGGAAGUCGGAGCAUAAUUGAUCUAUUGAUUGUCAUCCUUUGUGUUGCGGUCGGGAUCGCGCGAUGGUUAACACCUACCAACCCUUCCCCUAGGAGUAUGUGUUUAGCACUUUGUUUCGAUUACUAAUAAAAACUUUCCCAACAAGUAUGUGAGUUCUUCAUGACUAAUGUAAGCCCAUGGUAUAUAUGCACUUUCACCUUCCACCAUUUCUAGCCUCUCUAGUGCCGCGCAAUUUUCACCGGUGCACAAACCCACCAUAUGCCUUCCUCAAAACAGCCACCAUACCUACCUACUAUGUCAUUUUCAUAGCCAUUCCGAGAUAUAUUGCCAUGAAACUCCCACCGUUCCAUCUCAUGACUUGUGUCGUCACUCUUAUAUUGCCAUUGCAUGAUCUUAAGAUAGCUAGCGAGAUGUUUUAACGUCAUACGCCAAGCUAGAUCGUUGCACAUCCCGAUACACUGCCGGAGGCAUUUCCUAUAGAGUCAUCAUCGUUCUGAGCUUUGAUCUGUGAGUAAAUAAAAGUGUGAUGAUCAUCAUUAUUAGAGCAUUGUCCCAUGUGAGGAAAUAAAAAAAGUGGCCAAUUUGCCCGCAAUAAAAAAAGAGAGAAAAAGAGGCCAAAGAGCCAAAUAAAAAAGAGAGAAAAAAGGGAAGAGACAAUGCUACUAUCUUUUUCCACACUUGUGCUUCAUAAUAGUACCAUGUUCUCCAUGAUUGAGAGCCUCUCGUUUUGUCACCACCAUAUACUAGUGGGAAUCUUUACUAUAUAACUUGGCUUGUAUAUUCCAAUGAUGGGCUUCCUCAAAAUUGCCCUAGGUGUUCGUGAGCAAGCAAGUUGGAUGCACACCCACUAGUUCUCCUUUUGAGCUUUCACAUACUUAUAGCUCUAGUGCAUCCUUUGUAUGGCAAUCCCUACUCAUUCACAUUGAUAUAUAUUAAUGGGCAUCUCCAUAGCCCUUUGAUACGCCGAGUCAAUGUGACCAUCUCCUCCUUUUUGUCUCACAAACACCACCACACUUUAUUCCACCUAUAGUGCUAUAUCCAUGGCUCAUGCUCAUGUAUUGCGUGAUAGUUGAAAAAGGUUUGAGAAAGUAAGAGUGCGAAAACAAUUACUUGGCCAAUACCGGGGUUGUGCAUGAUUUAAAUUAGUUGUGUGGGGAUGAUGGAGCAUAGCCAGACUAUAUGAUUUUGUAGGGAUAACUUUCUUUGGCCUUGUUAUUUCAAAAGUUCAUGAUUACCUUGGUAGUUUGCUUGAAGUAUUAUUGUUUUCAUAUCAAUAGCAAACUAUUGUUUUGAAUCUUACGGAUCUGAACAUUCAUGUCAUAUGAAAGAAGUUACAAAGGACAACUAUGCUAGGUAGCAUUCCACAUCAAAAAUUCAGUCUUUACGACUUCCGUACUCGAGGACGAGCAUGAGUUAAGCUUGGGGAUGCUUGAUACGUCUCCAACGUAUCUAUAAUUUUUGAUGGUUCCAUGCUAUUAUCUUAUCAAACUUUGUAUGUUUUGUAUGCCUUUUAUAUCUUUUUUGGGACUAACUUAUUAACUCAGUGCCAAGUGUCAGUUCCUGUUUUUUCCAUGUUUUUGACCCUUGAUACGUCUCCAUCGUAUCUACUUUUCGAAACUAUUUUGCCCUUGUUUUGGACUCUAAUUUGCAUGAUUUGAAUUGAACUAACCUGGACUGACGCUGUUUUCAGCAGAAUUGCCUUGGUGUUAUUUUUGUGCAGAAAUCAAAGUUCUUCAAACGUCCUGAAAAUCUACGAGGAGCAGUUUAGGAAAAUAAGAAAAAUAUAUGCGCCAAGUUCCACCUGAGGGGGUGGUCUAGUGGGCCACAAUCCCUGGCUCCGCUACCACCCCCUUGGUGGCGGUGGGUAGGCUUGUGGGGCCCACACGGCUCUGUCGCCCCCAACCUUAGGUCUAUAAGUUCACUUUCGUCCCAGAAAAAAUAAAAAGAGAAUUUUUCGUCGCGUUUACGAUACGGAGCCACCGCCACCACCUGUUCUUCAUCUGGAGGGCAGAUAUGGAGUCCGUCUUGGGCUCCGGAGAGGGGAAAUCGUCGCCAUCGUCAUCAUCAACCUUCUUCCCUCUCCAAUUCCAUGAAGCUCUUCGUCAUUCAUGAGUAAUCUAUUCGUAGGCUCGCUGGGUGGUGAUGAGUAGGAUGAGAUCUAUCAUGUAAUCGAUCGAGUUAGUUUUGAUGGGGAUUGAUCCCUAGUAUCCACUAUGUUCUGAGAUUGAUGUUGCUACUACUUUGCUAUGCUUAAUGCUUGACACUAGGGCCCGAGUGCCAUGAUUUAAGAUCUGAAAUUAUUAUGUUGUCACCAAUAUAUGUGUGUUUUAGAUCCGAUCUUGCAAGGUGUAGUUACCUACUAUGUGUUAUGAUCCGGCAACCCCGGAGUGACAAUAACCGGAACCACUCCCGGUGAUGACCAUAGUUUGAGGAGUUCAUGUGUUCACCAAGUGCUAAUGCGUUGGUCCAGUUCUUUAUUAAAAGGAGAACCUUAAUAUCCCGUAGUUUCGUUUUGGACCCCGCUGCCACGGGAGGGAUGGACAAUAGAUGUCAUGAAAGUUCUUUUCCCUAAGCACGUAUGAUGACACACGAAAUGCAUGCCUACAUCACAUUGACGAACGGGAGCUAGCCACAUAUCUCUCCGUGUUAUAACUGUUGCAUGAUGAAUAUCAUCCAGACAAAUCACCGACCCAUUGCCUACGAGUUUGUCCCACUGCUGCUGUUACUUGUCUUGCUCUGCUGCUGUUACAACUGUUGCUAGUGUUGUUACUUGUCUUGCUCUGCUGCUAAUGCUGCUACUACUGUCGCUUGCUACUGUUGCUACUUGCUACUGCUGUCACUACUGCUUUUCCUUGCCGCUGCUAUUGCUCGUUACACUGCUGCUACCUGCUACAAUUUUGGUUCGCUGGACGUUGACGGGAACUGACAACUUCCGUCAACGAGGCAACUUGGCGCCAUUGAUACAAUCGUUAGGAAUAGUCUGCCGUCAACAGAUCGUUUCUGACACCGUUGUUAUCAUACUACUUUGUUGUUACUACUUUGCUUGCAGAUACUAAUCUUUCAGGUGUGGUUGAAUCUGACAUAUUCAGCUGCUAAUACUUGAGAGUAUCCUCUCACCUCCUAUAGGCGUACCAACAAAUUUGGGUUGAAUACUCUACCCUCAAAAACUGCUACGAUCCCAUGCGCUUGUGGGUCGUCAACAACAUUCUUCUAGUUUCGAUUGCCGGAGAGUUUUAGCAGCAUUCAUCUGGUGCCGUUGCAAGGGGAAGAACAAUUGACAUCAAGAAUUUUUCUGGCGCCGUUGCCAGGGAGGUAUUGCUAUUUUCUCUAAGUCACUUGGGAUUUAUAUCUGCUGAUCACUAUGAAGAACCUGAAGGAUCCGAAGACCAAAGUCUUGCCCUCAACUAUGAGGGGAGGUAAGGAAUUGCCAUCUAGCUCUGCACUUGAUUCACCUUUAGUUAUGAGUAAGUUUGCGACAUCACCUCCUGCUAGAAAUCUUGAUAUGUCGCCUGUGCUUGAUGAUGCUUAUGAUGCUACUACUAGAGAUGCUAUGCUUGAUACUGCUAGAGAUGAUGUGCUUGAUACUAUGCCUGAUGAUACUAUGCUUGAUACUAUGCCUGAUGCUAUGCUUGAUACUGCUGGAGAUGCUAUGCUUGAUACUGCUUUGCCUGAUGAUGCUAGAGAUGCUAUUUUGCCUGAUGAUGCUAUGCUUGAUGAUGCUAGAGAUACUGCUUUGCCUGAUGUUCCUCUAGGAGUGUUCCUUGAUGCUCAUAUUGCUAGAGUUACUGCCAAUGCUCGUGAUGUUUCUGAUACUACCGAUACUAUUGAGAUAGAACCUGCUUUUGCUCCUGCUAGAUCUAGCUCUCCUAGAUAUGAAUUGCCUGAUAUACCUGAGGGUUACGUUAUGGAGGGAGAGAUAGCUGAGGAUUUUCUUGCAUGUAAGGAUGCCUAUGACGCUGAGAAAUUACUUCUCAAGUGGAAGGAAAAAUCUCGGGAAGCUAGGAUGAAAUACGACCUGAAGUUUGCCACUUCACCUAUCUUUAUCACCGAUAAGGAUUAUGAAUUCUCUGUCGAUCCUAACAUAAUAACUCUAGUCGAAUCUGAUCCUUUUCACGGUUGUGAGUCUGAGACGUUCGUAGCCCAUCUUGCCAAACUACACGAUAUAGCCACCCUUUUCACUAAUGAGGAGAAGAUCCACCACUACUAUAUCCUUAAGCUAUUUCCUUUCUCUCUAAAGGAUGAUGCUAAAGCCUGGUUCACCUCUCUUGCUCCUGGAUGGUGAGUAGUCCCUAGGAGAUGGUCUAUUACUUCUAUGAGAAAUAUUUCCCUGCACAUAAGAAGCAAGCUGCCUUGCAGGAAAUAUACAACUUUGCUCAACUCCAAGAAGAGAGUCUUCCACAAGCUUGGGGGAGGCUCGUCCAGCUACAGAAUGCUUUGCCUGAUCACCCUCUUAAGAAGAAUGAGAUACUUGAUAUCCUCUAUAACGGACUUACCGAUGCCUCUAGAGACCACCUAGAUAGUUGUGCCUGUUGUGUUUUUAGGGAACGAACUGUAGAACAAGCUGAGACUCUACUGAAUAACAUCUUGAUCAACGAUAAUGCUUGGACUAUUCCCGAACCACCUCCUAAGCCAACUCCGAAGAAAAGAGGUAUUCUAUUCCUCAGUCCCGAAGAUAUGCAAGAAGCCAAGAAAACUAUGCAAGAGAAAGGCAUUAGAUCUGAAGAUGUAAAAAAUCUACCGCCUAUCGAAGAGAUCCAUUGCCUCGAUAACCCAAUACAAGUAGUAGAAGUGAAUUCUCUGCGUAGGUUUGAUGAGAGUGAUAUUCCUUUUGAUAAACCUGCUAGCCUAUGCUUUGAUGAAUUUGACAACUUUGUUGCCAAACAACAGAGUUUCAAUGAUUAUGUUAGCAGACAUUUGGAACAAAGUACUCGUAUGCUUAGCCAUUUAAGUGCUUGUGUAGACAGAAAUGUCAAUGAUCUAAAGCUUCUGAGUAAACAUGCCUCUAUGAUUAUUACUCAGGUAGAACAAGUACUUAAAGCUCAGAAUGACUUGCUCAAUGAAUUAAAUGAAAACUCUGUCAGAGUCAUUACUAGAGGAGGCAAAAUGACUCUGGAACCUUUGUAUCCUGAAGGUCAUCCUAAGAGAAUUGAUCAAGAUUCUCAAGGAAUCAAUGCUGAUACACCCAGUCAUCCUAAGGAGAAGAAGAAGGAUGAUAGAAACCUGCACGCCAGUUCACCAAAUACUGUCACACCUGAAGAACCUAAUGAUAUUUCUGCGUCUGAUGCAGAAACACAAUCUGGUGAUGAACAUGAACCUCGUGACAAUAUGGACAGUGAUGUUCAUAAUAAUGCUCAACCUAGCAAUGAUGAGGAUGUGGAGAUUGAACCUACGGUUAAUCCUGAUAACCCACAACCUAAGAAAUACGAUAAGAAUGACUUCACUGCUAGGAAGCAUGGUAAAGAAAGAGAGCCAUGGGUUCACAGACCUAUGCCCUUUCCUCCUAAGCCAUCCAAGAAAAAGGAUGAUGAGGAUUUUGAGCACUUCGUUGAGAUGAUAAGACCCAUCUUUCUGCAGGUGCGGUUAACUGAUAUGCUCAAGAUGUCUCCGUAUGCCAAGUACAUGAAAGAUAUCGUGACUAAUAAACGGAAGAUACCAGAUCUUGAGAUCUCCACCAUGCUUGCCAAUUACACUUUCAAGGGUGGAACUCCUAAGAAACUUGGUGAUCCCGGAGUGCCCACUAUACCUUGCUCCAUUAAAGGAAACUACGUAAGAACUGCCUUAUGUGACCUUGGAGCCGGUGUUAGUGUUAUGCUGCUCUCUCUUUAUCGUAGACUUGAGUUGGAUAAGUUGACACCCACUGAAAUUUCUCUGCAAAUGGCCGACAAAUCAACUGCUUUUCCUAUCGGCAUUUGCGAGGGUGUGCCUGUUGUGGUUGCUAAUACCACUAUCUUAACAGACUUUGUUAUCUUGGAUAUUCCCAAGGACGAUGCUAUGGCUGUCAUCUUCGGAAGACCCUUUUUAAACACUGCAGGGGCUGUUAUAGAUUGCAACAAAGGCAAUAGCACUUUCCAUGUCAACGGUAAUGAGCACACAGUGCACUUUUCGAAGAAAUGAUAUCCAGUAGAUUGCAUCAAUGCUAUUGAAAAGACUUCAUCGUUUCUCAUUAGGAGCUUUGAAUGCCCUAUUCCUCGUGUUAAGAUGAAGUAUGAUUUGCUUGUUGGGGAGAUACAUAUCCCCAUUGAGGUGACUUAGUGGCUAUUAGAAAAUUCUCCGUUCUCUCAUGAGAUUCAAGAAGGCUUUGUCAUGAGGACUUGAUCAAUCCCACUGACGGAUUUCUUUCGAUGACCAUGAAACGGAUGAAUCAAAGAGUCACAUACCUCUGUUUUAAGCUUUCAUUUCUUUUGCUUAGAAGAAAAAUGAUAGAAUUAGUCUAGCUUUUCCUGUUUUCUGUUUUAGCGUCCCCGAGAAAAAUACCUCGAAAAUAGAAGUUCUCCGAUGGUCCUAAAAAUUUAGUAUGAUUUUUUCUAGAAUUUUUGAAAAAUUCUGGGCCUGAGAGCUAGCCUGGGGGCCAGACCAGGGGGCCACAAGCCCUGCUACCACCACCUACCCCCCUGGUGGCGUAGUGCAAGCUUGUGGGGCCCACAGGCACCCCCUCCACUCAUUCCAGCUCCCACCCUCUUCUUCCACCUCCAGAAAAAAUUGUUUUGCAGCUCAAACUCGUGUUCUUGCUCAUUUGGUUGUGAUUUUCGAUCUCCUUGCUCAAAGCACCAUUCUCCGAACCAUUUUGGGAAAAUUACUCCUUGGCAAGUGACUCCUCCAUUGGUCCAAUUAGUUUUUCCUCUAGCGCUUUAUCCUUCGCGUACUCUUGCUACCUUGGUGACCCUGUUCUUGAGCUUGAAAGGUUGAUUUUAGCUGGUCCCAAGUAGUUUUAGAGCGUGAUACGGUCUCUAGGCACUAGUAGGAGUAGUUGCUACAAGGUGUGGUGGGUCUUCAUUCACUUUUCUCUUGAACUACAAAAAUUUCAGCAAAAGGAAAUUAUGGUCACGAGGAAAGUUUCCUGGUGGUUCCUCAAUUAAGAAGGGUCCUCGUCUUUCUUUUCGGGAGCCCAAACCUUUUCAACUAAGGGACGCACCGGUUCAACCAUGUGAAUGGCCUUCCGAUGAGUUCAUGAUCGCAGCAGGUUUCAAGGAUGAGUUUGAUACACUUGUCCGCAAUGCCGGGUUAGAAGAAUUCCUCUCAGAUAAAUGUGAAUAGUAUGCUAUGCUCACUACCUCUUUCGUGCGUAGAUUUAAAUUUUCAGUUGGCCGUGACUCAUCCAUACUGUUUGAUCUGUACGAUAAAUCCUAUACCGUGGAUUUGGAGGAUUUCAAUAGAAUUUGCAAGAUACCCGAUGGGGGGCAGUAUUAACGAUCCUUCUAAGUCUUCGGUCAGAGACUUUGUGUCAAGUAUAACUGUUGGAGAAACCAGAGAUAUCACGCAAGCCACCACAGGAAGCAUCCAUUUCCCUGCCUUGCACUACCUUGCCCUCUUCAUAGGUAGGUGCAUUAACGGCAAGGGUGCACAUUGUCACCUAUGCGCUUCCGACCUUAGUAUCCUUAAGAGCACAGUAACAGGUGACAUGAGCUUCAAUAUGGGAGCUAUAAUAGUAAGGAGGCUGAAUAAAAAUACCAGUGAGGGGGAUUUCUUUGGUGGAUUUUAUGCUACACGCUUAGCAAAUUUUCUUGGAGUAUCCAUCCGUCCAGAAGACCCUCCUCUCCGUACAGCCUACAUUGAUCGUGUCGCUCUAACACGCUACCAGUUCCUUGAGAGAGAUCAUGGAUCCCUCCUAUACCGCUUGAUAUUUAACCGGUAGCGUGUUUUCCAUAUUACCUUUCCUUCUCCCGCUUUCUUUGACUUUUAGGUAAAACGAAGAUACUACAUAACCAUAGGAGAGGGAGAGAAGUAUGAGAGGGAGGCGACGGCUGCUCGACUUCGCGAGGUAGCUAUUCAGGCAGUGGCUGCAGCACUCCUGUAUAACACCCAUUAUGACUUUGGGUUUCGCCAGGACCAUCCCUAGGAGUAGACCAAGCUAGGCCAAAAGCCUAAGCUUGGGGGAGUACGUGUUCUCACUGACUUUACAUUCAUGCUUAUGCUUUCACUUUGUUAGCCGGUGUUCACACUUUGCCACUGUAUUAUCCAUGCUAGUUUAUUUUCGUUUUCUUGUUUUGUGUCUUUUGAGAAAACCCAAAAAGAUUUUUGUUUCUUCUUUUGCUUGUUGGGAGUUUUCCCGUGUAAAUAGUUUUCUUUCUCUGUGUGUCAAGGUAGAAGAUAUUGGUUACAAUGUUUAUUGGUUCUUACAUGCUUACGUGUUUAGCUUUCAAAGAGCCAUAUUUCUUUGUCUUCUCCUUUGUGUUUUCCUGCAGAUUCAGCUUAGUCCAAUGUGAUUAUUAUUGUUCACAUUGUUCCGCCGUGCAAAUGAAAGGCAACAAUGAUGAUAUAUGAUCAAGUGACUGAGACUGAAAAGCUGGUAUGAACUCUAUCUAUUUUGUUUUUGUAAAUAUGACUAACUUGUCGACCCAGAUUUAGCUUUGUUGUGAGAGAACCAUGUUUGCACUGACAACUUAGAGAUCAUUGUUUCUGAUGACAUGCUUAUUUAGACGAGAGCUUAUAAUGGUUUGUCUUGAAUGCCAACAUAGAUUUUGAGAUGACUAUGAUGUAGUAUGAUAGGAUGGUAUUAUCCUUUGAAUGUUUCAAGUGGCUUGACUUGGCGCAUGUUCAUGCAUGUAGUUGAAACAAAAUCAACAUAGCCUCUAUGAUGUUCGAGUUCAUGGUGAUUUAUAUCCUGUUCAUGCUUGCAUUUGAUGUUAGUCAAACUCAUUGCAUCUUGAUGACUGUUGUCGCUCUCUGGUUGGUCGCUUCCCAGUCUUUUGCUAGCCUUCACUUGUACUAAGCGGAAUACUGCUUAUGCAUCCACUUCCAUAAACCCAAAAGUUUUUCCAUGAGAGUCCACCAUACCUACCUAUUUGCGGUAUCUACCUAUCAUUCCAAGUAAAUUUGCAUGUGACAUUCUCUAAACCUUCAAGAAAUAAUCUGUUUUGCAUGCCCGAACCGCUCAUGUGGUACUAGGGGCUAUUGAUAUCUUCCAUGCUAGGAGUGUUAUCCUCGACAUUUGUUUAUUCACUGUCAUUCACGAGAAAGGGGCCGGUAAUUGGAAUGCCCAAUUCCACACUUAACUCGAAAACAUAACUGUAAAACAAGACUCCCCCCGGAUUGAUGUUAGUAGUGACGUUACCCGAGGAUUCGGCUAGCUGUGGAGGGUGACUGAUUGGUGGUGGGGGAGUUAAAACUUUACUUUUCUGUUUGGGAACCGCCUAUAGCAUGAGUAGCAUGGGAGAUAUUGAGAACUCUUGGUCAUUGCGUUGACAAUGAAAGCAUGCCACCCAAAAUUAUUAUCUCUGUUUUCAAAGCUUGAGCUCUGGCACCUCUGCAAAUCAAUGCUUCCCUCUGCAAAGGGCCUGUCUGUUUAUUUUCCUGUUGAGUCAUCCUCCUCUUAUAUAAGCACCAAUUAGAGAGCACCUCUGUCAUUUUUAUGCUUUGCUUUUGAUUGACAUUGAGUAUGACUAUGACUGGAUCUUCAUUGCUAUGAAUUACAAUGUUUAGUCAGCCCUUGAUCUUUGAAAGUGCUCUGUAUUUAUGUUUUGCGGUCUCAGAAAGAGCUAGCGAGAUACCACCUAUUCGUAUUGCUUCAUGCUUGUUUUGAUUAAAGUGUUGGUAUUUUAAACUCAUUAUUAUUUGCACGUUAGCUGAUUAUGCCAUUGAUAUUAGUUUACCGUGAGACCUUUGUGUCAUUUGCUUAUGUGGUUAACUUGUGAUCUUGCUGAAAUUUUGGUUAUGAGUUAGACAUAGUUGCAACAACAAGAUCAAACAGAGUUUGCCAAAGUUUUUCUUUCUCUCUCAGUUUGUCAACUAAGUUGCUUGAGGACAAGCAAGGUUUUAAGCUUGGGGGAGUUGAUACAUCUCCAUCGUAUCUACUUUUCCAAACUCUUUUGCCCUUGUUUUGGACUCUAAUUUGCAUGAUUUGAAUGGAACUAACCUGGACUGACGAUGUUUUCAGCAGAAUUGCCUAGGUGUUAUUUUUGUGCAGAAAUCAAAGUUCUCCAAACGUCCUGAAAAUCUACGGGGAGCAGUUUUGGAAAAUAAAAAAAAUAUCUGCGCCAAGUUCCACGUGAGGGGGUGGGCCAGUGGGCCACAAGCCCUGGCUCCGCCACCACCCCCCUGCUGGCGGUGGGUAGGCUUGUGGGGCCCACACGGCUCUUCCGCCCCCAACCUCAGGUCUAUAAGUUCACUUUCGUCCCGGAAAAAAUAAAAAGAGAAUUUUUCGUCGCGUUUACGAUACGGAGCCGCCGCCACCACCUGUUCUUCAUCUGGAGGGCAGAUAUGGAGUCCGUCUUGGGCUCCGGAGAGGGGAAAUCAUCGCCAUCGUCAUCAUCAACCUUCUUCCCUCUCCAAUUCCAUGAAGCUCUUCGUCGUUCAUGAGUAAUCUAUUCGUAGGCUCGCUGGGUGGUGAUGAGUAGGAUGAGAUCUAUCAUGUAAUCGAGUUAGUUUUGAUGGGGAUUGAUCCCUAGUAUCCACUAUGUUCUGAGAUUGAUGUUGCUACUACUUUGUCAUGCUUAAUGCUUGUCACUAGGGCCCAAGUGCCAUGAUUUCAGAUCUGAAAUUAUUAUGUUGUCACCAAUAUAUGUGUGUUUUAGAUCCGAUCUUGCAAGUUGUAGUUACCUACUAUGUGUUAUGAUCCGGCAACCCCGGAGUGACAAUAACCGGAACCACUCCCGGUGAUGACCAUAGUUUGAGGAGUUCAUGUGUUCACCAAGUGCUAAUGCGUUGGUCCGGUUCUUUAUUAAAACGAGAACCUUAAUAUCCCAUAGUUUCCUUUUGGACCCCGCUGCCACGGGAGGGAUGGACAAUAGAUGUCAUGCAAGUUCUUUUCCCUAAGCACGUAUGACGACACACGAAAUGCAUGCCUAAAUCACAUUGACGAACGGGAGCUAGCCACAAAUCUCUCCGUGUUAUAACUGUUGCAUGAUGAAUAUCAUCCAAACAAAUCACCGACCCAUUGCCUACGAGUUUGUCCCACUGCUGCUGUUACUUGUCUUGCUCUACUGCUGUUACUACUGUUGCUACUGCUGUUACUUCUCUUGCUCUGCUGCUACUGUUGCUACUACUGUCGCUUGCUACUGUUGCUACUUGUUACUGCUGUCACUACUGCUUUUCCUUGCUGCUGCUAUUGCUCGUUACACUGCUGCUACCUGCUACAAUUUUGGUUCGCUAGACGUUGACGAGAACUGACAACUUCCGUCAACGAGGCAACUUGGCGCCAUUGAUACAAUCGUUAGGAAUAGUCUACCGUCAACAGAUCGUUUUUGACACCGUUGUUAUCAUACUACUUUGCUGUUACUACUUUGCUUGCAUAUACUAAUCUUUCAGGUGUGGUUGAAUCUGACAUAUUCAGCUGCUAAUACUUGAGAGUAUCCUCUCACCUCCUAUAGGCGUACCAACAAAUUUGGGUUGAAUACUCUACCCUCGAAAACUGCUACGAUCCCAUGCGCUUGUGGGCCGUCAACAACAUUCUUCUAGUUUCGAUUGCCGGAGAGUGCUAGCUGCAUUUUUCUGGUGUUGUUGCAAGGGGAAGAACAGUUGACAUCAACCCUUUUCAGAGGAGGAUUUUAAACGGUGUCCAAACAGAAUAAAACUUCCGAAAAGAUUUUUUCCGGAACAGAAGAUACGCACGAGACUUGAGAACCAAGGCAGGGGCCACCAGGGGACCCCACAAGCCCCCUAGGCGCGACACGGGCAGCGCCUAGCAGGCUUGUGGGCCCCCUGUAGCUCAUCUGCCCUACCUAUUCCGCCAAUAAAUUCAGAAAAAUUCCAAAUCUGCGGGAGAGAUCCACGAAAAUACUUUUCCGCCGCCGCAAGCUUCUGUCUCCGCAAGACGUUUUGGUGCCCUUCCGGAGAGGAGAUUCGGAUACGGAGGGCUUCUUCAUCAACACCAUGACCUCUCCGAUGAUGCGUGAGUAGUUCACCAUAGACCUUCGGGUCCAUAGCUAGUAGCUAGAUGGUUUUUUCUCUCUCUUGGAUCUUCAAUACAAAGUUCUCCAUGAUCUUCAUGGAGAUCUAUCCGAUGAAAUCUUCUUUUGUCGAGUUCCAAUGAAUUGUGGAUUUAUGAUCAGAUUAUCUAUGAAUCUUAUUUGAGUUUCUUCUGAUCUCUUAUAUGCAUGAUUUCAUAUCCUUGUAAUUCUCUUCGAGUUGUGGGUUUUGUUUGGCCAACUUGAUAUAUGAUUCUUGAAUGGGAGAAGUGCCUGGUUUUGGGUUCAUACCGUGUGGUGACCUCACCCAGUGACAGAAGGGGUAGCAAGGCACGCAUCGUGUUGUUGCCAUCAAGGGUAAAAACAUGGGGUUUACAUCAUUAGUUUGAGUUUAUCCCUCUACAUCAUGUCAUCUUGCUUAAGCCGUUACUCUGUUCGUCAUGAACUCAAUACACUAGAUGCAUGCUGGAUAGCGCUCGAUGUGUGGAGUAAUAGUAGUAGAUGCAGAAAGUAUCGGUCUACUUGUCUCGGGCGUGAUGCCUAUAGGUAUGAUCAUUGCCUUAGAUAUUAUCAUGACUUUGCGCGGUUCUAUCAAUUGCUCGACAAUAAUUUGUUCACCCACCGUACUAUUUGCUAUUUUGAUAGAAGCCUCUAGUGAACACUAUGGCCCCCGGGUCUACUUCACACCAUAUUUUCAGCCUUACACUUUUACUUCGUUGCACUUUCCGCCUUCAGAUCUCACUUUGCAAUCAAUCUUGAAGGGAUUGACAACCCCUUUAUAGCGUAGGGUGCAAGCUCUUUUGUGUUUGCGCAGGUACUUUGGACUUGGCGCGAUUCUCCUACUAGAUUAAUACCUUGGUUCUCAAACUGAGGGAAAUACUUACUGCUCCUGUGCUGCAUCACCCUUUCAUCUUCAAGGGAAAAAGCAAUGCAAGCGCAAGAGGCAGCAGUCGACACCGACCAUGCGCCAGAUAAUCGACCUCGACCACAUUGCGUCGUUACAUCGGCGAGUCGACGUCGUCAUACCGCCUCUGCCGACUUUGGCCCUCAUGCUAUAUUGUUUCUCAUUACUUAAUUUAUUUAAGUUAAUUAAUUAGAGGAUUUUCAUUUUAUUAUUAUUUUUUAUUACUCUUGGCUUGCACUGUAUUGUGUGCACAUGUAAUUGACUUCGACUGCAUCAUGCGGUCACCUCGCCGUGCCGACAUUGUCAUCGUGCCUCCAUCAACCAAAUUGUGUUGUUCACAUGAUCGAAUGGCGUGGGGGAAUUUCCAUCACGUGUAACACCCCGAAAAUUAACCAUGAUUUCAUUUAUUAAAAUUUGGCCACAUUUAUUUUAAUUUUUGUUUCUAGGUUUUCUGUUGAUUUCAGACCCACUUCUUUUCUCUGAAUUAUAAAAAUUUCUUCUCCCAAGUAGGAGUUUUUGAAAAAUAUGAUGAGACUUGAGUGGUGGCAUCAAAACAUUUCUCUUUAUUUGACAAAAUUCACUGGAGGCCUCUUAUAAAUAUUUUUCCAAGUUUCAUUUAUUCAAAAUGGCUUUUUGAUUCCUUUAAGGACCUCAUUUGCCCUACAACCAUUUGAUAACUUCAUUUAAAAAUUCUACGAAAAUUUGUAGGUGACAUGUGAUAUCCAUGGAUCACUUUCAUGCAAAACCCAAUGCGCGUUUUGGAAACAUUUAGCAAAACAACCCCUUUUAUAUCCUGGUCCAGUUGGUGUUUUGAACUACAACCACUGGAUCUACUAUUUCAAAAAUUCUACAAAAAAUGGGAGAUGUCAAGGGAGGCAUGUAGUUCACUUUUAUGCAAAAAUCCACUUUGGUCUUUUCAAAAUUUUGAGCAACCCACUCCCUUUUCUGUUCUGGACUAGUUUUGUAUUUUGUACUACAACCAUAUUUUAUUUUGCCCCAACUCCAUUGGGAUUUUUACUACUGAUAAUAGGCACUACCAAACCCUUAAGUCCAGGAGAGCAGCCCCAUUAGGAUGUUUUGAGAUCAUGCAAUAAUGACCUGUAGUUUCUGUCCAGAAACAAAGUUUGGAAAUACUUGCGCUAACAAGUUACGGAUUUUCAAAAACUAAGUUUGCCAUCACCCUUAGCAUCUAAAAAGGCCUUGGACUGGAAAUUUUGGUGGCCAUAAAGCUUCUCUAGAUGCCCAUGGCAUUCUGUCGAGCACCUUUUUGUGUCUGGCCAGAAUUGACAUGAUUUUUAGUUUUCAUUGUGGAUUUAAUUCUGUGGCAAACCACAUGUCUAACAGAGGCUUGCUAACAACCCUAGCUACCCUGUUAAGUUACACCAAAACCUAAGCCCACUUGCUCGUAAUGGCAUUUAGUCGAACAGUUGGCGUGCGUGCUCAGGGCGCAAGCAGAGCGCGCGUAUUGCAACCGCACCACCCGAGCCGCCACGUCCACCUUCACCCGCCCCUUUGGCCAAUCUCACCCGUAGGGUCGCGCCCCGUCUCUUCCCUCUCGUCGCAGCCGCUCAGCCGCCCCCUAGAGCCCCGCAGCAUCGCCUUCAGAGCUGCCUUGGCGGCUUGCAGCCGGCUACAGCUGGCCCCUGCCAUGGCAGCGCCACCCAAGUCGCCCAGCGCGCCAGCUAGCCUCUGGUACGACUCCAUUGUUCGUAAGCUAGCUCGCGGCCCCCUCCAGGCACCGCCACGUCGCCUCUUAGCAACAAUUCAUCGGAGUUAUCCGCAGCAGCGGGGAACCGACAUCGCCCGCAUAUAUAAAGGAACUCCGAGCUCGCCCCGAACCAGAAUAGGCCCUCUCCGACCCCUCUCAAGCUCCCAUUGCAGCCAAUCGACCAGGGGAGGUCGUCUUCCUCACCUGCAGUCGAGGUUCGUCCGCCGCACCUCUAGUUAAAUCCUAGGCCAACAGAGCUUUUCUAGAAUCGUUCUUCCCCUCGGUGGAACGACACUGGCAUCGCGAUCCCAUACCUCCUCUCAUUUUUUCUCGAGGUGAGCCAUGUGAAAAGUCCCAUGCGGACCAGUGCCGCCGUCCGCCGGCCUCGUAGCCGCCGUAGCCUCCCUGACCUCCCACGACUAAGUCCCCACCUCCGCAGAUCGCCAUGGCACCCCGAGCACAUUGGUGCUCUCAGAAUCGGGAGUAGUGGCCCCAAUCGCCGGUGAGUUUUGCCGGAGGCCUCUCCUCCGCUCCGCUGGAGGAGGGAGAUAACCGGUUUGACGAGGGUCAAACCUGUCUGGCGGGCCCCACUCAUCAGCGACACAACCGAGCUAGAGCCGCCUUAAGUGAAGGCAUAUUCGUGCAUGUACGUGUCCUCUUCCACAAAAACGUAAUCUCUGUGAAUCGUUUUCUUUUCUGAUUUAUUUGAAAAAACAGAGCUUUGACUAAUCUUUGACUAGCCAUAUCUCUUAUAAUAAAUCUCCAAAUGAGUUGACUCUUUUUCUCACCUCUUUAAAAUUUUAUCUAGUUUAUUUUAUUAUUUAUUUGCAAAUCUUCCAAACAACUUUUUAGUGCUGUUUGAAUUGUCUGUUGAUUUUAGUAAUUUCAAAAUAGGAUUUGAAGAGAAGAUAAAAACUUUCAGAAAGUUUUGAUGUGCACCUCAUCCCUCUACACCUUGAAGGAAAGCAUUCUAGACUUGGAUAUAUUAUUGUUGGGUGUGAUUUGUUGUGAUGGAGGAAACAUUACCGUUAUGUUAACAUAAGUGAUGAUAUUUCAUAUGGUGAUAUGAUCAUGCACAUGAGUACAUGGUGAGAAAUUAUAUCUGUUGCAUAUUGAGAUGCAUGCGAUAGUAGUCAGUCCCUUGUUCCACACAUGCCUACCGAAUGGGAUUCGAGAAGAGUCGGUGUCUCAAAAAGACACGACCUUGGGGAAUGACAUCUCGUAGGACGAGGAUGGUUAGCAAGGCAUGUUAGGGUAUGAAAGGUGGUGAUUCUGUCGGGAAUUGUGUAACAUUUUUGUUGUGCUAAUCGNN